GGUCCAAGGUGUUGAGAUGCUGUCUCAAGGUCUACCACAAGGUGGUGCCGCAAGAAAUUACCCUUUUUUUUUUUGACAAAAUAUAUGAACAUAUGUACAAUAUAUAUAAUUGGAAGGAAAAUAUAAAUAUAGGGGCUUCAUGCGUCAUGGGGAAUGUUUUCAUGCUUGAAGGUUUUUUCAAAUAUCUUAAUUUAUUUUAGAAGAACUUGAUUGGCAGAAAACGAUUGAGAGCCUUUGAAUUUUCAGAAGAUAGCCUCCUCCUACGAUCCUUCAGUUCCUUAGCUUCUAGUAAGAGCGUGCUGAUAACGUGUUGUAGGCCUAAUUAACUGAGUGAUCUAAGGAACAGAGAGGUAGGGGGCCGUGGGUAACAAGAGAGAAUGAGAGAGAUUUAAUUCUGAGGUGUGUGUUCUAUUUAUAGUAGUAGGAAAGGUAUAAUCCUUACCCUAAUGGGAUUACAUCUCUUAAUAGAUAAUCAACUCCUAAUAGGUAACUACAAGAUACUCCUAGAUAUACUAGGAUUUACACAAUCACAUUCCUAAUUCGAUUGGAUUGCAACAAAUUCUUGAUUAUUGAUUAAUUAAAUUAUUGAUUAUUGAAUAAUCUACAUAAUUAUUGAUACUGGUUAAUUGAAUUGAAUUUUUGUUUAUUGAAUAAUUAUUAAAUUAUUAGUUCUAAUUAAUUGAGUUUUUAGUUUAAUUAGUUAUUAGUCAUAUAGUAUACUCUACUCUUGGAUUACGAGUCUAAGAUUUUAUGGAACAAUAGUAUAAAAAAAAACAUGGCUUAAAUAUCCCUUCAAAUAUUCUGGGUAGUCCUUCUUCGAGUAUUGAUGCAUUACAGACGUUCCUAAUAUUGUCUAAUAUCUAUAUGAAUUUGGUUGUCUACAUUUUUUUAACCUUGCACUCUUUUAAAUUCGCCCACUCCUCUGGCAAUUCCUGACUUCGCCACUAUCGUCAUGUGAUACUUUUUGCUAAUGAAACAAGGGUAAUGAGAAGCUUAGAAAAAUGAAGCCCAUAUCUUUGAAACCCCACUAUAGUAAUGCCAAUAAAAAUAGAAAAUGAGAGACCCAAAGUAAUAAGAAAAUGACUUGUAACUGUGAAGCUAUAAGGUAUCAAACCCUGAAAAUUACAAAAUAACAAAAAAGUAAAAGUGAUAGAGAUGCGAGGGAAAAACUUUUGCUCAACAUUUCUAGAAAGACCACCCAUUAGUCUUCGAAUGAAGAACAUGGUAUAGGCUUAUUUAGCUCUAUCCAUGACAUUAUUGGCUUCAAUAGUUUCUCACCUUCUAGGUAAUUAAGUGGAGGUUCAAAACUCAUACCCACGUAAAGCAGUUUUUGGUAGAAACUUCGACAUCAGUGAAACUGAACUUGUUAUGAUUUGAGAAUCCACCAAGUGAGGGAAACAAGUUGUGGUUGAUGCUAUGAGAAACUAAAACCUCCAUAAGCAUCAAGGUUAGAACAUUCAGGUUCUAAGACAUAAUUUGGUUUAACAGUUUAAUCACGGAGAGCUUCAGGGUUCAACAUGAGUAGUGCGGUUUUAGCAAACACGAAAGGUUUCUAUGCCAAUACUCGAAAUUUUGGUUUGAUAUUCAGUAUGAACUUUAGGUUCAUUGUACAUGUAUUUUCAUAACAAUACGGUACCCAAAGAGCUCCACUGAUGUUAUUAUCAUCACGCUUGCAUGUAUUGAAUACAACAUAACAAUGUAACCAGAAAACAACUGAAAUAGCAAAGCAGGUCAACUUCAUAGAAACAAACUACAUCAUACAACAGAAUGAAGGUACCGGACCGGUCGGUUGUCGAUCGAGAAGUGCUUAUGGACCUGUUGGAUCUCAGGAGAAAGAAGCUCCUGCAGAGCACCUUACAUCUAAUUAAUCUACAGCAUUGCAUUCUUGGUUCAACAAUAUGCUCGUCCAGAGGAGAGAAAAUUGAAGCUACUCCUGCAUAACUAAAAUUUGAUUAAAUACCUAAACUUAUGCUUUUAGUUCUGUUACUUUAGGUCUAACUCUACUUUAGCUCUAAGACAUUGGUUGUCCUGCGGCCAGCCUCGGUCAAAUCGUUACAAAAGUUCAUGCUUUCCAUCAACCAAUUUGACAGAAAUGCAAACUGGAACAAGAACCACAUCAAAGCGCAAACUAUCAGGGGAAUUUCGUGAAACUAAAACUACAGGGAUCAAAAGAAUCAGAGUAACUACAGCAGAACUGUAACUUUUGACCCAACUUCAACUUGCUGCUACAUAUUGCCCUGAAAUUCUACAAGUACAAUUGUACAAAUGCGAAUUAUCACACUGAAUUACCAAUACUCUUGGAUCUUGGGUUCGUAAAAUACAUUUGCAAUUGACUUAGAUACUACAGAGAAUGACCUUCAAAGACUACAGGAGACGACACUGAGUGCAGACUGCACUGUUAGUUAUGAUUGGCAGACACCAAAUGGCUAAUCCAUCGUAUGCUUAGCAGACUAUUUCAGCAAAUAGGACGCUUGAGAAGAAUUCUGAUAAAUUGUAGCCUGAUUAGCCCUUAUCUAACUUCUAAUUCACAUGUUGGAAAACAAGAGUGCUUACUUACAUUUCUGAAAAGUAUCACUUUCAAGCUAGAGCGACAUGGUACAAAGACAAUGAUACAAACUCACUCUGAAUUUUGGAUGCCCAAACAUCGAAAACUUCAAUAUAUAUUUGAAUGAACAUCUAAACAAAAUAACAUGACCAAAUGUUCAAUGUGAUAAAUAAAUCUUGGUAAAUUCCAUUGACGACCCCUAAGAGUUGGUUUCCAUUUUGAUCCCUAAUCCUUAAUGUGCCAUUUUCCUCCCUUGCAGUUACCACAAACAUGUAUGUGUCCUCUAUAAAUAAAAAGAAAAAGGCUGGGCAUUCACUCAAGGGUUUCGGUAGGGUUCGAAUAGGUGAUAAACUAAAACUGUUUGCAGUAACAAACAGAUAAAAGUCAUACAAAGAAAGCUAAUUCGGCCCUGUAUAAAAGAAUAAUAAAACAACGGAUAGAAAUAUGAAGACCCCAAGAAUUUGAAAGUUGUACCAAGAGAAUGAAUGUGAUAGGCAAAUGUACGAGAGAUCUUUAAACUCAGAGGGAACCAAUAGUGGAAGUCCGAUGUUUUGAACAAGUUCACACUCUAUGCCAUUUUACCAUAUCAUCUUUUUAUUCCUGAUCACAAAAUAAAUUAUUAAACCAAUGGGCAAAGAUGUAAGAACACAAUACACAAAAAUGCAUAAAAACCACCCGUAUUUUCAACUUUGGAAGCUCAGACUAUCAUUGAACAAAUCAAUGAGUUACUGCCUAAAUCAGUUGGACAUGGGAAGAGGUAUAUAUGAUUUUGUCUUUACGUUCGCAGAUCCACACAAAUUGCAAUACAAGAGGAAUUAAAUUGUUUCAUGAAAGCCUCGGGCAUUAAUGUCUUGCCAAAAAGAAGAAACAAAUAAAAUUACAAAGUUUAAUUGUUUUAUUACCAAUGAUCCCUUAGUCAGAAGGUCUCGAUUAGAGUAUAAGGUUCACUAUAAUGUGUUCUGUAUUAUUAUAGAAGUUUGUUUUAUUAUUGAAUUACAAACCUAAUUCUGCAGCUUGUCAACAUUUUAUUCAGAAAUUGGGUGCUAUCUUUCCUGUGAAGGAUUUGGGACCCUUGCAUUAUUUCUUGGGUCUUGAGAUUCAAAGAUCUUCUGCAAGUCUUUUCUUACAUCAAAGCAAGUACCUUCUAGACUUGCUUUAAAAGACACAUAUGGAAGGUGCUAAACCAUGUCUCACUCCUAUUAGCUCUCUCAAACUUGAUCACACAGGGCCUUUGUUACCGGAUCCCAAAGAGUAGAGGUCUAUUGUUGGUGCACUGCAAUACUUGACUUGGACAUGACCUAAUUUAUCUUUUGCUGCCGUAAGAACUCAUGAAGGACAAACCGAAAGCUUCCCCAUAACUGUAGGAUUACAUCAAGGCUCAUCCUUAAGUCCUUACCUUUUUGCGUUGGUAAUGGAUGAGUUAACAGGACAUAUUCAAGAUGAUAUUCCUUGGUGUAUGCUUUUCGCAGACGAUAUAGUGUUGAUAGAUGAAACUCAGGAAGGGGUAAAUGCGAAGCUUAACCUUUGGAGAGAAGUGUUGGAAUCUAAAGGUCUUCGCCUAGGCCGAUCAAAGACAGAAUAUAUGGAGUGCAAGUUCAGUGCAAAUGGAGGCCAAAAUGAGUUAAGGGUGAGGAUCGGAGAUCAGGAAAUACCAAAGAGCGACCGUUUUCGCUACCUAGGAUCUAUCUUGCAAAAGAACGGAGAAUUAGAUGGAGAUCUCAACCAUAGAAUACAAGCUGGCUGGAUGGAUGAAGUGGAAGAGUGCAUCCGGCGUGUUGUGUGAUCGUCGUAUGCCACUGAAGCUUAAAGGAAAAUUUUAUAGGACGGCAAUAAGGCCGGCGAUGCUGUAUGGCACAGAAUGUUGGGCGAUGAAGCACCAACACGUACACAAAAUGGGUGUAGCGAAGAUGAGGAUGCUUCGUUGGAUGUGUGGGCACACGAGAAAGGAUAAGAUUAGGAAUGAGGAUAUCCGAGGUAAAGUAGGAGUAGCCGAAAUUGAAGGAAAACUGAGAGAAAAUCGGUUACGGUGGUUUGGACAUGUGCAAAGAAGGCCUACUGACGCUCCGGUUAGAGGAUGCGACUACGGGACAGAGGUUCAGGGCCGAAGGGGUAGAGGAAGACCUAGGAAAACUUUGGAAGAGACUCUAAGAAAAGACUUAGAGUACUUGGAUCUAACGGAGGACAUAACACAGGAUCGAGCACAAUGGCGUUCUAAGAUUCAUAUAGCCGACCCGACUCAGUGACUUGGAUUUUUCAAGUCUCCAAUCGAGAAGUUUUCCCCACUCGGGAAAUUAAGGGAACACUACCUCAACCUACAUGCUCCACUCACAAAGCUUCACAUACAAGCUUCAACAAAAGAAAAAUUCAAAGAACUUAGUGAAGAAGGCUUUGGUGUAUUUAACACAAUACGUUGAAAUGAAACAAAGCUUAUUUAUUGAUAUCUCUAAGAAGUUACAAAUAUGUACAUAUACACGAGUCAAAAUAAACAAACAAGAGGGAGCCUUCACAAAGGUUGCUUAGGAGAAGUCUCAGCAGUUGGCAGAGCCCCAGAAAGAGAAGGCACCGGAGGGGGAUCAUUCGGAGCCUCAGUACUGGACAGCACCCUAGAAGGAAGAGGCAUCGGAAGUUGAUCAUUUGGAGCUUCAUUACGCGGUACAGCCCCAGAAGACGAAGGCAAUAAAUGCCUUUGGAACAAACCCACAAACCUCUGAUGAUCAUGUAAAAUCUGACCAUCAGAUUCCUUCAUCUGGUCAAGCUUCCUCUUCAUGUUUGUAGCAUAGUCAUGUGCGAGCCGGUGCAACUGUUUAUUCUCAUGCUUGAGCCCUCUAAUCUCCUGUUUGAGACUCAUCACUUCAGCCGCCAAUGAUUCAACUUGGCGGGUUCGAGCAAAUAGGCGUUGGGCCAUAUUAGACACAGAACCUGCACACUGAACACUGAGAGCCAGAUAAUCCUUAACAGCCAACUCAUCAGACCGUUUGGAAAGUAGUCUGUUAUCUUUGGGAGUGAGAAAGUUCAUGGCCACCACCGCAGCGGUCAUAUCAUUUUUCAUCACGGAAUCCCCAACGGUAAGAGGACCAGUAGGGGAUAAGAAGGAUGGGCGCCAUAUGUUGUCUGGAGAAGGCGUGGCUGCCUCUUCAACAAGGUUCAAGUCAAAACGAUGGUCGGAGGGGCCAGACAUUUUCAAAGGUGUUGAAGAGAAAAGAGGUCGGACAAAUCAAGAUCUUAGAAAUGCAAGAAGGGAGCUUUUACUGGUGGAGAUUCAAGUGUGCUUUGGAACUUAAUACCAGCCUCUAUAAAAAUCUGCACUCGAUAGAGCUUCAGAAAUCGAAGAGGCACCUGCUCAGAAAUCAAAAAGGCGUUUACUUUCUCAAAAGCUGGGCUGCUCAAAGACUACGAGGGCCAAUCUCAGGAAUCGAAUAUGCGUUUGCUUUCUCAAAAGCUGGGCUGCUCAAAGACCACGAAGGUCGAUCGUAGAAAUCGAAGAGGCGCUUGCUUUCUCAAAAGCUAGGCUGCUCAGAGACCACGAGGGCCGAUCUCAGAAAUCGAAGAAGCACCUGCUUUUUCAGGCUUUUCAGCACCUGUCACAUGCACACUCAACUUUGCGGAAAUUACGGGCAUUCAGUCGAAUAUUUCUAGUGAAGUAGAAAGCACGUGAAUGUUACUGUUCAAUCAUUCACUUUCCACACGCAACAUCAGCUCACGGGUACCAUAGAUAACUUUGCCAAAAAUCUCUGACAAAGUUUAGACACGUGAAGCUUGCAGCUCCCAUUACAUCGCUAUGACCAAGAAGGGUAAAAGAAUAGCAAAGAAACAGCACUAACAAAGUUUAGACACAUAAAUUUUGAAGGUCUAGCUACCAUAUUAUUACCCACAAGGGUAAAGGAACAGGACCACUGCUGGAUAAUUGGAAAGUCCCUGUGGGUCAACCUCUAUGCUCCGUGGCAAGGUAGACUAGCAAACAGGCCUAACCUUUACUCACAUUCGAGAAAACACUCCCAACAAGAUUGCUUGCUUCAACAUCGAAGAGGCACCGUCCUCUGAAUCUCGAGAGCCAGACUCCCAACAUGAUUACUUUCUCAAAAAGCGACGAAACACCGCUCUCCGAAUCUCGAGAGCCAGACUCCUAGCAUGAUUGCUUUCUCAAAAAUCGAAGAGGCACCGUUCUCCGAAUCUCGAGAGACAGAUCCCCGACAGGAUUGCUUGUUCGAAAACCGAAGAGGCACCGCUUUCUCAACUUCGAGAACCCCUUAGAUAAAGCUUGUCUGUAAUCCUCACACCGCUUUCUCAACUUCGAGAGCCAGAUCUCCUUGGAUAAAGCUUGUCUGUAAUCUUCACACGUAACAUCAGCUUUCCAGAUACCACAGACCACUUUUUCAAAGUGCUCUGACAGAGUUAAAACCCGUGAAGCUGGUAGCUCCCACUACUGUGCUAUGACCAAGCAAGGUAAAAUAAUAGUAUUACUCCUUCUUGUUAGGGAGACUCCUAUAUAUGUCGACCUUCAUCCUCAACGGACAGGCAGACCUGCAAAAAUGCUCAACCCUUCCUCAUAUCUGAGAGGGCACUCCCAACGAAGCCUCUCGAAAUAUUCAGUUUUCUUUCCCCCUGAGAAUACCUCUGCAAACAAGCUACACCAGAGCAAGAAUAUCUCAUAUCAUCAAGAUUAAAAGCAAGAGUAUCCCAUAUCAUGCUUUUUCCCUGUCUUUUCCUUUGGCUUUGUUCUUACCUGCAAGACAAGGAGAAAGAGAGCAAUCAGUCAGCACUUGGAAUCAAGCUUCCAGUCCGGAACGGACUGCCUGGAACCCCAUUGCUCUCGAGUACUCAUCUUCAACAUCUUAUGCUUCCUGAGAAGAUACCACAUCUGCCUGAGGAACAAAUAGGGCAAGUGAGAAGGAUACAAGGAAGCAUGUGGAGACAAGCGCAACAGAACACGUGCCGAUACAUCCACUACUUUGUCAACAGCAAAAGUAUCCCAUAUCAGCAGGGUCGAACGUACUCUAGAUUUGAUGGACUUGUUUUGACCCUCAAAUUCUUCAGUCGGCCUUAUACUCUGGCGGAAACAAGAAAACCCUCCAGCCCAGUUCAAGAAUAAGCCUGUGGAAAGUUACUUCUUCAAAAGCAAAAGUAUCUCAUAUCACCUUUUCUCCUUUUCUUCUCUUUAUCCUUCAUGCUACCUGCAAGAUAAGGAGAAGGAUAACAAUCAGCCGGAACUCGAAAUCAAACUUCUGAUCUGGGACUGAUUGCUUGGAGCUCUGAUUGCUUACCUUGUCUGUCACCUCUUUCAGCAAAUCCCCUAGCUCGGCGACUUGGGGGACUCCUACUACAUGGUUUGUAUCGCGCUUGACCAAGCCUAAAACUACAAGUAAGCGUCAAGUGAAAUUGAUACAUUACCUUGUGCAUCUCCACCAGUUAAAGAUACCACCCCUGGAGGGAGGAAAAGUACUUCCAAAGAAGAUGCCACAUCUACCUAUGAGACAGAUAAGGCAAGUGAAGACAAUACCAUACUUCGGUACUUAAAAGUUUCGUGAUUACGAGAUCAUUCUUCCACAAUAUUUCCUAAUGUCAUUUGUACUAAAUCAUUCACUUGUACUCACUAAAGGAGAGCUUGAACCUAUAUACUGUGUAAACCCUUCACAAUUAAUGAGAACUCCUUUACUCCGUGGACGUAGCCAAUCUGGGUGAACCACGUACAUCUUGUGUUUGCUUCUUGUCUCUAUCCAUUUACAUACUUAUCCACACUAAUGACCGGAGCAAUCUAGCAAAGAUCACAAACUUAAUAUUUAAGAUGAUAUUCUUUUGUGUAUGCUUUUCGCAAACGAUAUAGUGUUGAUAGAUGAAACGCAGGAAGGGGUAAACGCGAAGCUUAACCUUUGGAGAGAAGUGUUGGAAUCUAAAGGUCUUCGCCUAAGCCGAUCAAAGAUAGAAUAUAUGGAGUGCAAGUUCAGUGCAAACGGAGGCCAAAAUGAGUUAGGGGUAAGGAUCGGAGAUCAGGAAAUACCAAAGAGGGACCGUUUUCGCUACCUAGGAUCUAUCUUGCAACAGAACGGAGAAUUUGAUGGAGAUCUCACCCAUAGAAUACAAGCUGGAUGGAUGAAGUGGAAGAGUGCAUCCGGCGUGUUGUGUGACCGUCGUAGGCCACUGAAGCUCAAGGGAAAAUUUUAUAGGACGGCAAUAAGGCCGGUAAUGCUGUAUGGCAUAGAAUGUUGGGUGGUGAAGCAUCAACACGUAGGUGUAAUGAAUAUGAGGAUGCUUCGUUGGAUGUGUGGGCACACGAGAAAGGAUAAGAUUAGGAAUGAGGAUAUCCGAGGUAAUGUAGGAGUAGCCGAAAUUGAAGGAAAGAGGAGAGAAAAUCGAUUACGGUGGUUUGGACAUGUGUAAAGAAGGCCUAUUGACGCUCCGGUUCGAAUAAGUGACCACAGGACAGAGGUUCAGGGCCGAAGGGGUAGAGGAAGACCUAGGAAAACUUUGGAAGAGACCCUAAGAAAAGACUUAGAGUACUUGGAUCUAACGGAGGAUAUGACACAAAACCGAGCGCAAUGGCGUUCUAGGAUUCAUAUAGCCAACCCCACUUAGUGGGAAAAGGCUUUGUUGUUGUUGUUGUUGUUGUAAAUCAAGUCUGUCAAUAUAUGCAUGCUCCACGAGAGCCACAUCUCCAAGCAGCCAAAAGAAUUCUCCGGUUUCUCAAGGGCACAGUGAGUCAUGGUUUGUGGUUCAAGAAAGAUGUUAUCCAUCUCAGUGCUUACUCUGACGUUGAUUGGGCUGGAUGUAUAUUUGAUAGAAGAUCUACUAGUGGGUAUUGCAUAUUUCUGGGGUCAAAUCUCAUUAGCUGGAGUGCUAAGAAGCAACCAACAGUUGCUCGGUCCUCCACUAAAGCAGAAUACAGAUCCUUAGCUCACACAACAGAUGAAUUAACAUGGAUCUGUAAAGUGUUCAAGGAUAUUGGUCUCCAUCUUCCUCAUGUUCCUCAUCUCUGGUGUGACAAUAUUUCUGCAAUUUCAUUUGCUUUUAAUCCAGUUUUUCAUGCUCGAACCAAGCAUGUUGAACUUGAUUACCAUUAUAUCUGAGAGUUGGUGUUAGCUAAUCUUCUCAAGGUCCAAUAUGUGUGCACUCAGGACCAACUAGCUGAUAUUCAUACUAAAUCUUUGUCUAAAUCCAAGUUCUUAUACUUGCAAUCCAAGCUUUCUCUUGGACCUAUGGAUGCAUCCAAGUUCAGCUUAAAGGGGUGUAAAGAGUCAAGUCAAGUUAGUUAGAUGUUUGUUAUGAUGUUUGUUAUAAUGUUUGUUAUAAUGUUUGUUAUAAUUCUUGUGUAAAUUGAUAGAGUAGUCGAGGGUAUAAAUGUAAUUGGCGCAUUGCUUAUAUAUACUGCAACACCAGUGUAAUCUUAUGAUGAUUUCAAUACAAUUGAAGCAUAUUCAGAAACUGUGUGUACUUAAAAUUCUAUAGUUUGGGGUUGCUCUGUGUGUGUGUGUUUCAGAGAGGAAAGAGGGAGUUGCAGAGAGAAAGAGAUCGGGGAGUGAAAGGGUCAGGGGGUGAGGGUUAGAGAGAGAGAGAGAGAGAAAGAAAGAGGAAGUUAUAAUAAUAAUAAGAUAUGAAAAAUAUCCCAAAAGGGAAAGGGGGAAUCCGGGUAGGGUGAGGGGAUAAGGGGACAAAAUUUUCGUGUGGGUGGUCACCUUUUGUUUGUAGAUUAAGAAUGUGAAAGACAAAACACAAAAUAUCGGAAAACGUUCGAUGUUCGGACGUAGAAUCUUAGUUAUAAAUUUGAUUUCGAAUCCGUUCGUGCCUACGCGCUCAUGGUGAUAAGUACGUUAAGAAUAAAUUAGUAACAUUAAAACUACGCGUUUCGACGAGGCAGUCAAACAAAGUCAACUCAAGGGUAAAAAGGUAAUUUCAUAAAUCCGGCAAUAUGAAAAUACACUAAAUUGGGGACGGGGUUUCACAUGGCUAAUAUCAGCAAUGACAUUCCUUUCUGGAAAUAUAUGUGAGCAACGGAAAACCAUGUAUUGCAACUAGAAGCAAAGUAAGAUAUCGCACUAGAACAAUCAUUUUCAAGUCAUAAAUUUUGCUAGCCCUGCACAAGAGCCAACUCCACAGCAAGGGUGAUAGCAUGAAGCUUUGCAUAGAAAGAAGUAUGAUGCCCCAAACUCAGGGAGAAAGCACCAAGAAAAUAACUCGCAUGAUCUCAAAAAAACCCACCACUAGCCGCAAGACGUGGUUACCUUUAGCAAGGCCAUCUGUAUUCAUUUUGGCUCAAGAAAAUAAAGAAAGAUGCCAAAAAAUAAGAACCCCAAAAAAAGCUUUACAAUACUCACUCGAGAUUCCAAAAGGUUAUCACCAUUCUACUCUUCACCAAUAAAAGCAAAGAGACGCUUUACGACUUUUAGUGUACCAAAAAUCACACACUUUUUAAUCAUACUUUGUGAUUAGAUAAACAUCAUCAGCGGCAAAACAAAAUCCAGGUCCAAUAAAUUUUAAUUACAAUAAAAUUAGUUGACGAUAUUUUCGGCCCUCUCGCCAGAAAUUUAACCCAGAAGUGACUGUCAUCCCCUCGUGUGUUGUCAGAAAAACUGCAACUUUGUGAAGGCAUGCCUGCUGUUGCGUAGCCGUACGUAGUGUAUUCUUCUAAGAAACCAAAGACCAAAACUUAAUGAACAUUGUUGUUUUGCCUUUGUGGUUUUGGAGAAUAAAAAAAAUAACAAAAGAAGGACCACUUGCCCGAGAGAGUUUUUUGUGUGACAGAUAUAUGGGUGGUAUACCACGUGUCACUAUACAAAUGGUGGGAUAUGUGUGUUAAAACGUUAAUAACUUAAAAAAUUAAAAUUUCCCAACACUUACAUAAAAACGAGUGGUGUACCACCCACAUUCUGAUCACAAUAAAAAAUAGAAUUAUAGCAUAAUAUGAAUAUUAAUUAUUGAUAUGAACCAUGUGAUUAUUGAUGAAUAGAAUUGUUGAUUACUGAAAAUUUGAAUUCUUGAUUAUUGAUUAAUUAAAUUAUUGAAUAUUGAAUAAUCUAUACAUAUAUAAUUAUUGAUACUGGUCAAUUGAAUUGAAAUUUUGUUUAUUGAAUAAUUUAUAUAAUUAUUGGUACUGAUUAAUUGAGUUGUUGGUUUAAUUAGUUAUUAGUCAUAUAGUAUACUCUACUCUAGGAUUAAGAGUCUAAAGACUUAAUGGAAUGAUACUAUAAAAAAACAUUGCUUAAAUCUCCCUUCAAAUAUUAUGGGUAGUCUUCCUUCGAAUAUUCCGGGUAGUCCUUCGAGUAUUGAUAAAUUACAGACGUUCCUAAUAUUGUCUAAUAUCUAUACGAAUUUUUGGUUGUCUACAUUUUUUUAAAACCUUGCACUUUUUUAAAUCCGUCUGUCCCCCAAACAAUUCCUGACUUCGACACUGUUGUCAUAUGAUACUUUUGCUAAUGAAACAAAGGUAAUGAGAAGCUUAAAAAAUGAAGCCCAUUUCUUUGAAAUCCCACUAUAGUAAUGCCAAUAAAAAUAGAAAAUGGGAGACAUAAAAAUAAUAAGAAAAUGACUUGUAAAUAUAAAGCUAUAAGGUAUCAUACCCUGUAGAUUAUGAAAUAACAAAAAAGUAAAGGUGACUGAGAUACGAGGGAAAAAAUUUUGUCAUUUCCGGAAAGAUCACCUAUAAAUUUUUGAAUGAAAAUCAUGAUAGAGGCUUAUUCAGCUCUAUCAUUAAUCGCGAUCUCAUUGCAGCAACUCUUGUUGGUCUUCCUAAUGAAUUUGAAUCAUUCACUGAUUCCAUACUACUUCGCAUUUCGUCUACUUCCUUGGAUGAAUUACAUGGCUUGUUGCUUACUAAAGAACUAUUCAUGUCACGUCGCAAGAAGACUUCCUCAUCUGAGCCUUUUCAGGUGUCUUUGUACAAGACCAACCGCCACUCCUUCUCACACCACCACAAGCUCUUGCUACUCAGAAUCAUGAAACUCAACCACUUCAGAAUUCUUUCUGGUAUAAUUCUAACCGAGGAAGAAAAAUUCGUGGUUUUCGGGGUUCAAAUCAUGGCAAUCAUAACUCUGGUUACAAUCGUGCCACUCAUUAUUCUGGAUUCAAUUGUUACAACCACCCCCAAUUAUAUGUGUUAUAUAUUAUUUUAAUUUAAACUGCCACGUGACAGCCAUCUAACUCCCUUUUCUUUUCUCUCUUUCUGUCCCCCCAUCCCCCGGCACCUUUCUUUUCUUCAUCUCUCUCUUAGCUCUUCCGUCUAUCUCUGUCUCUCAACCUUUCACCUCACCCUACGCUAGGACCCUGUCACCAUCAAGGGAGGCUCACAACGAGCCCAGGACUCCUCCCUAUGAGUUCGACGGCAAGGGAGCAAAAAGCUCCGACGAACCCUCCCUAUUUUUCAGUUAGGUAAGUCGCGGAUCUCUCCCUAUCUCCGUUAGUGUGAUACUUGGUGGUGUUUUCUGAGUUAAAUCCUUGCCUUUUUACGUAGGUUUUGACUUGGAAUCGAAUUGGAUUAAGCACACCCAUUUUUCCGGCGAACCCGUGAGCUUCGUGGGGAUUUCCGGUCACCUCCAACCGUGUCAUGGCUAUUUGAGGGUAGCAAUCUCUUCCCAUCACCUUACUCUUCAUGUUCGUACUUACAUCUGAGUCUAGAACCUCCGCUUUCAGGUGACCAGAGCUGUAGCAGCUCUGGCCUUCUCCUUCGGCAAAACCAGGCCUCUCAGGCCGUUUAGAAAACCCCACGGGCCUUAAGCUCGUUGUGCCUUAGCCUAAAACCCCAGCCCGUUUCAUUUUUAUUUUUAGUUAUAUUGUUUUAAAGGGCUUAAAGCCCUGCCCCUUUUGUGAGGCCUUUCGGCUGUGCUGUGUGUGCAGCUCGUGUGUGUAUGUGUUUAGCGUGUGUGUGUGUGUGCUGGUGGUGUGUGUAUAUGUUUGGGCUUAAGCCCAAACCCCAUUCCUUCACCCUAAACCCUUUUAACCCAAAAACCCUAGGUUCCUAAAACCCAUUAGACCCUAACCCAUCCAACCUAAAUCCCUUAAUUUAUUUAGUUCAAGCCCAAUCUUUUAGAAAAUCCUUUUAUUUAUUUAUUACAUUUUUUGUGCUUAAGUAAGGUUGCUUGUGGAGAAAUUCUUAAUCCUUAUCCGCACGACUCUUCUGCUAAGGAAUAUUUGUGAGUGGACCCCUUUUUAAAAGUACAUGAUUUUAUAGUUUAAUUUCAUAAAUGAUUAGCAUGCCUACGAGUUUAUGAUUUGAUUUAUGUUAAGCUUGUUUACUGAAUAUAUGGAUUUUUGUCUCGUGUUUUUGGUGAGGAAUUAAUUGUUAGCCUAUAUUGAGCUAUAUUUUAAUAUAUCGUAUUUUCUAUAAAAAUCAUGAUCUGGUAGACUAUCUAAUGGAUGACGAUAGGAUACUAGAACAUGUUUCAGAAACCCUUCUUUAUAGUAUAGACGAUGGAUGACUUUAUACUAUGAAGUGGUUAUUUAUGAGAGGCGUAACUAUUUGUGCGUACCUAGAGGACAUUAUGUCGCCUGGGGCGAGGAUCUGGUGUUGGCAUUUAGGCCGGGAGAAAUAAUCCCUGGCUACGGGCUGAGGGACAUGGAGCAGGCAUUGGGCCUGGAGUUGGUAAUCUCUACCUACGGGCGCAAAGACCACAAAGCAGGUAUUGGGCCGGGAGAUAUAUUUAUUCUGUGAUCUUUCUAGCAGCACACCGCGCUUACGAGACGAUCUACGAUACGUUUAUUAUUUGGAUUUACACGAUGUUAUUCCGCGAUAUGAUUUUGGAGAUACUUUUGGCAUGCUAGGAUUUUGAUUAAAUCCAUCACUUAUUAUGCUAGUAGUUUUCAUUAUAUGAACUGUGGGGAUUAGUACAUUGAUAACUGUUUUAUUAUUAUUGUAUAUAUGAACUUGGUCCACUCACCUUUGUUUUUCGCCCUCGUUCAGGUCAUAGAAAUGAGGACUACGAUUCGACGUACGAGGCAUUUCCCUACUAGUAGCAGUCUACUCCUCACUUGUGUGAUAUCUUGUAAUGAUCUUUCCUUUUUGUAAAUCUUGUUUUAGUUUGUGUCUUGUGCACUUUAGACACUUCCUUAAACUUUGUGUUUUUCUCGAGAUUUUAAAUGGUUAUUUAUGAAUAUUUUCUUCUAAUCAUUACUCUUGUAAUCAAUUAAUGGCUUUCGUCACCUUCGGGUGUCGGCUAGCACGUGUCUAUCCUGGUAUUCUGGGAAUAUUAAGGUCGGGGCGUAUCAGAUUGAUAUCAGAGCAUGGUUAGGGUUUCUUUCCACCAAUUUGGUAAAUUUCAGUCCUUCCAAAUCUUGUUGUCUUUGUCAGAAUCAUGGCUAAUCCUUAUGGGAAUGUGCCUCGACGACCUCGUACUUCUUUAAUGGGGGAAUCCAGCAAUUUUCUAAUGCUUUAAUGAAUACUCUUCCGAGUCAUAAACCGAAUCGGACGUAUCUAGAAAUUGCUAGGAGUCAUGGAGUUACUGAAUUGAAAUCUGUGGGGAAUGGCGAGGAGGCUGAGCAGUGGUUGGAGAAAAUGGAGGAUACUUUAGAGGCUAUGAAGUGUCCUCUAAAUGAGUUAGAAAACACUGCAGGUUUCUUUAUUCAGGGUGAUGCUAGGAGUUGGUGGAAAUCAACGAAGGAAUCUCGUCCACCUGGUUCUUGGAUGACUUGGGCUACCUUCAGGAAACGUUUUAUUGCUUAUUUUCUAAGCGCCAGCUACAGACUGAGGAAGAGGCAGGAGUACUUAGAGUUCCGACAGGGUGAUCUCAGCAUCAUAGAAUUUGACAGUACUUUCAGGCACUUGGCUAGACAUCAUGAUAGGACUUAUGAUAAUCCGCAGGCACAGAUGGAUCAGGCGAUAAUUGCACUGAACCAGGAGUACCGCACACUGGUAAUUGCUCAGAGACCCAGAACUUAUGAGGAUGUAAUUGAGAUAAGCCUGAGUAUAGAACAGUCUAAGUGGUAUACGGAGAUACAUGACCAUCCUCAGAUUUGGAUCCAGCCCUAGAGACAUAAUAGAAAGCGGAAUCAGAAUCAGAGGAAUUGAAAUUUCCGAUCGCGGAGUACCAGAGAAUCAGUGGGCCCCUCCAGUUCUGUAAGUCCCAGACAUUCUUUUUCCUUUAAACGAUCAAAACGGGGCUUAGGGUCUUCUAGUGAAGGCUCAGGCAACGAGUCGGCGAGACGAUCUUUCAGUCAUUUCACUCCAGGAUAUUAAGUCUGUAAUCAGUGUGGGUUACGUCAUCGAGGGAGUUAUGGGAUGACUGCUAUAGUUUGUCACAGGUGCAGUGGUACCGGGCAUUUUGUUCGUGAUUGUCCUUCAGCACCACCUGGUAAUUUUACCUCUAACUCAAACUACAGUGGAUAUUAGCCAGUUUAGAAUUUUGGCACCCGACAGAGCUAUAACGGCAGUGGCAGUAGUAGUUAGAGUUAUGGUAGCAGUACUAAUCAGAACUACGGGGGUAACAGAGGACUGCAGUUGGAUGGCAGAGGUAGCCAGAGUUUUAGAGGAAAUGACAGCCAAAGUACUCAAUUUUCGACCCAGCAGCAGGCUGGAACAUCUUCUAGUAGCAGUAAUCAGAGGAACCGAGCAGGGUGAAAUUCCAGAGGUCGUGGCGGUCGGAACAAUAAUGCAGGGUACCAGGUUCAUGGACAUAUGAACGCCAUGACUCAGCAGGAGGCUGAACAGGAUCCUCGAGUUAUUACCAGUACGUUACCUGUCUGUAAUACUUGGGCUAGAGUUUUAAUUGAUCCGGGUGCUACGCAGUCUUUUGUUUCUUCAUCUUUUGCUCGGGUUAUGCCUUCUCAACCCCAACCACUAGGUUUUGAUAUGCUGAUUCAAAUGCCAAGUGGUGAAUUAUUUUGUGCUCAAUGGCAAUAUCAUAAUUGUCCAGUUAUUGUGGAAGGGGAAAACUUAGAGGUUGAUCUAAUUCCUUUCAAACUGGCGGAGUUUGAUGUUAUUUUGGGAAUGGAUUGGCUAUCUAAGCACCGAGCGAAUGUCGCAUGUUAGGAGAAAAUUGUGACGUUCAAUCGGCCUGGACUUCCAAUAGUGACAAUUAUGGGUGAGCGACGUGUCCUCCCUAAUAGUAUUAUUUCUGCCAUUCAGGCAACAAGGUUGUUGAAUAAGGGUUGUGUGGGAUUUUUAGCCCACGUAAUUGUGAAGGAUGAAUCUUCUUUGCGUCCUGAAGAUGUGCCAGUUGUAAGGCAUUUCAUUGAUGUGUUUCCUCAUGAUCUACCGGGGUUGCCUCCUGCGAGGGCAAUUGAGUUCACUAUUGAUUUACUCCCAAGUACCAAUCCUAUUUCCUUGGCACCUUAUCGAAUAGCACCAGCGGAGUUGAGAGAAUUGAAGAUCCAACUCCAGGAAUUGGUAGACAAAGGUUACAUCCAGCCGAGUACAUCCUCGUGGGGAGCUCCUGUCCUUUUUGUUAGAAAGAUGGAUGGAUUAAUGAGACUCUAUAUCGAUUAUAGGCAACUAAAUCAGGUGACGAUGAAGAAUCGUUACCCUCUGCCUCGAAUCGAUGAUUUGUUUGAUCAAUUGAAAGGUGCUCAGGUAUUUUCCAAAAUUGAUCUUCAAUCGGGUUACCAUGAGUUGAGGAUUUGCGAGGAUGAUGUCCCGAAAACUGCUUUCCAUACAAGGUAUGGGCAUUACGAAUUUCGUGUCAUGCCUUUCGGAUUAACAAAUGCGCCUACAGCAUUUAUGGAAUUGAUGAACAGAGUCUUUAGACCGUAUCUGGAUCAGUUUGUGAUUGUGUUCAUUGAUGACAUUCUAAUUUAUUCUAGAAGUGUUAAUGAGCACAAGAAGCAUUUGAGACUAGUUCUGGAACGAUUGAGGGACGACCAGCUUUAUGCCAAGUUCAGUAAGUGCCAGUUUUGGUUAACUCAGGUUGGUUUUCUCGGGCACAUAGUUUUUGCUGAAGGAAUCCGUGUGGAUCCCCAAAAGGUGUCAGCAGUAUCUAACUGGGAACAACCGAAGAGUGUCACUGAAAUAAGAAGUUUUCUAGGUUUGGCAGGAUAUUAUCGAAGUUUUAUUCAAAAAUUUUCUGCAAUUUCUCUACCUCUUACCAAGUUAACUUGUAAAGGUGUUCAAUUUGUGUGGGAUGAAAAUUGUGAACAAAGCUUCCAGGAGCUUAAGUGACGCCUUACUCAGGCCUCAAUUCUCGCUCUUCCAGAUGACAGUGGCGAAUUUGAGGUGUAUACUGAUGCUUCUCUAUUAGAUUUUGGGUGUGUACUGAUGCAGCAUGGAAAAGUUAUCGCCUACGCUUCCAGACAACUCAAAACCCAUGAAAGAAAUUACCCUACUCAUGAUUUGGAGUUAGGAGCGGUGAUUUUCGCUUUGAAUAUUUGGAGGCACUACUUGUAUGGAGAGAAAUGUCAUAUUUUUACAGAUCAUAAAAGUCUUAAGUAUGUGUUCACCAAGAAGGAGCUGAAUUUGAGACAGAGAAGGUGGAUGGAGCUUAUCAGUGAUUAUGACCGUUCGAUCGAGUACCAUCCUGGGCAUGCUAAUGUCGUGGCUGAUGCUCUUAGUCGGAAACAUCACGAGCAGCUUGCAUCACUUCAAACUGUACAUGUUCCAUUACUAUUUUCUCUUCGGGAAAUGGGUGUUAAUUUGGAACUAGGUGAGCAUGGAGCUUGGCUAGCACAUUUCCAGGUUAGACCUAUUUUUGUUGACAUGGUCAUGGAAGCUCAGGAACUUGAUCCAGAAUGCGAUGAAUUAAAGGUACAAGUGUUGAAAGGAAAGAAUGAUAAAUUCUUCAUCCGUAAGGACGGAGCGUUAUUGAAAGGGAACCGUUUGUUCGUGCCUAAAGAUAUGCAUCCAGGGAGUACUAAAUUGUAUCGCACCAUUUAUCCUUUCUAUUACUGGGAAGGGAUGAAACAGGAUGUAGCAGAGUAUGUGAGUAGAUGUUUAAUCUGUCAGCAGGUUAAAGCAGACAGGCAGAGACCUGGGGGACUGAUGCAGAAUCUUCCGAUACUAGUUUGGAAGUGGGAGGAUGUCACUAUGGACUUUGUAUACAGACUGCCUAGAACACCGUCAAGGUAUGAUGGUAUAUGGGUAAUUGUUGAUCGCCUUACCAAGAAUGCUCAUUUCUUACCAGUUCGACAGACCUACUCGCUGGAGAAAUUGGCGAAAUUAUUUGUUGACAAUAUUGUUAGUCUGCAUGGUGUACCCGUCUCCAUUGUAUCAGAUAGAGAUCCCAGAUUUACUUAGAGGUUUUAGAAAGCCUUUAAUGCCGCUAUGGGUACUCAGUUACUGUUCAGCACUGCUUAUCAUCAACAAACUGAUGGUCAGUUCGAGUGGACAAUUCGAACUUUAGAGGACAUGUUGAGAGUGUGUCGGUGUUACAGUGGAAAGGCAGUUGGGAUAAUUAUUUGCCAUUGGUGGAGUUUGCUUACAAUAAUAGUUAUCACUCGAGUAUUGGUAUGGUGCUUUUUGAAGCACUUUACGGGAAGGCGUGUAGGACGCCAUUAUGUUGGACAGAGGCAGAAGAAAGGCCGUUGAUGGGACCAGAGAUUAUGGAUACCACCAACGCUAAUAUCUGUUUAAUUAAGGUGAAUUUAAAAGCAGCACAAGACCAACAGAAAAGCAUCACCGACAAACACUCCAAGGAUCAUGAGUAUACAGUGGGUGACUUUAUGUUCUUGAAAUUAUCUCCAUGGAAGGGUGUUGUUCGUUUUGGUAAGUGAGGAAAGCUGAGUCCUCGAUUUGUUAGUCCUUAUCAGAUUAUUGAGCGAAUUGGUGCAGUUACUUAUAGGUUGGAGCUACCAUCGGAGUUAUCUCAGAUCCAGAAUGUUUUCCAUGUAGAGCCAUUAGAAGUAAAUCCAGAUGCUAGCUAUGUAGAAGAACCAGUGGCUAUCCUUGACAGACAGGAUAACGUAUUGCGGAACAAAGUUAUUCGUUUGGUAAAGGUACUAUGAAGGAACCAUGCAGUUGAAGAAGCUACUUGGGAGACAGGGGAAUCAAUGUAGAACCAAUAUCCUUUUCUUUUCGUGUAACUUUGCAAUUUCGAGGAUGACAUUAUUUUAAGGGGGUAGAUUGUUACAACCACCCCCAAUUAUAUGUGUUAUAUAUUAUUUUACCCUAAAUUGCCACGUGGCAGCCAUCUAACUCCCCUCUUUUUUCUCUUUUUCUGUCCUCUCAUCCCCUGAGACCUUUCUCUUCUUUAUCUUUCUCUCUGUACUCCCUUUCUCUCUCAGCUCUUCCGUAUCUCUCUCUCUCUCAACCUUUCGCCUCACAUUACGCUAGGACCCUGUCACCAUUAAGGGAGGCUCGCAACGAGCCCAGAACUCCUCCCUAUGAGUUCGACGGCAAGGGAGCAAAAAGCUCCGACGAACCCUCCUUAUUUUUCUGUUAGGUAAGUCGUGGAUCUCUCCCUAUCUCUGUUAGUGUGACACUUGGUGGUGUGUUUUUGAGUUAAAUCCUUGCCUUUUUACGUAGGUUUUACCUUGGAAUCGCGUUGGGUUAAGCACACCCAUUUUUCCGGUGAACCCGUGAGCUUCAUGGGGUUUUUCGGUCACCUUCGACCGUGUCACAGCUAUUUGAGGGUAGCAAUCUCUUCCCAUCACCUUACUCUUCAUGUUCAUACUUAGAUCUGAGUCUAGAACCUCCGUUUUCAGGUGACCGGAGCUGUAGCAGCUUUGGCCUUCUCCUUCGGCAAAACUAGGCCUCUCAGGCCGUUUAGAAAACCCCACGGGCCUUAAGCCCGUUGUCCUUUAGCCCAAAACCCCAGUCCAUUUCAUUUUUAUUUUUAGUUAUAUUGUUUUAAAGACCCAAAAGGCCAUGGGCCUUAAACUGAAGGGCCUUGGGCCGGUUUCUGUUAAAAGACUUAAAGCCCUGCCCCUUUUGUGAGGCCUUUCGGCUGUGCUGUGUGUGCAGCCCGUGCGUGUGUGUGUGUGUGUGUGUGUGUUUAGCGUGUGUGUGUGUGUGUUUAAGUGUGUGUGUGUGUGUGUGUGUGUGUGCGUGUGUGUAUAUGCAUGCUGUGCAUGUGUGUGUGCUGGUGGUGUGUGUAUAUGUUUGGGCUUAAGCCCAAACCCCAUUCCUUCACCCUAAACCCUUUUAACCCAAAAACCCUAGGUUCCUAAAACCCAUUAGACCCUAACCCAUCCAACCCAAAUCCCUUAAUUUAUUUAGUUCAAGUACAAUCUUUUAGAAAAUCUUUUUAUUUAUUUAUUACAUUUUUUAUGCUUAGGUAAGGUUGCUUGUGGAGAAAUUCUUAAUCCUUAUCCGCACGACUCUUCUGCUAAGGAAUAUUUGUGAGUGGACCCAUUUCUAAAAUUACAUGAUUUUAUAAUUUAACUUCAUAAAUGAUUAGCAUGCCUACGAGUUUAUGAUUUGAUUUAUGUUAAGCCUGUUUACUGAAUAUAUUGAUUUUCGUCUUGUGUUUUUGGUAAGGAAUUAAUUGUUAGCCUAUAUUGAGCUAUAUUUUAAUAUAUCGUAUUUUCUAUAAAACUAUGAUCUGGUAGACUAUCUAAUGGAUGACGAUAGGAUACUAGAACAUGUUUUAGAAACCCCUCUGUAUAGUAUAGACGAUGGAUAACUUUAUACUAUGAAGUGAUUAUUUAUGAGAGGCGUAACUAUUUGUGCAUACCUAGAGGACACUAUGCCGCCUGGGGCGAGGAUCUGGUUUUCGCAUUGAGGCCGGGAGAAAUAAUCCCUAGCUACGGGCUGAGGGACAUGGAGCAGGCAUUGGGCCUGGAGUUGGUAAUCUCUAGUUACGGGCGCAGAGACCACGGAGCAGGUAUUGGGCCAGGAGAUAUAUUUAUUCAGUGAUUUUUCUAGCAGCACACCGCACUUACGAGACGAUCUACGAUACGUUUAUUGUUUUGAUUUACGCGAUGUUAUUCCACGAUAUGAUUUUGGAGAUACUUUUGGCAUGCUAGGAUUUUGAUUAAAUCCAUCACUUAUUAUGCUAGUAGUUUUCAUUAUAUAAACUGUGGGGGUUAGUACAUUGAUAACUGUUUUAUUAUUAUUGUAUAUAUGAACUUGGUCCACUCACCUUUGUUUUGCGCCCCCAUUCAGGUCAUAGAAACGAGGACUACGACUCGACGUACGAGGCAUUCCCCUACCAGUAGCAGUCUACUCCUCACUUGUGAGAUAUCUUGUAAUGAUCUUUCCGUUUUGUAAAUCUUGUUUUAGUUUGUGUCUUGUGCACUCUAGACACUUCCUUAAACUGUGUGUUUUUCUCGAGAUUUUAAAUGGUUAUUUAUGAAUAUUUUCUUCUAAUCAUUACUCUUGUAAUCAAUUAAUGGCUUUCGUCACCCUUGGGUGUCGGCCAGCACGUGUCUAUCCUGGUAUUCUGGGAAUAUCAGGGUCGGGGCGUGUCACAAUCGUACUGCAUCCUCUUCUGGUUACAAAUUUCCAUGUCAAAUUUGUGGAUCUUACAGUCAUGAAGCUAUUGACUGUUUCGAUCAAAUGAAUCUAGAGAUCUCAGGCAAGGUUCCCCCAGCUAAACUUGCUACCAUGUGUGCUCAUUACACUGCUAAGCCUUCCUAUUCUUGGCUCAUUGACUCGGGUGCUACCUCUCACAUCACCAAUGAUAUCUCCAAUAUCCAAUCUCUUACUCCCUACAAUGGUGAAGACAAGGUAUACAUUGGAGAUGGUAAAGGUCUGUUUAUAGAUGAUGUUGGCACAUCUGUUUUGCAUACUCCUGCUCAUUCUUUUAAAAUGCAAAAUGUUCUUCAUGUGCCUUAAAUGCAGCAUAGUCUACUUUCUGCCUAUCAAUUUAUCAAAGAUAAUGAUUGUUCAUUAACUCUUGAUAUUCAUGGAUACUUUGUCAAGGAUCGUUUUAUAGGGAUGACGCUUUUGCGGGGACAAGUUAAAGAUGGUUUCUUUCCUCUUCACAGUUCACCUACUCUCGACAAAGCUACUCCUUCUACACAUGUUGCACUAGUAAGUCCUUCUGCCAAUGUCAAAAUCUCGCACAGGCAGCUUGGUCAUCCCUCUUCAAUUAUAUUUCGUAAAGUUUUGUCAACAAAUAAAGUUGUUGUACAAGGCAAAUCCUCUCUGGACUUCUUCUACAAUGAUUAUACUCUAGCAAAGAAUCACAAGCUUCCAUUUGGUGUUCCUAGAUCUAUGUCUACUAAAUUGUUGCAUUGUGAUGUUUGGGGACCAUCUCAUGUUGUUUCAGUGAGUGGUUAUAGGUAUUAUUUGCUUAUUGUUGAUGAUUACAGCAAGUAUAGCUGGUAUUUUCCCUUAAAGUCUCAAUCUUAUGUAUUUUCAACAUUUGUGGAGUACAAGUCCUAUGUAGAAAAUACUCUUGGCAAUAAAAUCAAGGUUGUUCAAUCUGAUUCAGGGGGUGAGUUUACUAGUCAUCAAUUUCAGAAUUUUCUUAAACUUCAUGGUAUUUUCCAACAAUUUAGCUGCCCUCACACUCCGGAGCAAAAUGGAUGUGUUGAAAGGAAGCAUCGUCACUUGGUUGAAAUUGCACAAACACUAUUGGUUGCAUCUAAAAUUCCUCAUGUUUUUUGGGUUGAAGCAUUUUCCACUGCAGCUUAUUUGAUUAAUCGGCUUCCUCUUGGUGGCAUACUGCAAUCCCCUUGGGAACUUCUUUUUGGUACCCCUCCAUAUUAUUCUCAACUUAAAACUUUUGGCUGUGGAUGCUUUCCUUAGCCCAAGCCAUACACUUCAUCCAAGUUGGACAGCAAAAGUAAACAGUGUGUCCUUUUAGGGUAUAGUCUUCAACACAAGGGGUAUCGUUGUCUUCAUCAAGUUACCCAAAGACCAUACAUAUCAAGGCAUGUGCUAUUUGAUAAAACUAAUUUUCCAUUCAUUCUAUAUCAACUGUUACACCAAGUUCUACUAAUGGUUCUUCAACAGUGAAUCCCAAUGUCAAUUUACACUUUACUAUACCCAUUUCUCCUCAAGCACCUAUUGCUCAUCCUACCACUAGCAAUGUACUUGCUACACAACAUCUUUCUCCUACAUCGUCAGGUUCACAAUCUGUCACUCCAAGGCUGGAAUCUUUAAACCAAAAGCCUACUCAUCUACCAAGCAUCAUUUACCUGCAUCUGUUGAUUUUAUCCUUAUUAAUUAUCUUCAGGCUUCCAAACAUGCUCAUUGGAGAUCUGUUAUGAAGGAUGAGUACAAUGCCCUGCAGUUAAUAGGUACUUGGUCUUUAGUCCCUUUUAGACCUCAUCAAAACAUAGUUGGAUGUAAAUGGGUUUUCGAGUGAAGAAGAAUCCAGAUGGGACUAUUGAUAGAUAUAAAGCCCGGCUUGUGCCCAAAGGCUUUCAUCAGCAAGCUAGUUUGGAUUACAAAGAAAAGUUUAGUCCUGUAGCAAAGCCGGUAACAAUUCGAAUUCUUCUUUCUUUAGCAAUUUGGUACAAUUAGUUUCUCAACCAAUUGGACAUCAGUAAUGCAUUUAUGCAUGGGGAUCUUCAAGAAGAUGUCUAUAUACACCAACCACCUAGUUUCAGUGAUCCUAACUACCCCAAUCAUGUCUGCAAACUUUGAAAAUCCUUGUAUGGCUUGAAACAAGCCCCUUGGGCUUGGUUUGAUAAAUUCUUAAGUCUAUGGGAUUUCAUCAAUUACAAUCUGAUGCUUCUCUAUUUGUAAUUAAAGCACCUAUUCUUGUUAUUGUCUUUGUGUAUGUCGAUGACAUACUUGUCACAGGCCCUAAUUCUGCAGCUUGUCAACAAUUUAUUCCGAAAUUGGGUCUAUCUUUCUUGUUAAGGAUUCGGGACCCUUGCAUUAUUUCUUGGGUCUUGAGGUUCAAAGAUCUUCUGCAGGUCUCUUCUUACAUCAAAGAAAGUACCUUCUAAACUUGCUUCAAAAGACACAUAUGGAAGGUGCUAAACCAUGUCUCACUCUUAUUGGCUCUCUCAAACUUGAUCACAUAGGCCCUUUGUUACAUGAUCCUAAAGAGUAGAGGUAUAUUGUUGGUGCACUACAAUACUUGACUUGGACAGGACCUGAUUUAUCUUUUGUUGUAAAUCAAUUCUGUCAAUUUAUGCAUGCUCCAUGAGAACCAUAUUUCCAAGCAGCCAAAAAAAUUCUCUGGUUUCUUAAAGGCACAGUGAGUCAUGGUUUGUGGUUCAAGAAAGGUGUUAUCCAUCUCAGUGCCUACUUUGACGCUGAUUGGGCUUGAUGUAUAUUUGAUAGAAGAUCUACUAGUGGGUAUUGCAUAUUUCUAGGGUCAAAUCUCAUUAGCUAGAGUGCUAAGAAGCAACCAACGGUUGCUCGGUCCUCCACCGAAGCAAAAUACAGAUCCUUAGCUCACACAACAGUUGAAUUAACAUGGAUCUGUAAAGUGUUCAAGGAUAUUGGUCUCCAUCUUCCUCAUAUUCCUCAUCUCUGGUGUGACAAUAUUUCUACAAUUUCACUUGCUUCUAAUCCAAUUUUUCAUGCUUAAACCAAGCAUGUUGAACUUGAUUACUAUUAUAUCCGAGAGUUGGUGUUAGCUAAUCUUUUCAAGGUCCAAUAUGUGUACACUCAGGACCAACUAGCUGAUAUUCAUACUAAAUCUUUGUCUAAAUCUAGGUUAUUAUACUUGCAAUCCAAGCUUUCUCUUGGAACUAUGGAUGCAUCCAAGUUCAGCUUAAGGGGGUGUAAAGAGUCAAGUAAAGUUAGUUAGAUGUUUGUUAUAAUUCUUGUGUAAAUUGAUAGAGUAGUCAAGGGUAUAAAUGUAAGUGGCGCAUUGCCUAUAUAUACUGCAGCACCAGUGUAAUCUUAUAAUGAUUUCAAUACAAUUGAAGCAUAUUUAGAAACUGUGUGUACUUAGAAUUCUACAAUUUAGGGUUGCUUUGUGUGUGUGUGUGUGUGUGUGUGUGUGUGUGUGUGUGUGUGUGUGUGUGUGUUUCAGAUAGGAGAGAGAGAUGUCGGGGAGUGAAAGGGUCCAGGGGUGAGGGUUAAAGAGAAUGAGAGAAGAGAGAGAGAGAGAGAGGAAGUUAUAAUAAUAAAAAUAUAUGAAAAUAUCCCAAAAAGGGAAAGGGGGAAUCCGGGUAGGGUAAGGGGAUAAGGGGACAAAAUUUCAAUGUGGGUCCCUUUUGGUUCGUAGAUUAAGAACGUGAAAGACGAAACACAAAAUAUUUGAAAACAUUCGACGUUCAGACGUAGAAUCUUCGGUAUAAAUCUAAUUUCUAAUCUGUUCAAGCCUACGUGCUCGUGGCAAUAAGUACGUUAAGAAUAAAUUAGUAACAUUAAAACUACGUGUUUCGACGAGGCAGUCAAACAAAGUCAACUCAAGGGUAAAAAGGUAAUUUCAUAAUUUCGGCAAUAUGAAAAUACACUAAAUUUGGGACAGGGUUUCACAUGGCUAAUAUGUCAGCAAUGACAUUCCUUUCUCGAAAUAUAUGAGAGCAAUGAGAAACCAUGUAUUGCAACUAGAAGCAAAGUAAGAUAUCACACUAGAACAAUCACUUUCAAGUCAUAAAUUUUGUUAACCCCGCACAAGAGCCAACUCCACAUCAAGGGUGACAGCAUGAAGCUUCGCAUAGAAAGAAGUAUAAUGCCCCAAACUCAGGGAGAAAGCACCAAGAAAAUAACUCGCAGGAUCUCAAAAAGCCCCACCACUAGCCGCAAGACCUGGUUACCUUUAGCAAGGCCAUUUGUAUUCAUUUUGGCUCACAAAAAUAAAGAAAGAUGCCAAAAAAUAAGAACCCUAAAAAAAGCUUUACAAUACUCACCCGAGAUUCCAAAAGGUUAUCAUCAUUCUACUCUUCACCAAUAAAAGCAGAGAGACGCUUUACGACUUUUAGUGUACCAAAAAUCACACACUUUUUAGUCAUACUUUGUGAUUAGAUUAACAUCAUCAGCACCACAACAGAAUCCCGGUCCAAUAAAUUUAAUUACAAUAAAAUUAGUUGAUGAUAUUUUCGAGACUUAUUCUAAAGCCGUGCACGUGCCACCUAUUUGCAUUGGUUGACGCAUUUGUCUUCCAUGAACAAAAAGUUGAACUCUACAACAAAUAACAUGGGUGUUUUGUAUUGUAUCGAGUCCCCAACAUGGUAGCGAUCCAACUAAAGUAUAACUUACAUGUCAUAGUUACAUCUUCAUGCCGUGGUGAAGCUAUAAAGGAUCAAGAGGGGCGACGACCCUCUCGCCAGAAAUUUAACCCAUAAAAAAUAAUAACAAAAGAACGACCACUUGUCCGAGUGAGUUUUCAGUGUAAAAGAUACAUGGGGUGAUAUAUCACGUGUCACUAUACAAAUGGUGGGAUAUGUAUGCUAAAAAGUUAAUGACUUAAAAAAUAAAAUUUCUCAUCACUUACAUAAAAACAAGUAGUGUACCACCCAUCUUUUAAUUACAAUAAAAAUUUUCUCCACUCGCCGCCCAUUAACUCUCACACAUUUGAUACUGUAUCCAAUCCCCACUCCAGUGCCCUAUCUUCUGCUUUCUUUCUGUCCUAUUCUCUUAUUGAUUGAAGUGCAACAACUCUCAGCAUCCAUUUUCCUUUUUUGUCGCCAUUGCCAACCCCCUCAAAUGUAAUCCUAAUUUUUUGAAAUUAAAUUAUUAGUUCCAAGAAUUUAAUAUAAAAUUUUGCUCAAUUAAAAUAGAAUUAUAGCGUAAUAUGAAUAUUAAUUAUUGACAUGAACCAUGUGAUUAUUGAUUAAUUAAAUUAUUGAUUAUUGAAUAAUCUAUACCUAUAUAAUUCUUGAUCCUGGUCAAUUGAAUUGAAAUUUUGUUUAUUGAAUAAUUUAUAUAAUUAUUGGUACUGAUUAAUUGAGUUGUUAGUUUAAUUAGUUAUUAGUCAUAUAGUAUACUCUACUCUAGGAUUAAGAGUCUAAGACUUAAUGGAAUGAUACUAUAAAAACCAUUGCUUAAAUCUCCCUUCAAAUAUUAUGGGUAGUCUUCCUUCGAAUAUUCUAGGUAGUCCUCCGAGUAUUGAUACAUUACAGACAUUCCUAAUAUUGUCUAAUAUCUAUACAAAUUUGGUUGUCUACAUUUUUUUUAACCUUGCACUCUUUUAAAUUCGUCUGUCCCUCAAACAAUUCCUAACUUCGAUACUGUCGUCAUGUGAUACUUUUUGCUAAUGAAACAAAGGUAAUGAGAAGCUUAAAAAAUGAAGCCCAUUUCUUUGAAAUCCCACUAUAGUAAUGCCAAUAAAAAUAGAAAAUGGGAGAUAGAAAGUAAUAAGAAAAUGACUUGUAAAUGUAAAGCUAUAAGGUAUCAUACCUGGAGAUUAUGAAAUAGCAAAAAAGUAAAAGUGACCGACAUACAAGGGAAAAACUUUUGUUUAACAUUUCCGGAAGGAUCACCUAAAAAUUUUUGAAUGAACAUCAAGGUAGAGUCUUAUUCAGCUCUAUCCAUGCCACUAUUGGCUUCAAUGGUUUCUCAACUUCUCGAUAAUUAAGUGGAGGUUCAAAACUCAUACCCACAUAAAAGUAGUUUCGGCAAUCCACUAAAAGGAGGGAACGAGUCGUGGUUGAUGAUACGAGAACUUAAAACCUCCAUAAGUAUCAAGGUUAGAACAUUCAAGUUCUAAGACAUAGUUUGGUUUAACAAAUUAAUUAUGGAGAACUUCAGGGUUCAACAUGAGUGGCGCGGUUUUAGGAAACACAAAAGGUUUCUAUGGCAAAACUCAAAAUUUCGGUUCGAAGUUUAGUAUGAACUUCAGGUUCAUUGUACAUGUAUUGUCAUAACAAUACAGUAGCACAAACAUACACAAGCAAUUCAAUUGAUAAACAUGUACAAUAAAAUUUCCAGAUAUAAUCCCCAUUUAAGGUCAUUAGUUUAAUUUAGUAUAUAACAUUUAAGGUCAUUAUUUCAAGCUUCAAGCCUAAUAGGUUGGGCUGCUGGCCUAUAAAAGACACAUCCGAUCAAUAGCAAUAUGGCCAAGAUGAUCAGAUUUUGACACAUCCGAUCAAUCGUAUACACCGACAUACCUAAAGAGCUCCACUGAUGUUAAUAUCAUCAUGCUUGCAAAGCAGGUCACCUUCAUAGAAACAAACUACAUCAUAUACCAUAGUGAAGGUACCCGGCCGAUCGGUUGUUGAUCGAGAAGUGCUUAUGGACCUGUUGGAUCUCAGGAGAAAGAAGCUCCUGCAGAGCACCUUACAUCUAAUUAAUCUACACCACUGCAUUCUUGGUUCAACAAUUUGCUCUUCCCAGAGAAGAGAAAAAUUGAAGCUACUCCUGCAUAACUAAAAUUUGAUUAAAUACCUAAACUUAUGCUUUUAAUUCUCUUACUUUAGGUCUAACUGCAGGAGAAGUAAAACUAACAGGGAUCAAAAGAAUCAAAGCAACUACAGGAGAAGUAUAACUUUUUACCCGACUUCAACUUGCCGCUACAUGUAGCCCUGAAAUUCUACAAGUACAAAAGCGAAUUAUCACACUGAAUUACCAGUAGUCAUGGACCUUGGGUUCAUAAAAUACAUUUGCAAUCGAUUUAGAUACUACAGAGAAUGACCUUUAAAGACUACAGGAGACGACACUGAGUGCAGACUGCACUGUUAGUUAUGAUUGGCAGAAACCAAAUGGCUAAUCCAUCGUAUGCUUAGCAGACUAUUUCAGCAAAUAGGACGAUUGAGAAGAAUUCUGAUAAAUUGUAGCCUGAUUAGCCCUCAUCUAACUUCUAAUUCACAUGUUGGUAAACAAAAGAUUGCUUGCUUACAUUUUUCUGAAAAGUAGCACUUUCCAGCUAGAGCUACAUGGUAGAAAUACAAUGAUACAAACUCACUCCGAAUUUUGGAUGCCCAAACAUCGAAAACUUCAACAUGUAUUUGAAUGAACAUUUAAACAAAACAACAUAACCAAAUGUUCAGUGUGAUAAAUAAAACUUGGUAAAUUUCAUUGAUGACCCCUAAGAGUUGGUUUCCAUUUUGAUCCCUAAUCUUUAAUGUGCCAUUUUCCACCCUACUACACAAUCUGCAGUUACCACAUAAAUGUAUGUGUCCUCUAUAAAUAAAAAAGAAAAAGGCUGGGCCUCGACUCUAGGGUUUCGGUAAGGUUCGAAUAGGUGAUAAACUAAAACUGUUAGCGGUAACAAACAGAUAAAAGUCAUAUAAAGGAAGCUACUUCGGCUCUGUACAAAAGAAUGAUAAAACAUCGGAUAGAAAUAUGAAUAACACAAAAAUUUGAAACCUGUAUCAUGAGAAUGAAUGUGAUAGGCAAAUGUAAAAGAGGUCUUUAAACUCAAAAGGAACCAAUAGUGGAAGUCCAAUGUUUUCAACAAGUUCACACUCUAUGUCAUUUUACCAUAUUAUUUCUUACACUUUUUAUUCCUGAUCACAAAAGAAAUUAUUAAACCAAUAGGCAAAGAUGUAAGAACACAAUACACAAAAUGCAUAAAAGCCACCCGUAUUUUCAACUUCGGAAGCUCAGAUUAUCAUUGAACUAUUCAAGGAGUAACUGCCUAAAUCAGUUGGACAUGGGAAGAGGUAUAUAUGAUUUUGUCACUAUGUUCGCAGAUUCACACAAAUUGCAAUACAAGAGGAAUCAAAUUGUUUCAUGAAAGCCUCGGGCAUUGGUGUCUUGCCAAAAAGAAGAAACAAAUAAAAACCAUUACAAAGUUUCAAGUUGAAAAGGCCAUGUAAAACAAAGUGAGACAGAACUUUAGAUGGUUCAAAACUUAUUAACCAUCUACAGUACCGACUUUUGUGAACAUUCAACUUUGCGGAAAUUACGGGCAUUCUGUCGAAGAUUUCUAGUGAAGUAGAAAGCACGUGAAUGUUACUGUUCAAUCAUUCACUUUCCACACGCAACAUCAGCUCACGGGUACCACAAAUAACUUUGCCAAAAAUCUCUGACAAAGUUUAGACACGUGAAGCUUGCAGCUCCCAUUACAUCGUUAUGACCAAGAAGGGUAAAAGAAUAGCAAAGAAACAGUACUAACAAAGUUUAGACACAUAAAUUUUGAAGGUCUAGCUACCAUAUUAUUACCCACAAGGGUAAAGGAACAUGACCAUUGCUGGAUAAUUGGAAAGUCCCUGUGGGUCAACCUCUGUGCUCCGGGGCAAGGUAGACUAGCAAACAGGCCUAACCUUUACUCACAUUCGAGAAAACACUCCCAACAAGAUUGCUUGCUUCAAGAUCGAAGAGGCACCGUCCUCCGAAUCUCGAGAGCCAGACUCCCAACAUGAUUACUUUCUCAAAAAGCGACGAGACACCGCUCUCCGAAUGUCGAGAGCCAGACUCCUAGCAGGAUUGCUUUCUCAAAAAUCGAAGAGGCAUCGUUCUCCGAAUCUCGAGAGACAGAUCCCCGACAGGAUUGCUUGUUCGAAAACCGAAGAGGCACCUCUUUCUCAACUUCGAGAGCCCCUUAGAUAAAGCUUGUCUGUAAUCCUCACACCGUUUUCUUAACCUCGAGAGCCAUAUCUCCUUGGAUAAAGCUUGUCUGUAAUCUUCACACGUAACAUCAGCUUUCCAGAUACCACAGACCACUUUUUCAAAGUGCUCUGACAGAGUUAAAACACGUGAAGCUGGCAGCUCCCACUACAGUGCUAUGACCAAGCAGGGUAAAAGAAAAGUAUUACUCCUUGUUAGGGAGACUCCUAUAUAUGUCGACCUCCAUCCUCAACGGACAGGCAGACCUGCAAAAAUGCUCAACCCUUCCUCAUAUCUGAGAGGGCACUCCCAACGAAGCCUCUCGAAAUACUCAGCUUUCUUUCCCCCCAAGAAUACCUCUGCAAACAAGCUACACUAGAGCAAGAAUAUCUCAUAUCAUCAGGGUUAAAAGCAAGAGUAUCCCAUAUCAUGCUUUUUCUCUGUCUUUUCCUUUGGCCUUGUUCUUACCUACAAGACAAGGAGAAAGAGAGCAAUCGGUCAGCACUUGGAAUCAAGCUUCUAGUCCGGAACUGAUUGCCUGGAACCCCAUUGCUCUCGAGUACUCAUCUUCAACAUCUUAUGCUUCCCGAGAAGAUACCACAUCUGCCUGAGGAACAAAUAGGGCAAGUGAGAAGGAUACAAGGAAGCAUGUGGAGACAAGCGCAACAGAACACGUGCCGAUACAUCCACUACUUUGUCAACAGCAAAAGUAUCCCAUAUCAGCAGGGUCGAACGUACUCUAGAUUUGAUGGAUUUGUUUUGACCCUCAAAUUCUUCAGUCGGCCUUAUACUCUGGCGGAAACAAGAAAACCCUCCAGCCCAGUUCAAGAAUAAGCCUGUGGAAAGUUACUUCUUCAAAAGCAAAAGUAUCUCAUAUCACCUUUUCUCCUUUUCUUCUCUUUAUCCUUCAUGCUACCUGCAAGAUAAGGAGAAGGAUAACAAUCAGCCGGAACUCGAAAUCAAACUUCUGAUCUGGGACUGAUUGCUUGGAGCUCUGAUUGCUUACCUUGUCUGUCACCUCUUUCAGCAGAUCCCCUAGCUCGGCGACUUGGGGGACUCCUACUACAUGGUUUGUAUCGCGCUUGACCAAGCCUGAAACUACAAGUAAGCGUCAAGUGAAAUUGAUACAUUACCUUGUGCAUCUUCACCAGUUAAAGAUACCACCCCUGGAGGGAGGAAGAGUACUUCCAAAGAAGAUGCCACAUUCUACCUAUGAGACAGAUAAGGCAAGUGAAGACGAUACCACACUUCGGUACUUAAAAGUUUCGUGAUUUACGAGAUCAUUCUUCCACAAUAUUUCCUAAUGUCAUUUGUACUAAAUCAUUCACUUGUACUCACUAAAGGAGAGCUUGAACAUAUAUACUGUGUAAACCCUUCACAAUUAAUGAGAACUCCUUUACUCCGUGGACGUAGCCAAUCUGGGUGAACCACGUACAUCUUGUGUUUGCUUCUUGUCUCUAUCCAUUUACAUACUUAUCCACACUAAUGACCGGAGCAAUCUAACGAAGAUCACAAACUUAAUAUUUAAGAUGAUAUUCUUUGGUGUAUGCUUUUCGCAAACGAUAUAGUGUGGAUAGAUGAAACGCAGGAAGGGGUAAACGCGAAGCUUAACUUUUGGAGAGAAGUGUUGGAAUCUAAAGGUCCUCGCCUAAGCCGAUCAAAGACAAAAUAUAUGGAAUGCAAGUUCAGUGCAAACGGAGACCAAAAUGAGUUAGGGGUGAGGAUCGGAGAUCAGGAAAUACCAAAGAGCGACCGUUCUCACCCAUAGAAUACAAGCUGGAUGGAUGAAGUGAAAGAGUGCAUCCGGCGUGUUGUGUGACCGUCGUAGGCCACUGAAGCUCAAGGGAAAAUUUUAUAGGACGGCAAUAAGGCCGGCAAUGCUGUAUGGCAUAGAAUGUUGGGCGCUGAAGCAUCAACACGUAGGUGUAGUGGAGAUGAGGAUGCUUCGUUGGAUGUGUGGGCACACGAGAAAGGAUAAGAUUAGGAAUGAGGAUAUCCGAGGUAAAGUAGGAGUAGCCGAAAUUGAAGGAAAGAGGAGAGAAAAUCGGUUACGGUGGUUUGGACAUGUGCAAAGAAGGCCUACUGACACUCCGGUUCGAAGAUGUGACCACGGGACAGAGGUUCAGGGCCGAAGGGGUAAAGGAAGACCUAGGAAAACUUUGGAAAAGACCCUAAGAAAAGACUUAGAGUACUUGGAUCUAACGAAGGACAUAACACAAAACCGAGCGCAAUGGCAUUCUAGGAUUCAUAUAGCCGACCCCACUUAGUGGGAAAAGGCUUUGUUGUUGUUGUUGUUGUUCGCAGAUGUGACAAAUUGCAAUACAAGAGGAAUCAAAUUGUUUCAUGAAAGCCUCGGGCAUUGGUGUCUUGCCAAAAAGAAGAAACAAAUAAAAACCAUUACAAAGUUUCAAGUUGAAAAGGCCAUGUAAAACAAAGUGAGACAGAACUUUAGAUGGUUCAAAACUUACUAACCAUCUACAGUACCGACUUUUGUGAACAUUGCUGGUAAUGUCUUAAUUUCAAUAGAUUGAGUCCUAAUGCUCCCUUAGUCAGAAUAUCUCAGUUACAAUAUAAGAUUCAUUACAAUGUUUUAUUUCUGUUUAACAGAGUUUGUUUUAUUACCAAUGAUCCCUUAGUCAGAAAGUCUCGAUUAAGUUCACUAUAUUGUGUUCUGUAUUAUUAUACAAGUUUGUUUUAUUAUUGAAUUACAAAACCUACACGUUCAUGUGAUAGUAAAAUUAAUAAACCAGGAGAUGGAAGAUAGCAUGUAAAGAGAAACUUGUAUAUCCAUUCACACAAUACACAAAGACAUAAAGCUUUCAAAUGACCGAUAAACUAAGCUACAAGCUCAUUAUCAAAGAAUGCUACAACAAGAUACAAUCAACAGAAACCUCUCAAAAUAAACAACAUAAAAGGAGACACAACCCUCUACUCUACAAUACAACAGUGACUUCAUCAUGGGUCUAUUAAUUGCACAUAUAUAACCCAUUCUCAUACCUGUGAUUAACCUCAUAAAAGUCUGUAUUACCCUCGGAAGCUGGCCGCAAAACAAACUCCAGACAAUGAUUUAGUUCCUUGCCAAGAAAACUUCACAUAAGCAACAACUUCAAUCUCCUCACUGCCAUCUCCUUCAUUAGAAUCCACAGGCAUCCUUGCCCUCAACCGACCAGGAGAGAUCCAUUCAACGGAAUCUCGGGGAUAUGCCAUUUCAGUUCUUUAUCAGACCUACUUAAUAUAGCUUUUGGUGAUACCUUCAACAAUGUAGGAUCAAGUGGGAGUUUUAAAACAAAUGUCACAUCAGUCAAAGGCGCUGGCAACUCAGGGUUUGACACAUACUGUAUCAUCACAGAAAGUAAGCUUCCUGUAUGGCGUUGCACAAGACGAACCCUCAAGGGCAAUGGUGUCAACCUGGGCAGCAGACUAUACUUCAAAAUGGGUAAAGGCUCAUCGGAGGCUGCGGUCCUCACAUGAAACAAUCCGUUCCCCAGACUACUAACGCGGAGAAUUCUGCAUAAUAAACCUCUUAACCGGGCUGGUUCCCUCAACCCGGAAAGAAAAUUCGGUCUCUUUAUCACCACUAGUUUUGGUAGGCAAAGUUCUCAAAUAAACAACACCCAUUAAUCCCACUCUAGCAAGCAAUGACUCUCUAAACUCAGCACUGAUCUCUUCCACAACGUGCAUCUCAGGACCCUUCAUUUCACUUUUUACAAGGGUAUCAAGGGGAGUACCUGCUGCUGCACCACCGGCAGUGGCAUCAGCAGUUUUUGGAGCAUCAGGCCCGGUCUGCAACAAUUCAAGCCCGCCCAGCCCUUCUUUCUUCGCAACCUUCUUCGAUCCAACAAACUCAGAAGCAUCCAACCCACCUCCCCAAGCAUCACUAAACCCUUCAAAAGUCUCACCCAAAGAAGCUUGGUCAUUCCCAAACUCAAUCCCACCAUACUCCCCUUCAAACCCUUCCACCGCAAUAUGGGUACUCUGGGUCGCCUCUGCCGGAGGCAAUGUAGUCACUUCAAGUGUCGCCAGCGCUGUUGUUAGGUCCGUGGCGGAAGGAUCCUUGUUCUUCUUGAACCCACUCACCAGCUCUUCAGGCUGAUUAAUCUUCUCGCUUGCCGCAAAUGGGUCCUUCUCAGCUUGGCUCUCGUCCUCAUUCUCUAAAUUCUGAUCCUUCUCCUCACUCUGCACCACCGGCGCCAAGCUAGCCGCCACCUCAUCUCCAGCAGCGAUCGUCUCCGGCGGCAAUUCAAACCCUAAAUUGUUGAACGCCACAAUGCCCGCCUCGUGUUCGACGGAAAGCGCCUCAACGGCUCUCCAAUUCUCCGCCCCACGGAUCUUGUUCUCAGUGUCCAACGCCGAGUGCACCAUCUUGGCAAUGCCGUCGCCGUGCAUCGACGAAAGCAUCGCCGCUAAUCGAAUAUUGCUGACACCUCUCAGAACAAUGUCGAGAGCCAUGUAGAUCUCGGCGUACUUCCGACUCAGCUUCUCCGGAGUAACAUCGACGCCGCGGCAAGCGGUGACUAUGACGCUGACGGCCUGGUUGACGAUGUGGAUGCACUCGAAGACGUUGAUCGAGUUGUCGUGAUCGGCGGUGGUGACGCCGAGGACGUAGAUGGAGUUGACGAGGCGGUAGACGACCCGGUACCGAGAUUCGACACCCACGAUGAGCUGGCCACUCGAGGCUGCGAGUGGGUCGUCGCCGAGGGAGGCGACGGAGUCGGCAGUGGUAUCGGAGGAAGAGUCAGAGUGGCUGUGGGAAUUGUCUUUGGUGGUGUGGAGUUGUUGCUGCUUGGCGGCGGCGAAAGCUAGGCGGGUCUGGCGGAAGGAGGAGACGGCGACGAGGGCCCGGGCAGGCGGGAACCAUUCUCGGGUUUGGAGCAGGAUGUCGGAUCCAUUGGCGGGUUGAAGAGAGAGGGCUAAGCAGGACAUGGUGUGAUCGGAUCAAGGUCGGAUCGGAUCCAGGGCCUCGGGUUGCGACGUUUUGCUUUGCUGUGAUUCCGUGAAGUUGCGAGAGAUGAUGACUCGGUGAGACUCCGGUGGGGAAAGCUCACAGUUUGAUGGGGAAGACGGUGGUUAUGGGCCGGAGGGGAAUUUAACAGGCCGGCCUCACCUAGAUGCAAAUGACUACCCGCUGGCCCAUUUAGCUCAAGCAUUGAUCCAAUUUCAUUAUUAUUUAAUUAAUUUGUCUUAAUUUCUAAGUUAGGAGAGUAUUCUUCUUGAAAAGAAAAAUUAGGAGAUUAUUCUUUUGGUCAAUCAGAAAACGGAAAUGUUUUUUUUUAUGCAACGAUAUCCAUCACAAUGGGCAAGCCAUUCAGUAGGCAUCAAACGCAACACAAAUAUAAUACGUCUUCCCUAUUUGUGUGAGUCGAACUUGAGACAUCUCACGUAUAAAUGAAAAAGAAUAUUACUACGACGUAGUACUAGUUUGUUAAAGUAAAAAAUAUUGAACAAUUACUUCAUAGCUUUUGAGGCGAAAACUGAGCCUUCUUCUAUGGAAAUGCAUCCAAAGGUGAACUUAAUUGGUGCAUUCAAUUAAUGAUGUUUGCCCAAGUAGGAGAUUAAUGUUAGAGCUUUCAGGCUUGAGUCACCAACAUGUGUCUUCUAUGUGCCUUGAUCAAGGGUGAACCCAUGAUGCAUUAAUAGGAAAGAAGAGUGCUAGUGAGAUGACGUUUUAAACGCUCUCUAAUAGAGGUAGGAUUUACUUGUACUCUAUGAGAGAGAGAGAGAGAGAGAGAGAGAGAGAGAGAGAGAGAGAGAGAGAGAGAGAGAGAGAGAGAGAACAUAUAUAAGCAUACACCCACAUUAGGUGUAAGGAAAACUUAGGAGAAUAUUCUUUUGGUCAAUUAGAAAACGGAAAUGUUUUUUUUUUUUUUUUAUCAACGAUAUUCAUCAUAAUGGGUUAGCCAUUUAUUAGGUAUCAAACUCAACACAAAUAUAAUACAUCUUCGUUAUUUAUGUGAGUUGAACUUAAGACAUCUCAUGUAUAAAUGAAAACGAAUAUUACUAAGCCGUAGUAAUAGUUGGUAAAGUAAAAAAUAUUGAAUAACUACUUCAUAGCAAAGUUCUAAAAAACGUUAGGCGUUAGGCGGGCGGCGUGCUGGCGCUUAGAGCCUAGGCGGUUAAGGGGGGUCUACACAGGCGCCUAGGCGGAUUUAGGUAAAUUUCUUGUAUAUCUUGUAAAUAAGUGUAUACUGACACUUACAAAAAAUCAUACUUAUAUGAAAUUCCUGAAUAAGAUAGAGGAAUUAAUUUGCUCUCAUCUUCGCAAGAACACAGACCAGAAAUUGAAAAACCAAAACACAAACUAGAAGCAUUCAUCCUUUCUCAAGUUCAAAUGCAGAAAAAAUUGAAAUUCUCAAACCGCUUAGGCUGCCCAAGGGCCACUCAGGCCGCCUUGGCGCCCGCCUAAUACCUGUCCCAAUUUUGCUCUAGAUUUUGCAUUAAUCUCGGUUGUUGGCCACCACUCAGCGCCUAGGCCGAUUUUUAGAACACUGCUUCAUAGCUUUGAGGCAAAGCUGAAUUGGGAGGCCUCACAGCCAAACUGAGCCUUCUUCUAUGAAAAUGCAUUAAUGGGUGAACCCAAUUGGUGCAUUCAGUUAAAGAUGUUUUCCCAAGUAGGAUAAUGUUAGAGCUUUUAGGCUCAGAGUCAUUAACAUGUGUCUGCUAUGUGCUUUGAUCAAGAGUGAACCCAUGAUGCAUUAAUAGGAAGAAGAGUGCUAGGGAGAUCACAUUUAAACUCUCUAGUAGAGAUAGGAUGUACUUAUACUUUAUUAGAGAGAGAGAGAUAGUGCGUUUGCAUAUGGUUUACAAUAUGUGAUCUCCUUAACAUCACUCUUGCUAACUGACUGAUAUAGUUACGAUGCAUUCCCGAUAUUUUAAUGUGAUUGGGAUUCCUAAGUUAUGUCGGUUUGGGGCUGAGCCAACUUGUGUUAGGUAUUUUCCAUGAUUGGUUGGAAACUAAUCUAGCACUUAUAUAAGCUAACACAAGUUGGAAAAAGUUUUCUUAUUGAGUAUCUAUCUGAGUACUGUCUUCUUACGUAUCUUAUGUUAUUUAUGAAUCUUAUUUAUCAAGACAUACAACACAUAAGUAGGCAUUGCCACAUUGCGUAGAAGAAUGUAUUCUUGAUAGGAGCAUAUUUAUGCCACUUAGUGAGCUUGUUUCUUGGCAUUUACUUAGUUUAAUUCUAGUUAUUUUAGUACUUUAAGCUAUUUUCGUGUGUUUGUAGGUUCAAAUAACAAAGUUGGCAACAAAGUGCUAUUUGGAGCACUUUGGAGCAUUUUUGGGCCAAGAUUGGAUAGUGCAAGCAUGGAGACAUGAGGAUGGACGUUUUUGAAGAUUAAAAGGUUAGAAAUCAGCAUGUGUGUGUGCAAGUGUGUUGACCUACAACUACAAACACUCAUCCACUACACCCAUUACAUCCACUCAUUACCAAACACUUAUCCACUACACCCAUUACAUCCACUCAUCCACUACACCCAUUACAUCCACUCAUUACCAAACAUCCAUCCACUACACCCAUUACAUCCACUCAUUACCAAACAUCCAUCCAUUACACCCAUUACAUCCACUCAUUACCAAAACUACACCUAUUACAUCCACUCAUUACCACAAAACACUCAUCCACUACACCCAUUACAUCCACUCAUUACCACAAACACUCAUCCACUACACCCAUUACAUCCACUCAUUACCAAACAUCCAUCCACUACACCCAUUACAUCCACACAUCCAUCCACUACACCCAUUACAUCCACUCAUUACCAAACAUCCAUCCACCACACCCAUUACAUCCACUCAUUACCACAACACUCAUCACUACCACCUUAAUUAGAUGGUGGUCCUCUCCCUAGCCUAUAAAUACAUCCACCCUUCACCAUAACAAGGGGGAAGAAAACCAGAGCAGAACACAAUCCACCAAUCCACCCUUCACCAUAACUCACCUAUAUCCAUCCACCACCAUAAUUUACCACUCAUCCAUCAAACCACACCUUGUGCCGCAACAGAGAGAAGAAGGAGGACCCUUGGAUGUGCUUGCCAUUCAAGUUGGAUUGUUUGAGCGUUUUUAGGUGUUUUCUUUCUUUUGUUUUCAAUGUCUAAAUUUGUUUAUCUUUGCUUUAUAAGUAUGAGGAACUAAACCCCCCUUAGCUAGGGGGGAAUUCGAAACCAUUUUCAUGCUUGAAAUAUGAUUUGAUUACCUUCAGUUAUGAUUUCAUAAGUUGUGAAUUCAAUUUGUUUCACUGCUUGAUUGAUAACUUAUUCGUGUAUGUUUAUUAAGAGUGCACAUUUAGUUUGCAUGCAUGAAUAUGAUGCUAGAGUAUAAGGGAGUUUCACCUAAUAGUUACAAACUUAUAUUCACAAGUAGUGGAGGUCGCUUAUAAACGAUCGCGUUAAAUAAAUUCUUAGCAGGAGUUUCAUGCUCAUCAUAGUAACGAAUGCCUUGUCAAUACUUAUAGUUUUCAUAAUGCUUAAUGAUCUUUGAUUGUAUCUUUAUUGUGUUGUUCAUGUAAAGAACUUUUGAAGAAUGCUUGAAUUGUUGUAUGCGCUUUCCCAUCCAAUUCAAUAGCAUAAGGAGAACUUGAAGGUUAAUUUAAGCGGACUUAAUUAACCUGGGGUGUUGAGUUUCAUGAUUGAUCGAAAGAACAACUGAAAAUUGGUUUAUGUGCAAGUAUGUCAUGUGUGGAGAAGAACCUCCUAGCUAGCCUUCCAUCCAUUCAAUUUACCCAAAUUCAUGCAGAUUUCAUUAGUUCUUUAAUUUACUUUUUUUGUUUUCAAAUUCGUCAAAACCAAAACCCCCUUUACUUUAAAGUGUUUUAUUAGUCAAAAUCUAUUUUGAUUUGUGUUUUUAGGUGUCCCAAAAGUGUGUUAGAGUCCAAAUCUGCCCAGUUUGUGUUUUUAGGCAGAUUUGAGCGUUUUUAGCUUGCUUUGAGUCCUUUUAGUUUGUAUUGCAUCUUUUGAGUCUAGUUUGGUGUUUUAAACUUAAUUUUACGUUUUUAAGUCAGUUUCAAGUGUUUUAGCAAUCCCUCCUAAUCCCCGGCCUAGAACGAUCCCUACUUACAUUCUUUACUACAAUUGACAACAAGAGGGUUUAAUUUGUGUGUUAAGUUAAUUUUAGCAUCAAUUCUCCUUAUCCACUUGAAUUCGGCUCUCCUUUUUACAGUACAAGAUUAAUUUAAAAACAAAUGAACGAAAUUGGUAAAAGCAUUACUGACACACCCUGACUCAGAAUGUCCACUAGGACCCUGAAUCGAGCCGUGCUGGUCAACACCUGGAAGGUGCCGGCCUCACCUAGAUGCAAAUGACUACCUGCUGGCCCAUUUAGCUCAAGCAUUGAUCCAAUUUCAUUAUUAUUUAAUUAAUUUGUCUUAAUUUCUAAGUUAGGAGAGUAUUCUUCUUGAAAAGAAAAAUUAGGAGAUUAUUAAAUGGAAAUGUUUUUUUUUAUGCAACGAUAUCCAUCACAAUGGGCUAGCCAUUCAGUAGGUACCAAACUCAACACAAAUAUAAUACAUCUUAACUAUUUAUAUGCGUCGAACUUGAGACAUCUCAUGUAUAAAAGAAUAUUACUAGGGCGUAGUACUAGUUUGUUAAAGUAAAAAAUAUUGAACAAUUACUUCAUAGCUUUUGAGGAAAAAACUGAGCCUUCUUCUAUGGAAAUGCAUUCAAGGGUGAACCCAACUGGUGCAUUCAAUUAAUGAUGUUUGCCCAAGUAGGAGAUUAAUGUUAGAGCUUUCAGGCUCGAGUCAUUAACAUGUGUAUUCUAUGUGCCUUGAUCAAGGGUGAACCCAUGAUGCAUUAAUAGGAAAGAAGAGUGCUAGUGAGACAACGUUUUAAACGCUCUCUAAUAGAGGUAGGAUUUACUUGUCCUCUAUGAGAGAGAGAGAGAACAUAUAUAAGCAUACACCCACAUUAGGUGCAAGGAAAAUUUAGGAGAAUAUUCUUUUGGUCAAUUAGAAAACGGAUUUUUUUUUUAUCAAUGAUAUUCAUCAUAAUGGAUUAGCCAUUUAUUAGGUAUCAAACUCAACACAAAUAUAAUACGUCUUCGUUAUUUAUGUGAGUUGAACUUAAGAUAUCUCACGUAUAAAUGAAAAAUAAUAUUACUAAACAGUAAUACUAGUUGGUUAAAGUAAAAAAUAUUGAAUAACUACUUCAUAGCAAGGUUCUAAAAACCGCUAGGCGCUAGUUGGGCACUGGGUUGGAGCCUAGUGCCAAGGCGGCUAGGCGGCUAGGCAGGGUCUAGGCGGCCUAGGCAGAUUUAGGUAAAUUUCUUAUAUAUCUUGUAAAUAAGUGUAUACUAACACUUACAAAAAAUCAUACUUAUAUGAAAUCCCUGAAUAAGAUAGUUAAAGAAUAAUAAAAUGUGUAUCUAACAAGUCCAAAAAAUCAAUAGCACUUGAUGCUGGGAACUGAUAGCCUGACAAUCUAUGUUUUUUUAAUGAGAAAAAAAAAUUAAUAGCACUUGAUGCUAUGGAUGAACUAACAGCCUUUUUACUUAGAAAAAAAAAACUAAAUAGUUUAAAAGUGAUCACGUGGGUGUGGAAGGAAGAGAGAAACUAAUUUUCUCUCAUCUUCUUCUUCUUCGCCAAACAAGAAGCAUGAAGUCCAGAAACUGAAAAACCAAAACACAGACUAGAAGCAUUCAAGCUUGAGUCAUUAACAUGUGUCUUUUAUGUGCUUUGAUCAAGGGUGAAUCCAUGAUGCAUUAAUAGGAAAGAAGAGUGCUAGUGAGAUCACAUUUUAAACACUCUCUAAUAGAGGUAGGAUUUAUGAGAGAGAGAGAGAGAGAGAGAGAGAGAGAGAGAGAGAGAGAGAACAUAUAUAAGCAUACACCUACAUUAGGUGUAAGGCAAACUUGAAACAAACUAACUUGCUUGAGUUAGGUGGCACUACUAGGGGUCUGAUUGCAGUUACAAGGAAACCAGAUUUCAACAAAAUCCUGUUCGUCGACGAUAAACAAAGUUAUUAUAUAUGCAGUUGCAAUGAUCUCGAUCCAAAUCACACAACAAACAGAUAGAGAAGGAAACAAAAUUGGCUAGCUUGUAGAGCCUUCUCUUCACUCCCUAUGAUAAGAGAGAUUAUGUGACUAGUUAUGGGGAUUUCAGUCAGAGCACGAAAGUCUUGCACCAGAUUCCAAAUUGCCUUUCUACGCCAUGUUCCUUUCUUGCCACAAUAAGAGCAGCUGCAAAUUUAGUCACAUCUGUAGUGUUAACAAGAGGAAAUAAUCCACUAUAGAGAAGGAAAAAAAAUGGCCACAUUGUUUUGGUUAAUAUUUGAACAUUGGGCUUAAAUGACGGAAAGCCUAAGGAUGCCAAUUGAAAGAGGACUUGCCCGAAGCCCAGCAUUAGACCCAUAAACAAAUUGAGGCUUUCUCAGCCAAGAGACACAAGCCACGUGUCUAUAUUGGAAGUGACAAGUGAUGGAGACUAACAUACUAUCAACUAAAUAAGACUUUCCAGUGGCAUUGCUAGUAGAAAGUUGAUGACUCACUACCCUCCAAAUGCUUUCGGGCAAGAGCAAAAGCUACAGUAGUUGGGCCAAACCGCCUAUAAAAGGAAAAAGAGGCCUGUAAGACCUCGUAUUUUAAAAGUAAAUAUUUUAUUAUUAUUAUUAUAUACCAUGUGCCUAGCUCCUAUCAGUACUGUUUGUACCAUACUUGACCAACCCCGAAACUACUAAGCACCGGUCAACAUUAUACCACCAAGGACCCACAAGAGUCUCCCUCCAACCAGGAGGCCAAUCACAACGCGACACAUGUCAACACCAGAGGCCAAUCAUAACGCGACACGUGUCGACAUCAGAGGCCAAUCACAGCAUGACACGUGUCAAUGUCAGAAUGAAACUAGAAACUCUCUUUUAUAAAUAGAGAUCAUUCUCUCACAAUAUUUCCUAAUGUCAUUUGUACUAAAUCAUUCACUAGUACUCACUAAAAGAGAGCUUGAACCUAUGUACUUGUGUAAACCCUUCACAAUUAAUGAGAACUCCUCUACUCCGUGGAUGUAGCCAAUCUGGGUGAACCACGUACAUCUUGUGUUUGCUUUCCUGUUCCUAUCUAUUUACAUACUUAUCCACACUAGUGACCGGAGCAAUCUAGCGAAGGUCACAAACUUAACACUUUAUGUUGUACCAAAGUCCUCACUGAUUUUGUGCAUCGACCUUGAUGAUAUAGGAUACUUUUGCUGUUGACAAAGUAGUGAAUGUAUCGGCACGUGUUCUAUUACGCUUGUCUCCACAUGCUUCCUUGUAUCCUUCUCACUUGCCCUAUCUGUUCCUCAGGUAGAUGUGGUAUCUUCUUUGGAAGCAUAAGAUGUUGAAGAUCUCACUGAUUUUGUGCAUCAACAAGCACAAAUCUUAAUUAUCUUGGGAGAGAGAAAUGGGUGAUUAGUAAGCACUCUAGUGUGCUGAUUUUACAAGGUUAUUUACCUAGACGUGUCAUCUUUUGCACACAUGCAAUUGACACCAUGCAUAACUAGUGACUAAGAUAUUGAUACUACAAUAGGUGUCGCAAGAAAAGCAUUACCUUCAUACACACGUAGGAGUUUACGGAUAGGACUUCAUAUAUUUUAUUGUAUAUUUUCCUUGGACCUCAAGUCUUGGAGCCGUUCUAUUUCACUAUAAAUAAGAGCUUUGCUUCAUUGUUUUUGGAGCAUAAAAAGAAGGAAACAUGCAGAGCAUGCAUUAUGUAGAGAUUGGUGUGUGUAUAUACAUACAUACAUACAUACAUACUUGUAUAUAUAUAUAUAUAUAUGUGUGUGUGUGUGUGUGUGUGUGUGUGUGUGUUGUGCAUAUAUAUUUAUAUAUAUACUUUAGAGUGAGAGCUUAGAAAGAAAAGAAAAAGGGAAAGCUAGUUUGAGGUGUGCGGAGAUGUUAGUUGGGUUGUCUUGCCAAAGCUUGGAUUAUUGAGGUGAGUGGUUUAUGUAAUGUGUUUCAAAGUAUUCUUAUUUUCUGAUAAAUGAAAACCACGAACUAUUGUGGGUUUUAUCUAUUUAUAAAUCUCUAUCUAUUUCAAGUCAAGCAUGUUGGAUUUGUUGAAAUACUCUUGGAAUUAUUAUAUAUCGUGAUAUGUGGAUUAUUUGGAAAUGUUCAUGGAGCAUGAGAACUUUGGUGUUACAUUAAUCCAAGGGAUAAAUGUAAACUGCACACGGGGACAUUAGGGCAGGUGGCCAUUAGGAGUCACGUGGUGAGUUACAAUUUAUGAAGGAUAUAAUGGACACAUAAAGGGAUGAUGUGAUAUGGAAUUAUGUGGCUAAAGCUUUGAUAGUAUUAUCCUAUUUUAUAGUGUGAUUAAAAUGGCAAGCUUGACUGGCAUAUUAUAUAUUCUACUCACUGAGGGACGGUGGUUGUUGCUCACCCCUCACCUAUUAUUUUACAGAUGAGUUAUUUGACAAGACAGAUGUUGGACGAGCUGAGGUUGUGAUUGUGGAGAAGUUUAAGGAUUUUAGUUUAUUACUACUUUGUACACCCUGUAAGGUUUUGGAGUUAUUUUAAUAGGAGGAGUUCAUUUUCCAACCCGUGUCAAUUUCCUUUUUAUUUAUUUAUUGAGAUUUUAACUCACAUUUCGGAUUUAGGUUCGAGUUUUAUUACUGACUCCGGGUCCGGGGCGUGACAAGGCCCCAGAGACAAAGACACUCAACCAAUCAAACAAACAAACAUACAAACUCUGCUCUCAAGCUAGAUUUGCAUCCAAAAGUUGAAAUUAACCCAAAAUCAAUCAUUUUUAAGCGAUAGUUAUCUGAAAAGCUAUCUCUUGUCUAGUAUAAAAGCUUUGGUACCUCACUUAGUAGUGUACUAUCUAUUCCCUUGUGUAAACUUGUUUACCAUACGUCCCUUUUUAGCAUACAAUCUUUGUAAACUCAAAGACAAGUGACUGCAAGAGGUUCAACCUUUCCAGACAAGGUGAAGUCUUGCCCAAGUUUCUUUGUUUGUUUUCUAAAUUAGUAGAUAUAUUGCUUAGUAUACUUUUCAACAUGUAUUCAAGCCAUUUCCACUUGUGUUGUCAUUUUGAGAGUCCUAUUUGCAUAUGGAUCUGGUUAACUUAAUGAAUAUGUUUUCAUUAAAAGCAAUUUAGGACCAAAUAGAUGACUUAAGGGGCACUAGACUCCCUUCAUUCGAACAUACAAAACCAUGAACUAAAAGUCCUUGUUUACAACGCAAGAAAAAGAACUUAAUGUGGACUUAACCCAUCCAUGACAAUCAUUUGAUAACAAGAAGUUUGAGUAACUUAGGGCGCAAGUAACCGACUUAAAACACACUUAUUCUACAUCUGCUAUACCGAGAUAGCAGUGGCAUGUCUAGCACUUCGUUAGUUUUGACUGCAAGCCUCAAGACCUACACCUAAGGCCCCACAAAGGCACAUUUCAGAACUAACUUUGUUCUCUUCUUGUAGCACAUCAACAAGUAAGAACCCGACUACACAUCUAAAGUGUCAAUCCCUUGGGGAGCUAUGCUGAGGUUUGAGGAUCCUUCUUCAGAGAAAUAUUUGCCCGAACAUAGUUUUGGCACGCUUGGUGGGAUCAUAUUAGUCUUAUAUGCCAAGAAGGAGAAAUAAUGAACGAACCUUAAGGUGGAACACAAAGUAUGGACCACCCCAUUGUUUACCAAGAUAAAAAAUGACAAAUCAUCCAGAAGAUUUCCCCUCUUUACGAGGACCAGCUAUUCUGGAGAGUCAGACUUCAUCUGAGAAGUCAGGAGGAAAGGUGACCAAUGAAGACUUACAAGCCACCAUGAUGCAAGUAUUGAAAGCUAUGGAAAAGAUUAAUUGGGAACUAAAGGAGAAGUGAGUAGGCUCUGUUCCUUAAUAGGGAGUCUAUAAAGAAGAUUAGAUUUGGAGUACUUUACUCCAAAAAGUGGUUAUGCCAAGGAAAUGAUGAGAAAACAAGCCCUGAGAAAGAACCAGAUCCCCCUAUUUCCUUUGCUUGAGGAAAAGAAGGAUAAGGGAAAAAAUAAGGAGGGAUCUGGAAUUAGUCAGCCAGUAUUAGAGGAAAUCCGGGAAACAGAGUUGCCCGACGCCCUAUUAUUUUCACUAGAUAGUGGGGGGCAAAGUGAGCAAGAAAGAAAGAAGUAUGGGAUGCUCUAGUUAAUCGGAGAAUCCAGCAGGAAAGGUGAACUCAUAACUAUAGACAAACUUCCCCCUUAUAGGCCACCACCAUUGGCUAAUAAGGGAGGAGGGGCCAGAUGGAGGAAGCCCGAACAAAAAAAAGAAACUUUCUCGGGCAAUGAUUGUAGCCCGAAGUGGGAACUUCCUCAUACCCUACAUAGCAAUACAACCAAUCAGCAACUCAGAAAUGAGUUAGCCGAGUUAAGAAUGAUGAUAGUCCAGAAUGCUCAACCUCAAUCUCACCCAUUGUUUAGGAUCACCUACCAUAAGCCAUAUCCCGAGUAUAUUGAUGAGCAGAAUCCUUUUCCCCUCAACUUCAAGAUGCCCGCGUUCCCCACUUUUAGUGGAGAAGAUGGUAGUGUAUCCUCUAGAGAUCACAUUUUCAAGUUCUCCAACCAUUGUGUAGCAUUUGAAGACAAUCCUAAUUAUAAGUUAAGAUUGUUUGGGAACUCAUUGCUUGGCCUAGCAUCUCAGUAGUAUUCAUUGUUGCCCCUCAAUUCCAUUGCUAACUAGGGGCAAAAAGAGAUGUCUUUUUUAUGAACAGUUUUAUAGGAUGGAGCCCGAGAUGACUAUCAACGAUCUAGUGGAGGUAAAACAAUAUGAGCAUGAGUCUACAAAAGACUUCAUGAUGACGUUUAAAAAGACAAGGAUGAGGUGCCAAUUCCCUAUCAAUCAUGCCCAACUUAUAUCUAUUGCUCAGAAGGCUUUAAGGUUACCUUUGAGGAAAAUGUUUUAUGAUGUAUAGUUCAAUGAACUGCAAGAGUUGGUGAUUGCUGCCACAAAGUAUGAGAAGCUGUUGAUUGAUGAACAACAAGUAAAACACUCAUCCAAGGUGCCUCAUUUCUACAAAAAUAAAGUUGUAAUUCACCAAGUAGAGUUUGAAAGAAUAAAGCUAGAAGGAGGUGAUGGUCAUGGAUGAGAGGGAAUCGAGAUAUGUUCAACAAAGAUGACUACUCCCUUUAAACCUCUAAUAGUGAAGGGAUUGGUCCAGCCAGUCAAAGACCAGAAGGUGGUAAUGAAUGAUGGCUGAUUUGUACCUAUGAAGCCCCCAAGUAUCAGAGUUAUUCUUUUGAUCUAACCAAGGCCUUAGAAAUCUAUGAAGAGUUGGUGCGGGAAAAAGUAAUUGUGCCCGACAGCACAAAGAAGAUGCCUAAGCCAGAAUAAUUAAGAGGAAAGAAGUAUUGCAAGAUGAACUAUACCUUCAACCAUUCUAUAACUAACUAUGUCUAGUUCAGGGACUAGAUACAAGACCUCAUAGGCAAGGGGAAGUUGUUAUUGGAGAAACCCUAGGCUAAUAUGAUGAUUAACACAUAUCCCUUCUCAGAAGCCCCAAUAAACAUGAUUAACCUAACUUGGGCAGAGAAAGGGAAAGGAAAAGCCACAUGGGAGGUAAAAGCAAAAAGAAGGCAAGUUGACAUGCCUACAGAAUGAGCUAUCAAGUUGCCCGAGAAACCUAAAGCAGCCAUAAUUAAAGGGUUGGCGUUAUGUAAUAAGUGCCAAUGUGAAUGUGAGCUAGAAGUACCAGCAUUAGAAGCUAUCAUUGAUCAAGAAUUGAUCAGAAGAAGAGAGAAAGAAGAGCAAGAAGCUCGCAAAAGCAUCAUGCGGACAGUUGAGAAUGAGACCUCUAGGAAUGUUUUCCAAAGAUUAGGAAGAGAUUCUAAACCAAAAAAUUUGUCCGAGGUAUUUAGAAACCAUAAAGCCUUAGAAGAAGUGGAAGAUAAAGAAGCCAAAAUACCAAGAUGGGUGGAGGUUAGGCUUCCCCAGCCAAGUUAUGAAGGUGGUAAUGUUAGGAUGAAGGGGAAAACAAGGAACCCAGUAUCACCAAUCACCAAGAAGGAUUCUGCCCGACUUAGGCGGAAAUGGUAUGUAGAUGGAAAGGAUGGGAGACCUAUCAAGGAAAUGGGAGCUUCUAUGAUUAUAAGAGUCCAGAGGCAGCACAAAGCUUAUAUGAAUUCACUGAGAGUUCCUACUACAUCACAAAACUCUGAAAAUGUGAAGUUUGAGAAAGUACCUCAUAGGGGAAGAAAUCAACUUCAAUGGAAAAGCCAAAAAGAGUUUGAAAGAGUUAAUAGCAAGACUAAAUGAGACGGAGAUCAUAUGCCAAAAAGCCCUAAUCCGGGAAAAUACUUAAUCUUGAGGAGAGCUCAAAAGGAUAUGGUAGUGAUGCCAACCCUCAGAACCAAUAUAUUUUGGAACUAUCUCGCCUGAAAGGAGAAUGCCCUCACCUUUGUUGGUUGAUACUCUUUGUGAAGUCCUAGAGCAGGUGCAUGACUUUGGUAUAACUCGAGAAGAAACGUUGCCUGAGCUAAUGUUUCCAAAAAAAGCACAUGUCUGGUUAGAUGAAUUCAUGGACCACAUUGGGGGGCAAGAAGAAGAUUUACCUUAACCUAGCAACUUCCACGUAAACAUGACAUAUGUUUUAUCUAACAUAUUUUGCGCCGAGCCUGAUCAACCUGCCACGAUGAAAGGUGAUUACUUGGCAACAAAACCUAUGAUGGCACAUGUUAGUGUUGAGGAAGUAGGAAAAGGAGAUUCGAGCAGAACAGGUUUGCCCGAGCUUGUAAAGAAAAAGCCUGAAAGGGUAUAUUCAUAUAAAAUGGUCUUUAGCUACCCGAGUUUAGCCUUAGCUAACCAUCGGAUGCCCAUAUAUGUAACUGCUCAUUUGGAGGGAGUACCCUUCAAGAUGGUCUUGAUUGAUGGAUGAGCAUGUACAAAUAUGUAUGAAUGCCAUGACAGUAAUAUCCAAACUGAAGGAAAAAUUUUGUCCUAGCUAAGAACAAGUAUGAACAUUUGAAUACACAUGCAAGCUAUUAACACUUUAAAGUAGGCAUGCAUCCAAAAACAAUUCAUAAAACCCAUGACUUUCAAAGCCUAGUAUAUGGUGAACCAAAAUAAACUCUUUAACAACAUUAAAGAGAAGUAAAGAUUUAGUGAUUCUUUACCCUUGAAGCUCAUCCUUGUUUACACAAGGGAUUCACCCAAGUGGAGGGCCUUCAAGUCACCUCCAAGCUCCUUGAAUCCUCCUUGUGUUUUCCUCCCUUUAGUGCUCCUUUGAUGAUUAGAGGAAAAAGGAUUUGUUCUCCAAAAACAUCAAAAGCUUGAUGUCUCUAAGUCUCUUCACCAAGGUUGUAUAUUGUGAAGAUGAUAUGGAUGACUUAGAGAGAUUUUAGAUGCUAGUAAAAAUCCUCUAAGUGGCCUGCCUCUAUGUAGAAAAUGAGAGAAAAUGUUUUCACCCCAAUUUCUAUUAGAAAAAACCCUAAUGAGAAACAAAGCUAUAAAAAGAUGACUUUAUACUUCAUCUCUUAGGUUUAGUGGCAAACUUGCAAUUAAGCAUAAAUUCCCACUACCCUUGACAUGGCCGGCCUCCUUUUGUUAUUGGGCUAAAUACCCAUAUUUGUUUUAGUUGUCAUACAACUUAAACAUAAUGGGCCUAGUGGACCAAAACAAUUUUGGACCCCGAAGCCCAAACUAACUUAAAAGCCCAAUACGAACCUUUCGUAUAAUUAAUUAACUAAUUAAUUAAUCUUGACCAUUCUUCAAUUAAACCAUUUAAUUGCUUAUCCAUUUCAUAUAAUUUCUUCACUAACAUCCUUAUGUGGUGUGCGAUCCAUUAGGUUCCAAUUAGCGAGGCAGUGGGCGAUGUUACUCUUAACGAUCGAUUGUGAAUUGAAACCACAUUUCAAGUCUCCCUUAAGAUUAGUGUUUGAUAAUCUUCAGGGCUUCCACAAACCAUGAGUGACACCUAGCAGCAUAUCAUGGUUACCCAAGCUAAGUAGAAUUGGUUGGAGAACCUAUCCAGUUACAACUACAAUGCAAUACGGUCAUUCUCUAAUACAAUACUCUUAAUCACAUUGUUUAAGUGAUAGUUUGUUUCAUGUCUACUAUCCAAUGUGAUAUUUUCCUAUAUGAUUCCUUUGAAUAUGAUUUGGUACAAACUUCCUAAGUCAUAUUCAUUUGCUUUGGCCAAAGACUUUAGAAUCAUAUCUUAUAGUAUUCUCCCUCCACCAUGGAAGGUUAGAGAUCCCUUGUUGUGCAUUCAUAUGCCUACAUGACUAGAUAGCUUGACCCCAACAAUGCCGUGGACAAUCCGAAGGAAUGCCGUUGACAUGAUCAAAGAUCAAGGACCUAACCAUUAGACAUCUAUGAUGCCUCAGGUCAAAGGACUACUUUGCAUAUUGCAACUUUAGAGUUCAUACAUGACAUGUAUGUUCGAACUCUCUUUUGAUCGACGUUCAGUGUACUCGAUUACCUUUUCGAGCACCUAUGUGUUUGUCUCAGUGUCCAACACCAAAUGACUUGAGACUAGUUCAUACUCACGUUUGAGUCAACAUAACACAUACUAACCUUAGCGGAUUGUCAAUGCCCAAUUGGCAAUCCUAUGGCUAGGAACGUUUUAGGAAUGAACAUAAGAGAAAGGUCUCGAUAAUCUAACUCAUUAGAUCACUUAUCUCUUAGAACAAAUACAUUCCUUGGAUUCCCUUAUUGCUUAAACACAUGAUACAAUAAAUAGUGAUUAACAAUAAGCUUUGCCCUUCAUUAAACAUAUAAAAGUUUAAUACAAUAAGUAUUCCAAAAGCUAUUACAUCAAAUGAGUGGCUUUGUGGGCAUACUUCCAACAAUCUCCCACUUGCACUCAAAAGCCAUCUUCCCAUGUAUCUAAUACCCAUUUUAUCCAUAUGACGAUCAAGCUGGAUUUGAGACAUUGGCUUUGUCAGUGGAUCUGCUACGUUAUCGGCUGAGGCAACUUUGAGGAUGUUGACUUUCCCCUCGGCAGCAUAUCUUCUAAUGAUAUUAAAACGUCUGUCAAAAUGCUUGUUCUUUUGAUGUGCCCUGGGUUCCUUGGCUUGAGCUAUCGCCCCAUUAUUAUCACAGUACAAAGUUACUGGUGAUGUAAUGGUUGGAACCACUCCAAGUUCAGUAAUGAACUUCUUCAUCCAGAACGCUUCUUUGCCGGCUUCAGCUGUAGCGACAUAUUCAGCCUCUGUCGUGGAAUCAGCAAUUACACUUUGCUUCUUGCUUUUCCAACUGACAGCCCCACCAUUCAGAGUGAAUACAUAUCCUGAGUUGGAACUUCUAUCAUCGACGUCAGAUUGGAAAUCUGCGUCUGUAUAGCCUUCCACUCGCAACUCUGCCGCUCCUCCAUAUACGAGGAACAUGUCUUUAGUUCUUCUUAAGUACUUAAGGACCGUCUUAACAGCUGCCCAGUGUUAAUCCUGGGUUAGAUUGAUAUCGACUAGUAAUGCUCACAGCAUAUGCGAUAUCAGGCCUUGUGCAUAUCAUGGCAUACAUGAGACUUCCUAUGGCGGAAGCAUAAGGAAUCCUACUCAUAUGCCCUAUCUCUUCAGGAGUCUUAGGUUCCAUGGACUUAGAAAGGUGAAUUCCAUGUCUUACAGGAAGAAAGCCUUUCUUAGAUUAUUCCAUCUCGAACCUACUUAGCACCUUAUCAAUGUACAUAGAUUGGGAUAAUCCAAUUAAUUUUCUGGAUCUAUCACGAUAGAGCUUUAUCCCAAGUACAUAAGAUGCAUCUCCUAAAUCUUUCAUGUGGAAGGUUUUGGACAACCACACUUUUACAGAAGAAAGUAUUGCAGUGUCAUUCCCGAAUAGUAAUAUGUCAUCUACAUAUAACACUAGGAAUACAACUGCAUUCCCAACGACUUUUUGAUAAACACAAUUGUCGUCUUCGUUUUGAGUAAAACCAAACGUUUUGAUUUCAGUGUCGAAACGAAUGUUCCAGCUCCUGGAGGCUUGUUUAAGUCCAUAAAUGGAUCUUUGAAGCUUGCAUACCUUAGUCUUUUCAGACUUGGACACGAAACCUUCGGGUUGAGUCAUAUAGAGCUCUUCCUCUAGGUAGCCGUUCAGAAAGGCCGUCUUCACGUCCAUUUGCCAGAUCUCAUAAUCAUGGUACGCAGCUAUCGCAAGCAAAAUCCGAAUGGACUUAAUCAUGGCUACAGGAGAGAAAGUUUCUUCAUAGUCAAUCCCUUCUCUUUGCCUGUAACCCUUGGCUACUAAUCUAGCCUUAUAAGUCUCCACGUUCCCAUCAACGCCUAUCUUCCUCUUGAAGACCCAUUUGUUUCCAACAGGUACAAUACCUUCUGGAGGGUCUACAAGAGUCCAGACCUGAUUUUGAUACAUGGAAUCCAUCUCGGAUUUCAUGGCCUCUUGCCAUCUCUUUGAAUCAAUGUCGGAAAUUGCUUCAGUGUAGUCUCUAGGGUCUUCCUUUGUUUCAUUGUCACCUAGAAGGUACAAUUCAUCAAAGUCAUUGUCUAAGCCAUACCUCUUAGGUGGCUUACUAACCCGUUCAGAUCUACGUGGAGCUAGGGGUUCAGGAACAGGGUUGUCAUCUUGUUGAGUGCUGGUUUGUGGUUCAUCAUUAAUCUCAUUAAUUUCUUUCAAUUCUAUCGUUUUCUCACUACUUCCAUUGAGAACGAAUUCAUCUUCAAGGAAUAUAGCAGUUCUGGCGACAAAGACUUUCUUGUCGUCAGGGUUAUAGAAUUCGUAUCCCAAAGUCUGUUUGGAAUACCCCACAAAAUAGCACUUAAUAGAUCUUGCUUCAAGCUUGUCAGCUUCAAGCCUUUUAACGUAAGCCGGACAACCCCAAAUCCUAAUAUGAUUAAGAUUUGUGCUUUUGCCAUGCCAUAUCUCAUAUGGCGUUUGUGAAACUGACUUGGAAGGUACUCUAUUAAGCAAGUAAGCUGCUGUAUAUAGAGCGUAUCCCCAGAAUGAUACUGGUAGAUUAGCAGAACUCAUCAUAGAACGAACCAUGUUCAUCAAGGUUCGAUUUCUCCGUUCAGAAACUCCGUUAUGCUGAGGAGUUCCUGGUGGAGUCCACUGUGAUACUAUUCCACACUCUUUGAGAUAAUCUAGGAACUCGUUACUCAGAUAUUCACCCCCUUGAUCUGAUCUUAGGGUCUUUAUCUGUUUCCCAGUUUGCUUCUCAACUUCAUUCUUGAAUUCUUUGAACCUUUCAAAGGAUUCUGACUUGUACUUCAUAAGAUACACAUAGCCAAACCGAGAGUGAUCGUCGGUGAAUGUGAUAUAGUAGGAGAAGCCUCCUCUCGACGUAGUAGACAUAGGUCCACAUACGUCAAUGUGGAUUAACCCUAGAAUUUCAGUGGCACGUUCUCCUUUUCCAGUAAAUGGAGAUUUGGUCAUCUUACCUUUCAAGCAACAUUCACAAGUACCCAUUUGGUCAUUACCUAAUGGGCGAAUAUAUCCGUCUUUCGACAUCUUGCGAAUCUUAUCAAGGUUCACAUGUCCAAGUUUAAGAUGCCACAUCUUUUCUUGGUUAACUUCUUCUCUAGCCCUUUUGGGUUUUGAGGUAUUCCCGCUCUCAAUACAGUGCAUCCCACUAUUCGUCUCUAGGUGAAAAAGUCCCUCUAUCAUAUUACCAUGAGAGAUAAUACGACCGUUCAAGUAUAAAGUGCAACUCAUUUUGUCAAACAAUACUGAGUGCCCAUCUCGUAAAAGCUUAGAGAUAGAAAUCAAAUUCUUUAUACAUGAAGGAAAAUAUAAACAAUUUUUAAGUUCCAGGACUUCCCCAGAGGGUAGGUUAAGCAUGUAGGUGCCUAUUGUUUUUGCAGAGAUUUUAGUGCCGUUCCCAACUCGCACAACCAUCUCCUCAUUGCGCAGUGUCCUGCUCCCAGCUAGUCCCUGCAACGUAUUGCAGAUAUGUUGACUAGCGCCUGAAUCAAAUAUCCAGGAAUUGGAGCUCACUGUAAAAGCACUCUCUAUGACAGAAAUAGUCUCUUCAAAAGUUCGUGUCAUAAGGCUCGCAAUGCGCACCCUGUAUUUCUUCUUCCAACGUUCAUCCUUUCCACAAUGAAAGCAUGUUCCUUUGGAUUUCUUUGCCUUCUUCUUAUGCAACCUUUUCCUCAUCAUUGCAUUCUCACUCCCACUGUCCCUUUUGAAACCUUUUUUCAAAUUUACAGCACAUGUCGAUCAUCUCUCUUUCAAAGAAUGAUCGAAUCUAUUCACUUUAUAGUUUACAAUAAACUUAGUGAAAUCAUCCGAGAGAGAUGCAAGGAAAAAGUCUUGGGCCAUUUUCCCAUCGAUGGAAGUUCCUAAACUUUUAAGAUCUUUAAAUAUCUUUUCCAUCUUUUGUCCAUGUUUAUGGACCGAUGCCCCCUUUGCCAUCUUGGCAUUCAUUAGACUACAAACAUUUGAGAAUCGUACAUUACUAGUCUCAAUGUCAUGCAUCUUAUGCAAACUUUCAACCAUGGCACAAGAAGUGUCCAUGUGCUUAUGUAGCUUCAUAAGCUCCUCACUAAGUGAAGUAAGGAUUAAGCAUUUGGCUUGUAAGUCAUUCUCAUAGUGUCUAACAUAAUUUUGGCACUCCUCCUUUGAAGCUAGUUUCGUAGGAGGUACAUGAGGAGGGGAUUGCUUAAGCACAUACAAUAUGUCUUUCACCUUUGAGACAUUCUCAAUGUGGCGAUACCAAGCAAGGAAACGUUGGCCCUUAAGGCCCCUUUUGUCAAGUAUAAUGGUGGGUAUAAUUUUAGGCAUGUCGUUCACUACAUAACAUAACAGAAAUCGUAUUAGAUUGUUUGUUUAAAACUAUUUGAUUGGGUCUUUGAAUCAAAUAGUACCACCCACUAUUUUUGGCAAAUUCCACAUCCCUCAAUAGAAUUCGAGAGUUAUAUUGAACUCUUAGCGGGUUAUGGGAGACUCACCAUUACCAAGCCCACCUCAGAAGAACUCCAUAUUGGCUAGCAAAAAUAAUGAUGAGAGGAUAACGCAUUAUCCAUUUACAACUUUUGUAAUUACCCAUCUAUUUUGGCCUCUAGAGAAUGAUGCCUCAGAAGAACUCCAUAUUGGCACCAUUGCACUUAGUUAAGUUAUUCCCACCAUGCUAGUUCAAGUAGGGGUUCAAGACUGACCUCAGAAGAACUCCAUAUUGGCCAUACUCGUUGCCUACUUUCACUUCAUCAUAUGUUUAUGGGCUUCUCCUGAAUGUAAGCACAUACUUUGCAUACCCCAGAACUGGACGAAUACGGUGUAUGAGUCACAAACGAUUGAAGCCCACCACGGUGGAAGGCCUACGAAGAGAUGUUCAAAGCAUCUCUCGCUUAUCAACUUAAUAUCAGUUGUUGAGGGAGUAGUUUUGGGCUACAUCAAAACAUUUUAAUCAUAUUAAAAGAACUUGGGCCUAUCACAACUAUUGGUCCAAGUCAAUAUGAAUUAGUAGCAUAUAAUACUCCCACUGUUUCGUUGAAACAAGCGAGACUAUAUGGAACUACUAACGAAUGCAUUGCAUCCUCAUAUGGACUAUAUAGUCAUAUUAGGUUUUAGGAUGAUUAUGAACCGUUUGAUUUGAUCCAACACGAGCCUUGUGUUAGACCUUGGGUUUAAGGUAGAUAGUUGUUGAUUUUAGUUACGCGUUUAAUCCAAUUAAACCGUUAUUUCCUAUUGGGCGUUGGACCCAACUAUUCCAUUUUGCAUACAUAUAAACAAAAAGGAAUACAUGAAAUAAUAAUAAGGGCUUAUGCCCUUUUACAACAUAAAUCAAAUGAUGGACUUAUGUCCAUUUACAACAAUUCGAAUUAAUCAAAUUACAUUCAAAUCUACACUACCAAACCCAAACAUUCAUAAUGUAAAGCGGCCAAUCACAUAGCUCAAUUAUCGAUGCCUUUGGUUCAUAAUCACCAUUUUCUUAAUCAAUCACAUUAACUAAGAAAGCAACUUUAAACAAUUGGUUUUUGGAUCCAUAGAAUUGAUUUAAAUGGAACUAAAUGAAAUGAAAAUCCAAUUCUCAUUAAAGAGACAAAACAAUUUUGUUCUCAUUUUAUUUGGGCCAAAAGGAAACUAUGACCACAACAAUUGGGCCAUAAUGCAAAUACAAAAACUUUUGGGGUCACUUUGUAUAAACACAAUAGUCCACAACUUCAUGUAAAUACAACUAGAUCCCAAAAUUUUAAUAAUGUAAAAACAUCAUUAAAGGAUCAAAACAAUUUGUCCUUUAGAGUUUUUAAGCCUAAACGUAAAAACGUAAACUUUUGGGCCAAAAUGCAAAAACACAAAAGUAUCAAAACUUUAUGUUAAUUGCACAAAAGGCCCCAAAAGGACCCCCACUAGGGGUGGCCGGCCAUUUAAUGAAAAAUUGAAAAAAAAUCUAAAAAGUUUUUGCAAGUUGAUUUUAUUAGGUGAGGUUAAAGGUGAAGGUGAUGGUUUGUAAGAAAAACUUAAAGUUUAUGACAAACAUUAAAACCAUUUCAUCACAUCUCACCAAUAACAUCACCCAUCAAAUAAUAAAUCAAUUAUAUACCAAAACUUUAUGAAAAACAUAAAAAUUUAGAAUCAAAACUUCAAACCUUUUUGUUCUUGGCAAGAACUUCAAGAACAUUUGAAGAACACCAUGAAAACUCAUAAUAGCUCCAUGGAUGUUUUCAUUCACCAAAACUCAAUUUUCACCUCUCAAAAGAGGGCUAAUAUCCUAGGGUACUUAGGGGUUCCAAAAGUCACCUUAAAACCAUUUUAACAAGACAAACAUGAACCCAAAAAGUCACCCUAAGGAUUUGGCCGAAUUUCCCAAAACACAUGGCACCAAAUUUUAGUUCCAAUAUUCAUGCUUGAAUGAAAUACAUCUACAACAUUUGAGAUGCUAAAUUUUCUAGCAAAAUUCAUAUAUUCAAAAGCAAGAACAAAGCUUGUAACAUUUACAACAUUUAAAUCACAAAAUAUGAACAUCACAAAACCCAAAAGGAUUCACCAUACACUAGGCCUAGGCUCUGAUACCACUUGAAGGAAAAAUUUUGUCCUAGCUAAGAACAAGUAUGAACAUUUGAAUACACAUGCAAGCUAUUAACACUUUAAAGUAGGCAUGCAUCCAAAAACAAUUCAUAAAACCCAUGACUUUCAAAGCCUAGUAUAUGGUGAACCAAAAUAAAACUCUUUAACAACAUUAAAGAGAAGUAAAGAUUUAGUGAUUCUUUACCUUGAAGCUCAUCCUUGUUUACACAAGGGAUUCACCCAAGUGGAGGGCCUUCAAGUCACCUCCAAGCUCCUUGAAUCCUCCUUGUGUUUUCCUCCCUUUAGUGCUCCUUUGAUGAUUAGAGGAAAAAGGAUUUGUUCUCCAAAAACAUCAAAAGCUUGAUGUCUCUAAGUCUCUUCACCAAGGUUGUAUAUUGUGAAGAUGAUAUGGAUGACUUAGAGAGAUUUUAGAUGCUAGUAAAAAUCCUCUAAGUGGCCGGCCUCUAUGUAGAAAAUGAGAGAAAAUGUUUCACCCAAUUUCUAUUAGAAAACCCCAAUGAGAAACAAAGCUAUAAAGAUGACUUUAUACUUCAUCUCUUAGGUUAGUGGCAAACUUGCAAUUAAGCAUAAAUUCCCACUACCCUUGACAUGGCCGGCCUCCUUUUGUUAUUGGGCUAAAUACCCAUAUUUGUUUUAGUUGUCAUACAACUUAAACAUAAUGGGCCUAGUGGACCAAAACAAUUUUGGACCCCGAAGCCCAAACUAACUUAAAAGCCCAAUACGAACCUUUCGUAUAAUUAAUUAACUAAUUAAUUAAUCUUGACCAUUCUUCAAUUAAACCAUUUAAUUGCUUAUCCAUUUCAUAUAAUUUCUUCACUAACAUCCUUAUGUGGUGUGCGAUCCAUUAGGUUCCAAUUAGCGAGGCAGUGGGCGAUGUUACUCUUAACGAUCGAUUGUGAAUUGAAACCACAUUUCAAUUCUCCCUUAAGAUUAGUGUUUGCUAAUCUUCAGGGCUUCCACAAACCAUGAGUGACACCUAGCAGCAUAUCAUGGUUACCCAAGCUAAGUAGAAUUGGUUGGAGAACCUAUCCAGUUACAACUACAAUGCAAUACGGUCCUUCUCUAAUACAAUACUCUUAAUCACAUUGUUUAAGUGAUAGUUUGUUUCAUGUCUACUAUCCAAUGUGAUAUUUUCCUAUAUGAUUCCUUUGAAUAUGAUUUGGAACAAACUUCCUAAGUCAUAUUCAUUUGCUUUGGCCAAAGACUUUAGAAUCAUAUCUUAGAGUAUUCUCCCUCCACCAUGGAAGGUUAGAGAUCCCUUGUUGUGCAUUCAUAUGCCUACAUGACUAGAUAGCUUGACCUCAACAAUGCCGUGGACAAUCCGAAGGAAUGCCGUUGACAUGAUCAAAGAUCAAGGACCUAACCAUUAGACAUCUAUGAUGCCUCAGGUCAAAGGACUACUUUGCAUAUUGCAACUUUAGAGUUCAUACAUGACAUGUAUGUUCGAACUCUCUUUUGAUCGACGUUCAGUGUACUCGAUUACCUUUUCGAGCACCUAUGUGUUUGUCUCAGUGUCCAACACCAAAUGACUUGAGACUAGUUCAUACUCACGUUUGAGUCAACAUAACACAUACUAACCUUAGCGGAUUGUCAAUGCCCAAUUGGCAAUCCUAUGGCUAGGAACGUUUUAGGAAUGAACAUAAGAGAAAGGUCUCGAUAAUCUAACUCAUUAGAUCACUUAUCUCUUAGAACAAAUACAUUCAUUGGAUUCCCUUAUUGCUUAAACACAUGAUACAAUAAAUAGUGAUUAACAAUAAGCUUUGCCCUUCAUUAAACAUAUAAAAGUUUAAUACAAUAAGUAUUCCAAAAGCUAUUACAUCAAAUGAGUGGCUUUGUGGGCAUACUUCCAACACAAACUAUAUAACAACAUUUAUCACAAUUUACAUCACAAUAUUGAAUACUUGGCAAUAUAAGCGUAAAAGUGUAAUAACUACGCAAUUACGGAAACUAUCAAUAUGUAUAGGUAUAAAAUAAACUGCCCACUCACCUGGAGUCCGCGCUAUAACUCUCUAGCACGAAUUUCAAGAUGCCACGAACAAACAUCGCCUAGAACAAAUAUCAAAUCACAACUCAGGAUUCUUAUCGAUAGAACACACAACUGACAUAAAACACACCUCCAAGGGCGUUCUAGAAUGAUUUGAAACUCAUUGACCAAAAGUCAACCGUCGGUCAAAGGUCAAUAGUAGGGUCCACAACCCUACAUAACUCGAUCUGGAAGAUUCGCAUCUCUGAUUUCCAUUCUGUAACUUCCAAAGAUUCACAUUAUGCUUCUAGAACAACAUUCUAAAGUUUCAGAAUGAUCCAAUGGUUGAAUCUCCGCCAAUUGCCAAAAUUAAGUGGAGGUCAACACUUUAUUUUGUGAACUAACAAAUUCAAUUUGGGAAGAUCCUUAAGUUCCUAUGAUCCUCAAAUAUUACGUACUAUAAGGUACUAAGGUUUGGUGACGAUCUAACAGUUUGAUCGUCAAUUCAUGCAAGGACCCCAUGACGGCCAACUAAGUGGUCAACUACGAAACUACAUGAAAACAUCGUAAUUUCACUAAAUGGAUGACAAAUAUGGAAUCAGGGCUUCAAAAUUAGCCUAAGGUGGUCAGAUGGGAUCUCGGCCCACGCGCCGCCACACGCGCCGCCGCGCGUGGUGACUGGCCACAAAGGUUCGCCGGAAAAUUCCACUAUUUCUAAAAAUUCUCAAAUUUUACAGAAAUGAAGACAUCAAAGAGAUGAAAAACUUUUAUACUUGCCAUGAAGUCCAAAAGUGGAUAGAAGAUUGUCAAUUUUGCCCACAAAGCCGGUGGUGCCUAAAACUUCCCGGUGUCAAUUCGUCGUCUACGGUGGACCAACGGGGUCAAGGUUGGUUGGGAUUUGCUCAGGGGAUGAUGGGCUACAAAGCCCAAGUGGUCGCAUUGACCAUCGUUUUGCCGAUUUGCUGGAAAAUUGAAAAGAGUGGUCGGACACGAUUUUGACGGGUCGGAUUUCGUGGCUUCGCCCCGCCACAUGUGGUGGUUUCUAAAGUUGGUUCUUGGUUGGAUUUUGUAGAGGGGAGUGAGAGCUUUAAGAUGGUGGUGGUGGCAUCGAAAAACUUCACCCGAGUUGGCCGAAAUCAGCCUUGGAAAAUGGGUGGUCGCGAGUGGGUCGACGGGGAAAGUUGGGAGCUUCCUCAUUUUUUUGUUUUGUUUUGUUUUGUCUUUUUUUUUUUUUUUUUUUCUUAUCUGAUUUCUGAUGGCUUUCCUUCCUUUUAUGUGAUUGUGAUUGGUCCCCCUUAUUUAAGCCUAAAAUCGGAUUGGGCUUCUUUCCCAUAAGGUGGGAAUUCAAUUAACUUAUAAACCAAAAUAUAAAUAACCAAAUUCAAACGUUCGUAACUAUACCGUUAUAAUUUGGACUCGCAAACGACUUUCGCCUAUGCGUUUGUAAUGACGAGUACUACGAGGGUACACUAAAAUAAUAAGUCCUACGUCUCUCAAACCGAUGGUCAAUGGAAGUCAAAGUCCUUACCUUUAGGGCAUUUCCAUAAAUUCAUGCUUUUAAAAUUAAUAAAAACGUACAAUUGGGGAUAGGAUGUCACAAUUGUAAGAUCCCACAUUGUCCAGGGGUGAGGCUCCUGUAAGCCUUAUAUGUAUAUUCCCAUCUCUACCUAGCACGAGACCUCUUGGGAGCUCAUUAGUUUCGGGUUCAAUCGGAACUCCGAAGUUAAGCGAGUUCGCGCGAGAGCAAUCCCAUGAUCGGUGAUCUAUUGGGAAGUUCUCGUGUGAGUUCCCAGAAACAAAACCGUGAGGGUGUUGAUGAAGGAUGAUUUUGUGAAAACAUGUUCAUUUGAUAUAGCAUGCAAUUAACAAUUAAAGGCGGAAUCAUGCUUGCAUGCACUUAAAAAACAAAACAUUACCCAUGAAAUUCAAAGCCUAGUAGAUUGGUGAACCAAAACUCAACUCAAAACAAAGUGAGUUGAAAUUUAUACCUUUGUAUAUUCCUCUUUGCAUAAGCAAAGGCUAAUCACCCAAAGAGAGGGCCUUCAUUCCUUGCAUCUAAAAUCUAUGGAUUUGGAUGGAUGAAAAGGUUCUCCAAGUUCCCAAAAUUGAGAACCUCUAAGUCUCUUCACCAAUGAGAGAUUGGAGAAGAAAUGAGUGACCUUGGAGUAGUAGUAUGGCUAGAUACACCCUCCAAGGGGGCCUUCCUCCUAGAGAGAAAAAGGAGAGACAUGUUCUCACCAAUUUUCUCCAAAAGAACCCUUAAUGAAUUUUAGGCUAUAAAGUUCUUUAUAUAGUCACUUCUAUAAAUGACCUAAAGAACCAAAAAACCCUAAUUCAACACAUAUGGCCGGCCACAUUAGGGAUUUGGGCCUUUGUGAAUCUUUAUUCCUUAAAUUGUCAUACAACUUAAGUCAAUGGGCUUGACGUUCGAAGCCCAUUGGGCCUUAAGGUCCAAAACUAUCCCGAGGUCUUUAACGAACUUAUUCGUUUGAUUAAUUAACAUAUUAAUUAAUCCUUGCCAUAAAUAAUUAAACCUUUUAAUUAUUCUUACUCAUCUCCAUUGUUUCUUCAAUCUCCACCUUACACGGUGUACGAUCCAUUAGGUUCCUUUUAGCGAGGCAGUGGGCGAUUAAAACUCUUUCAAAUCGAUUGUGAAUUGAAACUUACUUUCAAUUCUCCCUUUAGUGAUUAGACACGUUUAGGGCUUCCACAAACCAUGAGUGACACCUAGCAGCAUAUCAUGGUUACCCAAGCAAAUCAGAAGAGGUGGAGAACCUAUUCAGUUUAGGAUUACAAAUGCAAUACGGUCUUUCUCUAAUACAAUACUCUUGACCACAUUGUUUGGUUUGAUAGUUUAUUCAUGUCUACUAUCCAAUGUGAUUCGUGUGCUUAUAUGAUUACCUUGAAUGUGAUUUGGAACGCCUUCCUAAAUCUCAUUCAUACUUUGGCCAAAGAUUCUUAAUCAUAUCAUAGAGUAUUCUCCCUCAAACGGUUUGAAGGUUAGAGAUCCCUUGUUGCGCAUUCACUUGCCUCCAUGGCUAAGUAGCUUAACCCCAAUGAUGCCGUGGACACCCGCGAAUGGGGUGACUUUGACAUAAUCAAAGAUCAAGGACUUAACCACAAGACAGCUGUGAUGCCUCAGGUCAAAGGACUACUUUGCAUUAUCCCAACCAUGAGUUCUCAUAUGACAUGAAUAUGAGAACUCUUCGUUGAUCGUGUUCAGUGAACUCAUUCUCUAUUGAGCACCUAUGUACUUGUCUUGAUGUCACACACACCAAUGACUCGAGACUAGUCACUCUCCCUGAGAGAAGACACAGCACGUACUGAUCUUAACGGACUGUCAAUGCCCAAUUGGGAAUCCUAUGAUCAGGAACGUUUAGGAUGUGUCUACGAAAGAAUGGUCUCAUGAAUCUAACUUCUUUAGAUCGUAUUCUCCCAAUCACAUAUUCCUUGGACUUAUCGUUUAAGCAUAUAACAUUUAUAUGAGACGGCUUAAAACAAUAAUCUAUGCCCUUGAUAUUAAACUAGAUUAAUUUAACAUGUGAAAUGUCCGUAAAGUAUCAUCAUAUGAUUGGUUUUAGGGCACAUUUCCAACAGUUGACACACCCCGACCUAGAUCGAGGCAUGCUGGCUGUCACCUGGGAGUGACGUAACCAUGUGCAUAAUGCGGUGGAAGCAAUAGAGAUAAAAAUCCUAAGCGCAGUCAAGCAGGACAAGUACUAAUUAUACAACACCCCCGUUAAAUCCUCGUGAUCCACCAAGCACUUCUACUUCAAACUUGGAGGGGCGCAAAACAGAAAGUGUGAGUGGGCAAAAACAAAGCUUUUCAAAAUCAUUUCAUUUCUCAAAAGUUCUAACCCUUCGCCGUAAAACCUGUAUAAUUUCCCAGAAAAUAAUAGUAAUAAUAAGCUGUAUCAGAAAUCAUACUCAAGAUGAAAAUCCAUAGAAGUAUACAUUGCCAAAGUAUCUCAAUGCAAUGCUAUAAGUAAUCCAGGCAAAAUAUAUCAACCAAAUAUCGCAUCAGCCAAAUCCCUCUAACUCAAUCUACACAGCUGAGUAUAUAGCUCAUAACCAAUCUUAAUCAUAUCAAAUCAAAUCUUGCACACGAGUCGGAACCACCUAAAGUGGUCUGUACGACAAGACUAGCUGUAAAGUAAAUAUGCCCUAGUGCUACAAUCACGUGAAGGUUGUGCGAAUGAUCGCGGGUCAUCUACGAGUCGGAACCACCUAAAGUGGUAUGUAUGACAAGCUUGUGCACCUAACUUGGAUCCAAGGUGAGCUUAUGGUGCAGGAGGUGAACAUUACGUGAAGGGUUGUGCCUUAACUCUGGGCGAGAGCACUAACACCGGGGUGCAGGUUUAUGAGCUCUCAAAACAUCACAUCAUAUCUCACAUAACUGAAGUAACCUCAAAUCUUUAAUUUAUGAACUUACCUGGUACUCACUUGUGCGUCCGUAGCACUAAGGCGAAUACUUUGCAUGGCAUUUCAAAACUUAUAAUCAUUCAAAUUCAUUUUCUGGGAAAAAUCUCAAGUAUAUAGGUAUAUACGGAAAACCAAAAGCCCACUCACUGAUAUGUCGAAGGGUCGUAGCCCCUGACCCUCGAUUGAUAGCGCUCGUCCUCAGGAUAGGUCUCACCUAUAUGCGAAAUAACUGAAUAAACGUUAUUUAAAGCACAUACACAAAACUAGGAAAUAACUUCUCAUACAUUGCUCAAAUGGGGUAUUUGAAUAUACCACCAUGAUCUACUUAUCCUCAGGAACAUCCCCAUAUUUUUAGAAAAAAAUUUCAACCUCCCACGCACCGGCAAAGGUACAGCCAGACGCGCCCUCACAUGCAGCCAAACCCUAACUGAAACUUAACUACCGCUAGGAAUAUUCCACUAAAUCUUAACAGAAGUUAACGGCAUUACCUGACCUCGUUAGAAUAUUCUGUCAGACUUGACGGAAUAUUCUCCUUCGUCUUCCCUGGUUCGCUGGAGAAUUUCGCCGGCGCCCUUGUGAUCGCUGGAAACUGGAAAAUAUAGAAACCUUUAUAUCUUCUUCAUUUUUACACCAAAAUCCAUGAAAUUUUUACCAAAAUGAAGCUUAGGACUAGAAGAACAAAGCCAUACCAAUUUAAAGCCCUAAAAUCCACGGGAUUUGGUUGGAAGAACCUCGAUAUUCCAGCCAAACUUGAACUUGCCAAACUUAACUUCCUGACGUCCAAAACAAUUCAUUUUUUCUUCUCCGAGCUUCGUGAAGACAUCCUAAGGCUCACUAGCAGCUUAAAAUCUCCUAAAAACUUCACAUUCACGAUCACAUGAAUAGUGCAUAAAAUCGGGGUUUUUGGGUUCUCGGGUUUUCGAGGGUUUCACGUCUAACCAAAGGUAUAAAUGAGUUCCUAGACUUACAAGGAACACAAAGAUAGCUUCCAAAACCUCGAUCCAUGACUAGAAGUGAAGGUUCGAAGGUUGUCCGUAUGGUUGUACGAAAAUGGAAGGAAAUCCGAGAGAGGGAGGAGAAAGAAGGUCAACGGGAGUUUGGAUGUGUGAGUGUGAGUAUGUGGUCCAGUUUUGGAUCACUAAUCACAACCCAAAACCAUUAACUUUAAGUUCCAAAACCUUAGGAACUAAUUAAAUUAGUUUAAAACCCAAACUCAAGCCACAACACCACAUAACGCUCAAGUGUAGAAUGGUCAAUUCACACCAUCUAUAAAAUAUUUCGGGACAGGCUGUGACAACCUACCCCUCUUAAGAAAAUUUCAUCCUCGAAAUUUCCAUACAAUAAUUACAAUCUACUAAUAAUCAUAAAACAACCUUGGAUACAUAUCUCUCAUCUGGUCCUCUGUCUCCCAAGUGGCUUCUUCCACCGAGUGAUUUCUCCAUAAAACCUUCACUAGGCGUACGGUUUUAUUUCUCAGAACCUUAUCUUUCCAAUCCAAAAUAGUCAUUAGCUCCUCAUCAUAACUCAAAUCUGAAUUAAUUUCUAAUGGUUGAGGAGGUAUCACAUGAGAAGGAUUUGAGACAUAAUGACGAAACGUAGAGACAUGAAAAACAUCAUGCACUUUUGAUAACUCUGGAGGCAACUCAAGCCUAUAAGCAACUUCAACGACUCGGUCGAUGAUCAUAUACGGUCCAAUGUACCUAGGACUCGCUUGCCUUUCUUUCCAAACUGCACAACACCUUUCCAUGGUGAUAGCUUCAGAAAUACCCAAUCACCUACAUUAUACAUCCGGUCAGUGGCAUGUUUGUCUGCUAGACUCUUUGUCGAUCCUGGGCCGCUUUCAGGUUAGACUUAAUCACCUGAAUAUUCUGAGUAGUCUCCUCCACUAUCUUAGGACCCACCAAAACAUUUUCACCAACCUCUGACCAACGUAAGGGUGUGCGACAAGAUUUACCAUAAAGAGCCUCGAAAGGUGACAUACCGAUACUAGAAUGAAAGCUAUUGUUGUAGGCAAAUUCCAAUCCAACCGCUUAUGCCAAGCGUCACCAAACUGCAACACUGAAGAUCUUAACAUAUCUUCCAAAGUCUGAAUGGUCCUCUUUGACUGUCCAUCUGUUUGAGGAUGAUAUGUUGUACUAUAAAAUAAUCUCGAACCAAGAGCUUCCUGAAAUGCUAUCCAAAUUUGGAAGUGAAUCUAGGAUCACAAUCCGAGAUAAUACUAACUGGAAUCCCAUGGUACUUCAUGAUUUUCGAUACAAAUAAUUCAGCUAAUCGGCUUAAAGAAUACUUAUCCCUCACAAGAAUAAAUGUGCUGACUUAGUAAACCGAUCAACUAUCACCUAAAUGCCAUCGUAACCAUUCUGUGUACGAGGAAGCUUGUACACAAAAUCCAUAGUAAUAUUUUCCCAUUUCCACUGUGGAACGGGAAAUGGCUGCAUCAGUCCAAAAGGCUUAUUUCUUUCUGCUUUGACUUGCUGACAAAUGACACACCUACUCACAUAUUCAGCAAUUUCUCUUUUCAUACCUGGCCAAUAAUAAAAUGGUCGAAUGGUAUGAUACAUUUUUGUACCUCCAGGAUGCAUUGCAUAAGCUGAAAUAUGUGCUUAAUCAAGAAUUGCUUUCUUUAGUUCCAUAUUAUCCGGCACAUACAUCCUACUCUCCUGCAUAAGCAUGCCAUCAGUUUCUUGAAUUCUGAAGUCUUUCUUCUGCCCCCGAUUCCUUGCUUGAAUUGUUUCCUGGGUCUCUUCAUCAUUCAUCUGGGCUUCAAGUACACGAUCAAUUAAAAUUGGCCUGACUUGGAAAUUUGCAAGUAAAGCUUCAUCUCAAUCUUCCACUCUUAACUCCACUCCAGUGGACCUUAAAUUCACAAGAAGAGGAACGUGACAAUAAUAGAUGGCAUGAAGUCUAACUGGAGUCCUCCUACUAAGUGCAUCUGCCACUACAUUUGCAAGACCGGGUGAUACUUAAUCGUGCAAUCAUAAUCACUAAGCAACUCAAUCCACCUUUGCUGCCGAAGUGUUGGAAAUGUGCCCUAAAACCAAUCAUAUGAUGAUACUUUACGGACAUUUCACAUGUUAAACUAAUCUAGUUUAAUAUCAAGGGCAAAGAUUAUUGUUUUAAGCCAUCUCAUAUAAAUGUUAUAUGCUUAAACGAUAAGUCCAAGGAAUAUGUAAUUAGGAGAAUGUAAUUUGAACAAGUUAGAUUCAUGAGACCAUUCUCUUUCGUAUACAUAUCCUAAACGUUCUUGAUCAUAGGAUUGCCAAUUGGGCAUUGACAGUCCGUUAAGAUCAGUACAUACUGUGUCUUCUCUCAGGGAGAGUGACUGGUCUCGAGUCAUUGGUGUGAUUGACACCAAGACAAGCAUGUAGGUGCUCAAUAGCGAAUGAGUCCACUAAACACGAUCAACGAGGAGUUCUCAUACUCAUGUCACAUGAGAACUCAUGGUUGGGAUAAUGCAAAGUAGUCCUUUAACCUGAGGCAUCAUAGUUGUCUUGUGGUUAGGUCCUUGAUCUUUGACUAUGUCAAAGUCACUCCAUCCGAGAGUGUCCACGACAUAGUUGGGGUUAAGCCACUUAGCCAUGGAGGCAAGUGAAUGCGCAACAAGGGAUCUCUAACCUUCAAACCGUUUGAGGGAGAAUACUCUAUGAUAUGAUUAAGAAUCUCUGGCCAGAGUAUGAAUGAGAUUUAGGAAAUUGUUCUAAAUCACAUUCAAGGUAAUCAUAUAAGUAACAGAAUCACAUUGGAUAGUAGACAUGAAUAAACUAUUAAACCAAACAAUGUGGUCAAGAGUAUUGUAUUAGAGAAAGACCGUAUUGCAUUGUAAUCCUAAACUAAAUAGGUCUCCACCUCUUCUAAUUAGCUAAGGUAACCAUGACAUACUGCUAGGUGUCACUCAUGGUUUGUGGAAGCCCUAAACGUGUAUAAUCACUAAAGGGAGAAUUGAAAGUAAGUUUCAAUUCACAAUCGAUUUGAAAGAGUUCUAAUCACCCACUGCCUCGCUAAAAGGAACCUAAUGGAUCGUACACCGUGUAAGGUAGAGAUUGAAGAAACAACGGAGAUGAGUAAGGAUAAUUAAAUGGUUUAAUUAUUUAUGGCAAGGAUUAAUUAAUAUGUUAAUUAAUCAAACGAAUAAAGUUCGUUAAAGACCUCGGGUUAGUUUUGGGCCUCAAGGCCCAAUGGGCUUCGAACGUCAAGCCCAUUACUUAAGUUGUAUGACAACUUAAUGACUAAAUAUUCACAAAGGCCCAAACAGCCCAAUAACACCCUAUGGCCGGCCAUAUUGAUAAAAGAGUGGGUUUUGGACUUAUUACAAGUUUGCCACUCCAAUGAAGGUAGGUAUAAAUAUGACUUUAUAGCCUUUGCUUCAUUAGGGUUUCUUUUGGAGAAAAUUGGAGAGAAAAUGUCUCUCCCUUUCUCUCUAAGAGGCUGGCCCCCUUGGAGGAGAUUAGCUAGCAAUCUCUCAUCCUCCUAGGUCACUCCUCUCUUAUUCAAGUCUCUCCUUGGUGUGGAAAAAUUAGAGGUUCUUUAUUUUGAGAACUUGGAGAAUCUUUUCUACCAUCCUCCUCCAAGAAAUCGAUGGAUCUAAGAAGCAAGGAAUGAAGGCCCUCUCCUUGGGUGAUUAGCCUUUGCUUAUGCAAAGAGGAAUCAACAAAGGUAUAAUAUUUCUCAACUCACUUUGUUCUUGAGUUGAGUCAUGGUUCACCUAACUACUAGGCUUUGAAUUUCAUGGGUAUUGUUUUGUUUUGAGUGCAUACAAGCAUGAUUCCACCUUUAAUUGUUAAUUUCAUGCUAUAGAUGUUGCUCAAAUGAACAUGUUUUUCACAAAAUUUCCUUCAAGUGGUAUCAGAGCCUAGGUCUAGUAGUUGGUGAAUCCUUUUGGGUUUUGUAGUUCAUAGUCUUUGAUUUGAAUGUUGUAAUUGUUACAAGUUUUAUUCUUGCUUCUUUGAAUGUAAAUUUUGUUAGAAAAUUUGCCAUCUCAAAUGUUGUAGAUGUAGUUCAUAUGAGAAUGAAUUUUGGAGCUAAAAUUUGGUGCCAUGUUUUUGGGGAAAUUCGGCCAAAUCCAAAGGGUGGAUUUUUGGGUUCUUGUUUGUCUUGUUAAAAGUGUUUUAAAGUGACUUUUGGAACCCCUAAGUACCCUAGGAUGUUAACCCAUUUUGAGUAGUGAAAAUUUGAGUUUUAUUGAGUGAAAAUGUUCAUGGAACUCUUAUGGGUUUUCAUGGAUGUUCUUCAUUGUUCUUGAUGUUCUUACCAAGGACAAAAAGUUUGGUGUUUUGAUUCAAAGUUUUUGGUUGAUUUCAUAAAGUCUUUGUUUUGUGUUGGUUUGUGUGAUUUUUUCAAAUUUUGAAAAGUGAUUGAAAUUUGAAAAUUUGAAAUUUGAAAAUGUGUUUGAAUUUUUGUACAUGAUUGGUACUUCUCUUACACACCAACCCAUCACCCACUUGUUCAACUUGCAUGACUUUAUAACUUUGCUUUUCAUCAAAAAUCAACUCACACACCAUCACUCACACUACUCCAAAACCGGUCACCCUACAAGUAUGGUACUUUUGGGGCUUUUAUGCAAUUACAUAAAGUUUUGAUACUUUUGUGUAUUUGUAGUUUGACCCAAAAGUUUACGUUUUUACGUAAAGGCCCAAAAUCACAAAAGGACAAAUUGUUUUGUUCCUUUAAUGAAGUUUUUGAAUUUGUUGAAAUUUUUGGGUUCUAGUUGUAAUUACAUGAAGUAGUGGACUUUUGUGUUUUUACAAAGUGACCUCAAAAGUUUAUGUUUUGCAAUAUAGCCCAAAAAGUUGAGGUUGUUGCUUUUCGGCCCAAAUUAGGUUGAGAACAAAAUGGUUUUGUCACUUUAAAUGAGAAUUGGAUUUUCAUUUCAUUUAGCUCCAUUUAAAUCAAUUCUAUGGAUACAAAAACCAAAUGACAAUGUUGCAUUCAAGUUUAAUUAGUUAAAGCGUUAAUUAAUUAAAUGGUGAUUAUGAACCUAAGCCUACGAUAAUUGAGCUAUGUGAAAGGCCGUCUCAAAUUUGUUUGAACCAUGGGAAUGUGUAGAUUAGAUUUUGGUUGUAAUUUGAUAUGAUCAAAUAUUGUAAAAGAGCAUAAGCUCUUCUUUACUUUAAAGUAAUUUGUUUUGAUCAAAUGUUGUAAAAGAGCAUAAGCUCUUCUUUACUUUGAAGUACUCCUUUUCUUGUUUUAUUUGAUAUGCAUGAAAUUGGAGUAGUUGGGUCCAACGCCCAAUAGGAAAAACACGCCUUAAUAUGAUUAAACGCGUAACUAAAAUCAAUCACCAUCCCUAGACCAAGAUUCAACACUAGGCUCGUGUUGGAUCUAAUCAAAGGUUCAUAGUCAUCCUAAGGCCCUAAGGCAACUAUAUAGUCCAUCAAUGAAUGCAAACCUUAUGUUAGUAGUACCAUAUACUCUUGCUUUAAAAACCGUUUUACAAGCUUAGUGGGAGUACUAUAUACUACUAAAUCAAUCACAUGGACCAAUAGUUGUAAUAGGACCAAAUUGUUUUAAUAAGAUUAAAAUGUAUGUUUAUAUGUGAUGAGACCUAAAACCCUCAACCAAACCAUUAUUAAGUUGAUAAGCGUGAGAGUGCUUUAAAAACUCUUUUCGUGGCCUUCCACCGUGGUAGGCUCCGAUCGUUUGUGACUCGUACACCAACUUAACCCUAUCAUGGGGGAGUACAAAGUGCGUGCUUACACUCAGGAGGAGUUCUAUAUGCAUACAUGAUGUUGUGAAGGUAGGCAACGAGAAUAGCCAACAUCAUAUCAUUGUAAGGUUGUUCUUGAACCCCUACUCGAACUUACAUGGUGGGAAUGACUUAACUAAGUGCAAUGGAGCCAACAUCAUAUCAUUGUGAGGCUUCAUUCUCUAGAGGCCAAAUAAGAUGGGUACUUGCAAGAGAUGCAAAUGAGUAAGCGUACUCUCUCAUUAUUAUUGAUGCUAGCCAACAUCAUAUCAUUGUGAGGUGGGCUUGGUAAUGAUGAGUCUCCCAUACCCUACUAAGAGUUUCCUCCAAAACUCUCGAAUUCCGAUAAGGGAUAUGGAAUUUGCCAAAAUAGUGGGUGGUGCUAUUUGAUUUAAAGACCCGGAUCAAAUGGCUUAAAAUCAAUCAAUUUAUAUUCGUUAUGUAUUUAUUUACCAAUAUAUUUGCAAACGCUAUCCAAAACUUGACAAAGAAAAAGCCGAAAGCUUUAGUUUCCGGACUUGGUACUACAAUCCCAUAGAUUGUCUAUAAUGGCUUGUAUAUGUAUCUAAGUAGUCUCAUCCUCACAAUCUUCCUAUUGAUAAUGUAUCAUUGGAAGAACAUGUUAGAUAAGUCUAUCAUAAAGAGGACAACACUUUUAAUGUUAUAAUUCUUCAAUUACAAAUUGUUGUAUGAAGAAAUAAGAGUUGCUUUGAACAACCCUUAGCUAACGCAAACAUUAGUGCUUGUUUCUUUGUUACAUGAACAAGGAACUUGAGAAGUAAGCACAAAGGCAUGGACACUUUAUGUGCCAUGAUUCUUCACUUACAAAUUGUUGUAUGAAGAAAUGAGAGUUGCCUUGAACAACUCUUGAAAGUUUGUAAUUAUGUUUAGAACAUAAUGGUUGGUUGACAAAAAUAGUCCAUCAACAUGGACUUAUGAUGAUUUUGAAUCAUUGAGUGUUGAAGUGUUAAACCACUUCACGAGACGGAAACUAGGCAAGGACUUCACUUUUGUGUCCCUAUCCAAAUGGUUCACUAAGUUUAUUGUAAACUAUAUAGUAAACAAUAAACACACGUUCUCCAAAUUGUUUGAUGUGUAUAACACAAUUGAAAUGAGUUUCAAGAGAGAUAGUGGGAGUUUAGGGACCAUGACUAUUGUAGUCAAAGGAGAAGUCAAAUGAAGAAGGGGAAAUAACUCCAAGGGAACAAACUUUCUUUAUGAAAGGAUGGACAUUGGAAGGGGUAUUUGCAAGAAAUGUCUUGCAAGUGUCAAGAACACACCUUUCGAAGGUGUUAUAAAUUGUUCUUGAAAAGUUCAAAACAGUUGGUUCUUCUACUUGAAUGCUUGAUUCCGUAUUAGUAACUAUGUUUUACAAUCGUUGUAAAAGUGUGGCUAAUAAGAAGUAGAAGAUUAAUGAGAGAAGAGAAAGAACUUCACAUUCGGAACGUGAAUCAAAUGUAGAUCUCUGCGAAAGCAGAUCGUACUUACUUCCUCAUAUGAACUACCAAAGAAAUUGGAAAAACCAAUGAUUGUCCAUACGUUCCAAUUUUAAGGAACUUAAUUCCGUCACUAUGAGAGAUGGAUGAAUGUUUUGUUUGACAAAACAUUGUUAUUUAUUAAUGAAUGAUUAGAUUAUUGUAAUCUAAUUGAUUAUCUCUAUAGUAGAGAUGAUAUGGUAGUGUUAACUGUUUAGAAUAUAACGAUGCUUAAAACCCAAAAGUUGCAAGGUAGUGACUAAUCCCAACUGAGUUGUGAUACCUCUAAAACAUAAAUUACGAGUUGGUCAUAGAUGGAUGCUUUGGAUCGUUAGAUCCGAAUCCAAUGCCUUCUUUUUAAAAUUGUAUAGAGGCAAAAUGUUUGAAUCUUUAUUCUUUUGGAAAGGAAGAAAGAAUCACAUUGAGGUUAAUUCACUUAGAUGUUAGUGGCACUUGUCCACAACAUAAUACUACUCAUGUUGUAUGACAUUCACCGAAGAUCGCUCUCGGUUGGACUAUCAUUUAUUUUGAAUAAACACAAGUCCGAAUACUUUGCAAAAGGUUUCAAAGAAUUCAAGAAAUGUAAGUUGAUGAGUAAGAUGUCUAAAGUAUUUACCUCCUUAGAUUUGAUCCAAGGAAAGGUAACACUUUAGAACAGUUUCCUUGAAAGAUAUCAAGGAAAGAAGCAUCAUAAGAUAAUGGAUUUCUCCAUUAAGAGAAGAACGAACUCAAAUAAGAUUUAGUUCGUUGGAUGUUAUCAAUUACCCAUAUAUAAGAUAUACACUUCUAAGACAAUAUGAUUGUCAAUUAGAAGAUCUUCCAAAAUUUUCAUGACUCCAUAGGAUGUAGUUGGAAAGAAAGACAAAUCUUAAUCAUGUUAAGAUUUGGGGUUGUGUGCUAAUAAGCAAUAUUUGUUUAAAGAAUUAUCUUGUGGGUAUCCUUAAAUUAACAUUUGGAUAUCACUUCUAUAAACCAACUAACAAAUGUUGUUUGUUGGAUAGUUCAUUGUAAUCCUACACUAGGAUUUGCCUAAGAUAGAGCAAAUGAACGAGGGAUAGAACUCAAAGAAUGGGCUCUUUGAGAGAUAAGAUAGUGAUCAACAAAUAUAACAACCUAGUUCCUAUACCACAAGCUCCAAGGUAGUCGAGAAGGAUUUAUAAACUGUCUCAGUUGAAUGGUUUGAACUUUAUGGUUAUGUCAUAGAGUUACACCUCUUAAUUCGAAAGAAAUAAGAAUGAAAAUCCUUAUGACUACAUUAAGUGUAUAUACGACAUAUACUCAAGGAAAUGGUAAAGUACCAUUUGACCCGAAAUAGUGAAACCUUUAUAGCUAAUUGGUAGCUUAAAGUGACUACAAUCAAAGAGAUUGGUUGACUUUGAAGAAACCAUCUUUAACGUAGUCUUGGUUUCAAUUAAUUCGAAGAUUGCUAGCUACAACUAAAUGGUGAUUCAAUGUUUGGACAUAAUAUGGGUUUCCGAAACCAUUAUUAAGAUAGUCUUGAUAAUAUAUCUAAAACUAUGAAUCACAAGACAUGUAAGUUGUAGAGAUCCAUCCAUCAUGAAUCUUAGCAAGCUAGUGGGAGCUAUAAGCGUCUUAUGAGAGAAAAAAUCACAUUGUUUGAUUUCUCAUAAAGAUGUAAAUGAAUCUUUUGUUUACUAGGUUUACAAAAGAUUAGUGGGAGUUAAUCAUGUUCCUAAAUUUGAAUAUAUAUAUAUAUAUACACAUAUAUGAUAUAUUAAUUUUGGAAAUGAAAAGAAUACUUCUUCGUUAAAGUUAUGACUUUAAACAUUCUAUAAAGAUAGAAUGUAUAUGGGAGACAUAGUCUAUAAACAUGGGAUGGAAAUCUAUAAUGAUAGAUUUCAGAAUAUAAUUGGAUUAUAUCAAGCCCAAAUGAUAGACAAAAGAUGCUAGGAAGUUUCUCAUAUGAUGAUAAACUUCAAUCUGAAGAAUAACUCUAGUGAGACUAGGAGGUAGCUCUUCUCAAAGGGAACGUACCCUUUGACUCCCAAAGAAAUAAUGCGUAAAUAAAAUCCUUUAUGCAUACGCAGAAAGGUGAUUUACGUAUUUCAUAUUGUAUGAAAAACGUUGAUAUGAGUUGUACCAAGAUCGGUACAAGACGAUAUCAAUGCAAGCCCAGGAUCAGAACCAUGGCAACUGUCAAGUGAAUCCUUAAGUAUUUGAGAAAUAAUAAAGGAUGGAUUCCUCAAGAAUGAGGAAGAAUUAGAGUAACGUAAUGGAAGCGUAAAUGUAUUAGAUUAUGAAUCUAAUCCAUCAUUGAAUGUUUCUUCAUUAUGAAUGAAGAGAUAAUUAGAUAUCUCUUUAUUAUGACUAGAGAGAUAUUUGGAUGGAAACAUUAAAAGUAAUGACUUUAGUGUGUUCCAUUAUGAAUGCAAAAUAUAUUGUCAUAUAGAAGCUUACAACAAUGUUGUUUGGAUGAGAAAGUUCAUUCAUGAACUCUCUAUUCGGUUCCAACCAGAAAGUGUCUCUAGUGUACCGACACUACGACACUAAUGGGGCGAUAGCUCAAGCCAGGGAAUCAAGGUCUCAUCAUGAUCUGAACUCAAAUGAGAGACUAAACCACAUGAUUAAGAAUCAUGUAUAAUGGUGACGUCGUUAUUCUCAAGGUUGCUUCUAUGGAUAACAUAUAGAUAUCCAUUGUCUAGGCCUACUACUCAGCCAUUUUUGAAAUGACUACAGAAGAGGUAUCAUCAUUGAUGACCAAACUGAUUGGCUCUAGUGCAAGUGGGAGAUUGUUGGAAAUGUGCCCUAAAACCAAUCAUAUGAUGAUACUUUACAGACAUUUCACAUGUUAAACUAAUCUAGUUUAAUAUCAAGGGCAAAAAUUAUUGUUUUAAGCCGCCUCAUAUAAAUAUUAUAUGCUUAAACAAUAAGUCCAAGGAAUAUGUAAUUAGGAGAAUGUAAUUUAAACAAGUUAGAUUCAUGAGACCAUUCUCUUUCGUAUACAUAUCCUAAACAUUCCUGAUCAUAGGAUUGCCAAUUGGGCAUUGACAGUCCGUUAAGAUUAGUACACACUGCGUUCUCUCAGGGAGAGUGACUGGUCUUGAGUCAUUGGUGUGAUUGACACCAAGACAAGCAUGUAGGUGCUCAAUAGCGAAUGAGUCCACUAAACACGAUCAACGAGGAGUUCUCAUCCUCAUGUCACAUGAGAACUCAUGGUUGGGAUAAUGCAAAGUAGUCAUUUGCCCUGAGGCAUCAUAGUUGUCUUGUGGUUAGGUCCUUGAUCUUUGACUAUGUCAAAGUCACUCUCCAUCCAAGAAUGUCCACGACAUAGUUGGGGUUAAGCCACUUAGCCAUGGAGGCAAGUGAAUGCGCAACAAGGGAUCUCUAACCUUCAAACCGUUUGAGGGAGAAUACUCUAUGAUAUCAUUAAGAAUCUCUAGCCAGAGUAUGAAUGAGAUUUAGGAAAUCGUUCCAAAUCACAUUCAAGGUAAUCAUAUAAGUAAGAGAAUCACAUUGGAUAGUAGACAUGAAUAAACUAUCAAACCAAACAAUGUGGUCAAGAGUAUUGUAUUAGAGAAAGACCGUAUUGCAUUGUAAUCCUAAACUGAAUAAGUUCUCCACCUCUUCUGAUUAGCUUGGGUAACCAUGACAUACUACUAGGUGUCACUCAUGGUUUGUGGAAGCCCUAAACAUGUAUAAUCACUAAAGGGAGAAUUGAAAGUAAGUUUCAAUUCACAAUCGAUUUGAAAGAGUUCUAAUCACCCACUGCCUUGCUAAAAGGAACCUAAUGGAUCGUACACCGUGUAAGGUAGAGAUUGAAGAAACAACGGAGAUGAUGGAAGUAAAUGGUUUAAUUAUUUAUUAAUGAUUAAUUAAUAUGUUAAUUAAUCAAACAAAUAAAGUUCGUUAAAGACCUCGGGUUAGUUUUGGGCCUCAAGGCCCAAUGGGCUUCGAACGUCAAGCCCAUUGACUUAAGUUGUAUGACAACUUAAUGACUAAAUAUUCACAAUGGCCCAAACAGCCCAAUAACACCCUAUGGCCGGCCAUAUUGAUAAAGGAGUGGGUUUUGGACUUAUUACAAGUUUGCCACUCCAAUGAAGGUAAGUAUAAAUAUGACUUUAUAGCCUUUGCUUCAUUAGGGUUUCUUUUGGAGAAAAUUGGCGAGAAAAUGUCUCUCCCUUUCUCUCUAAGAGGCCGGCCCCCUUGGAGGAGAUUAGCUAGCAAUCUCUCAUCCACCAAGGUCACUCCUCUCUUAUUCAAGUCUCUCCUUGGUGUGGAAAAAUUAGAGGUUCUCUAUUUUGAGAACUUGGAGAAUCUUUUCUACCAUCCUCCUCCAAGAAAUCGAUGGAUCUAAGAAGCAUGGAAUGAAGGCCCUCUCCUUUGGUGAUUAGCCUUUGCUUAUGCAAAGAGGAAUCAACAAAGGUAUAAUAUUUCUCAACUCACUUUGUUCUUGAGUUGAGUCAUGGUUCACCUAACUACUAGGCUUUGAAUUUCGUGGGUAUUGUUUUGUUUUGAGUGCAUACAAGCCUGAUUCUGCCUUUAAUUGUUAAUUGCAUGCUAUAGAUGUUGCUCAAAUGAACAUGUUUUUCACAAAAUUUCCUUCACGAAGAUUAAGAUCUCUUUGAGUAAAAAGAUACUGAAGACUCUUAUGAUCUGUGAAGAUCUUACAUUUCUCACCAUAAAGAUAAUGUCUCCAAAUCUUCAAAGAAAAUAUGAUAGCUGCUAACUCCAGAUUAUGAUUAGGGUAAUUCUUCUCAUGAGGCUUUAAUUGCCAUGAAGCAUAAGCAAUCACCCUACCACAUUGUAUCAACACGUAACCCAAACCAUUCAAAGAAGCAUCACUGUGAACCUCAAAAUUUCCACUAUCAUCUGGAAGUGCCAAAACAGGUGCAUGAGUGGGAUGAUACUUCAACCGCUGAAAACUUUGCUCACAAUUAUCAUCCCACUCAAACUUAACUUCUUUUCUAUUGAACCUCGUUAAUGGCAAAGCAAUGACUGAAAAAUCCUUAACAAACUGUCUAUAAUAGCCUGCUAGACCAAGAAAACUUCGUACCUCAGUGACGGUUCGAGGUUGCUCCCAAUUCUCCACAGCUGCCACUUUGUGAGAAUCCACUUGAAUACCUUGAGCAGAAAUGACAUGUCCCAAAAAUGCUACUUGAUCCAGCCAAAAUUGAUAUUUGCUAAACUUAGCAUACAACUGAUGUUCCCUUAAUUUCUUCAAAACCAAAGUAAGAUGUCGAACAUGCUCUGCUUUAGACUUAGAGUAUACCAAAAUGUCAUCAAUAAAAACAAUGACAAACAUGUCUAUAAAUGGCUGGAAUACUUGAUUCAUCAAAUCCAUGAAAGCUGCUGGUGCAUUCGUUAAUCCAAAUGGCAUCACAAGAAACUCAUAAUGACCAUAACGAGUCCUGAAAGCAGUCUUAGGGACAUCCUCACUGCGGAUCUUCAAUUGAUAAUAACUAGACCUCAAAUCAAUCUUAGAAAACACACAGGCACCUCGAAGCCGAUCAAACAAAUCGUCUAUACGCGGCAACGGAUAACAGUUUUUAAUCGUUACCUGAUUUAAUUGCCUAUAAUCAAUACAUAGCCUCAAAGUCUCGUCUUUCUUCCUUACAAACAAAACUGGAGCUCCCCAGGGUGAAGUACUAAGUUGAAUAAAACCUUUACCGACUAAUUCCUGCAAUUGGACUUUCAAUUCCCUCAAUUCAGCAGGAGCCAUUCUAUAUGGAGUCAAAGAUAUAGGAUCCGUACCUAGAAGCAAAUCAAUGGUGAACUCCACAUCUCGGUCUGGAGGCAAUCCAAGUAAAUCAUCAGGGAAUAUAUCAGGAAAAUGUCUAACUACUCGAACAUCCUCCACACUACUAGAAGCAACAUCAUUCAGCAUUACAUGAGCUAAAUAUCCCUAGCAACCUUUCGAUAACAACCUAUUUGCCCUUACAACAGAAAUAACACCAUGCCUCACCCCACUACGUUUACCCACGAAAGUAACUUCAGGUAAUCCAGGACGAUGGAAAGUAACUGUUUUCCCGUAGCAAUCUAUAUUGGCACGAUUGUAAUGCAACCAAUAUGUGCCUAAAAUCACAUCAAAAUCAACAAUAUCCAACGGGGUAAGAUUAGCUGGCAUAACUACCUCCUCCACCAUCACUGGACACCAUGGAUAUACACAAUCAACAUAACAUCUCUCCCCUCUAGGCAUAGCAAACUCUAAAUCGUACCCUAGAGGCGUAGGAUGAGGUUGCGUCACUUGAGCAAAUGUAUGAGAAAUGACAGAGUGUGUAGCACCAUAAUCAAUUAAAACUCUAGCAAAGUGACCAAAAAUGUUUAACGUACCUAUGAUCAAGUUCGGAUGAUUCUGAGCAUCUUGCAGAGAUAUAUUGUUAAUAUGUCCCUAGGCUUGUUGUCGUCCUCCACGACCUUUACUAGCUUGAUUACCUCGCCCCUGCACACCUCGCCCUUGACUUGGCUGACCAGAUUGCCUUGAAGAUCCUACACUAUUAGAAGCAAUCUCUACCUGCUGGGGCUAUCAUCCCUAGUACCACUGAGAUCCACCAGCUGGAACGGAAGGAUACGGUGUAUACCCUUUAGAAUACUGAGAAUACCCACUUUAGUAAUAGGGGUCAUGCGAAUACUGAUACUGCCUUGAAGCAUAAAGCAUCGUCCUGAUAAUGGUAAGCACCACAUCGACCCAUCUGACCAUAACUAGCAGACCUUGGAACUUGCUGGAUCAGCGCUGGAGGUGGCAUAGAAGGCUGAUAGGACCUCUGCUGACUCUGGGGGCAAUUUAUAACUCUAUGUCCCUUCUGCCCACAUGUAAAACAUCCACUGCUACCUCUCCUACACUCCCCAAAAUGCCUAUUAUUACAUUUGCGGCACAAAGGAGCACUUCCUCUUCCAGCAUCUCUCUGCCUCUGAAAUUUAUGACCUUUAGAAAAUCUAACACCUCUCCUUUGACCAGUGGCAUUAAAACCUCCGCUAGAAGGACUAGAACUAGUUCCACUCCUCUUAAAGCUCGGAGUCUUACGAGGUCCUUGAGAAAACUGACCUUUACCUUUAUCAUCUCGCCUUUGAUUCCCAUUCUUUUCUUCUUCAUCUUCACUCUCACUGGGCAUAUUUUCUGAGUCCUCAAUCCUCAACAAAAUCUCAUAAAACUCCUGGUAAGUGGCACAAGGAGUCGAGGUCGCUAUAGAACGCCAUUUCUUCUUAGUACCUAACCUGAAACGACGGAGCAUCCCAACCUGAUUAGCAGCAACCUCUGGAUGAUAACGAGACAAAUCAGUGAAUCUCCUAUAAUACUCAUUUGCCGUCAUCUUCCCCUAAUUUAAUUGAGUAAACUCUUGUUUUUUGCAAUCAAUAUACUCAAGAGAAUAAACCUUUUCUGAAACAACUGUUUAAAUACUUCCCAAUCCGCAAUUUCCUCUGGGGUCAACUGAUAAGACUCCUGUUUCCACCAGGAUGCAGGUUCCGGACCCAAAAACCAGGUAGUCGUCUCGACCCACCUACCAGGAGGAAGAUUCCCCUGACUCUGCAUUACACAGAAAGUAUUUUCAAUAUGAUUGAUCCAUUUCUCAGCUCCUUUAUGUCCUUCAUUCCCCAUAAAAUGAUUCAGCUUCAGAUUAUACACAGUCUUAAGAGGUGUCAUUUAGGGAGGACGGAGCGAAAACUAAAUAUCAUUAGCUAUAGCUUCCCUUAACUAAGCUAUAUCGGGGAAACUAGGCUCAACAGAACAACGUGGAUCUCUACAAGGUGGCCUAGUUCUGACAAAAGACAUCAAAAUAAUUAGAAAUUCUUAAGAUAUGUAGGACUGCAAACCUAAUGCUCUGAUACCAAACUGACACACGCCGACCUAGAUCGAGGCAUGCUGGCCGUCACAUGAGAGUGACUUAACCAUGUGCACAAUGCGGAAGCAAUAAAGAUAAAAGGAAUUACGAAUAAACAAAAACCAAAUCAACUAGAGUACUAGCUAAGAUAGAGUGCUGAUAGGAGUCUGAGAUGAAGAACUAGAGAAGCUGCCACAUCUGCUUGGAGAACAAAUAAGGAAUUGCAACAUCACCAAAGAGCAAAGCUUCGCCGUACAAUUCCAAUCCAGUUCAAGAUCAAAGCUGUGGAAAGUCAACAAGAUCAACUAUCUCCAAAACCAGAUUUGCGUUCUUAAACUCUACUCUGUCUGGUUUUUACUUUGCCAUAUUUGUCAUGUUUAUUUGUCGUUUGUUAUUUGCUUGUUUUUGGUGUGAGUAUAUGCUUGAAACAUUGAGGACAAUGUUUGAUUUAAGUGUGGGGGGUAACCAUUGUUUUGCAUGAAAUUCGUAGAAAUUUAUCACCCAUUACUUCUAGUGUCGUUCCUUGUUGUUUUAAGUAUUUUUAAGCUGUUUUGGAGUGUUUCAGUGUGUUUUGACAUAAAAAUCAGAAAAUUCAUAAAAAUUUGAAAAAUUGUUUUUGAAAAUCCAAAAAAGAGUUGUUUUUGUGCGCUUAUUUGUGUCUUAGGGUACCUUCCAACACAAUGAUGAGGAUUCGGUUUGUAAUUGCAUGACUGUUAAAGAGAGUUAUAAACAUGGAUGAAAGUUUGAUUUACUCUUUAUUUAUGCGUGGUUGUGGUUAUAACUUAUGAAAUCACAUGUAAUCAUAAAAGAAAAAAUUAGUUUUUGUAACAUGCUUAAAGGAAAGAACUCAAACUAACGCUACAACCUUGUGAGACUUGAGCUUAAACGUUUAUUUGGAGAGUUAAAAUCUGUGCAUUCUUGUUUUCUAAAGUCGUUGCAUGAUCUCAUUAUUCUUUGCUUGGUUAUUACUUAGAAGGCGUUUCAUCAUUUAGUUCCAAAUGCUAGAACUCAUGCCUAUUUCAUUCAAAGCAUGCUAUUGAUUUGCAUAAAACAUAUUCAAGAUGAAGUUGUGUAGUUACCACCACCAAAGCCAAACUGCCAUGUAUCCCAUAUCGUUAUAUGUUUAAGUUAACCCCAUUGAGCCUUGAUAGCCUACAUUCUUUGUUAAACCACAUUAUCCUUACCUAGCCUAGUUUAGGACCAUCCAUACCCUUAUUCUUGAAGCAUAGUAAAGCAUUAUUCAAAUUGAAUUUCUUUUGAUUAAUGUAUGGCAGAAAACAAGUGUGGGGGAAGUGUGAGUUAUUAUGCUUGUUGAAAAGAAAAGAAGAGUUGAGAAAAAAAAAAAAAAAAAAAAAAAAAAAGAGUUGAAAAAUAUGCGAAAAAGAGUUUUAAAGUGCUGCUUGUUGAAGAAAGGGUCCAAAACAUAGAAUUCGGCCCUAAAUAUUGCUUGAAUUUUCCCUUCGUGUCUAAAAGCUGAUUUCUGCAAUCUAAGUGAAUUCUAAGUUUCAAUUUUAUUACUUUACUUGCUAUUGCUUUAAGAACGAUUGUUAUCCUUAUCCUUCAUUUGUUAGCCAUCACCCCAAGCCCCGUUACAACCCUUAACUUCAUCUUGAGUGUCAUGCGUUUCAAUAUGUAGAGUUUGAAAUUGAUAUGAGCAUAUGGUGUCACUGGUUCUCGCAUCUAAGUAGUAGCAUUCCAUUCAUGAGAUCAUAUCUAAACAUGCUUAUUAACUCCAGAAAUUGCUUUCUUUGUGAUACAUAUAUGUGAGCGUUCGUUUUCAUAUCUACAUCAAUCUUCUCACAUAUAACUAGUAUAGGGUGUGUAGUUAGAAAAUCUGAGUGAAAAUUGAGUGCAUAUCUUGUAAGGAAUUGAGUGAUUUCUCUAAGGCAUGUUACUACAUCAAAAACAUUAUUUUAAUCGAUUAAUUGUGAACAAGUAAGUGGUGAUUAUGAUUAAGUACGUGCUUAAGUGUGAAGAUGACUCAAAUCUGUGGGGAUAAUAAUUUUUAACAUGUCAUGUGCAUUGGAAAUCCCUGAGGCAAAUGUUGGAAGGUUAAGGUUGUGUUUUUUUUUUACUUUGUUUCGUUUUAUCUCUUUGUUUUGCUCGAGGACUAGCAAAAGCUAAGUGUGGGGGAAUUUGAUAGGAGCAUAUUUAUGCGACUUAGUUGGCUUGUUCUUGUGCAUUUAUGUCGUGUUUCCUUAGUUAUUUUAAUGUUUAAAGUCAUUUUCGUGUGUUUUCAGAUUUUAUGGACAAAGUAGGCAAGAAGAUGCAUUUUGGAGCAUUUUGGAGCAAAAUGGAGCUUGGAAUGCAUGUCACAUAUUUGGGCCAAAGUGGAUGGACGAAUUUGAGAACUAAAAGAGGCCAAGAAUGUGAAGAAUUAUGGUCCAAAAGAUGAAGAACUCAGCCCAAAAAUUUGUCACCCCAACUUGCCUUCAUUGCCAUGCAAAACAACAUAGAAUUCCCUUUGGAUUCCCAUGCCAUGCUUGAUCACUCUUGUCCCCUACAUAAUUUCUGAUUUCAUGCUUCAAUUCAUUUAAUUAUUACACUUAAUUGCUUGAUACCUCUUGUUCCCUUCACCCACAAAAUUUUAUACAACUUUCACAACCAUAACAUGCACCAAUUAAUGCUCCAUCAUUCACAUUUGGAAUCCCAUGCCUUGUGUACCACAUGUUGCUGCACCUUUGACCCAUUUAUUGACACAUUUUCACCUCCCUUUCCAUCUCUAUGCAAUGUACACACAAUCAUUCAUGCCCCCUAGCUACAAGACCACUCCAUUUUACCCUUCACACUUUGCAUCAUCAUCACUUCAUUUUCACCCUUGGACCAUUGCACACCACAUACACUCUUUGCCGUGCAUUCUCCCUAGCCUAACCUGAUUCUCUCUAAGGUUUUUGGGGCCUAUAUAUACAUGUUUACACCCCUUGGCAAAGGGUACACACUCUCAUAUUCACCAUUCAUCACAGAAAUUUCGUCCAUACUCACCCUAGGUAGCAAAACACCCCAAAAACACCAUUCUAGUGCCUAGAAAACAUAACAGCCACUCCACCUUCUUCCACCCUCUUUGCCUAGUUCUCCACCACCCUCCAACCCUCAAACACUCCUCCACACUUACCCUAAACCUUUCUAUACCAUUCCCCAUCCAUUCUACAUCAUAAAACUACCCAAAAAUCCGUCCACAAAGCAAUCUGCCGCAAGCAAGCAAAGGAGAAUUCUUGGAUGCACUUGCUACCCAAGUUGGAGCAUUUUAGGUGUUUUCUUUCCUUUGAUUUUAAUGUCUAAUUUUAUGUAUCUUUGCUUUGUGAGUAUGAGGAACUAAACCCCUCUUAGUUAGGGGGUGAUUCGAAACCAUGUUCAUACUUGCAAUAUGAUUUGAUUACAUCCAGUUGUGAUUCAUAAGUUGUGAAUUCUAUUUACUUAUCCGAUCGUAUAAAAAAUGAUUUGUGUAUGUUGGUUGAGAGUGCACGCUUAAUUUUCAUGCAUGAAUUUAACGCUAGAAUAUAAGGGAGUUUCACCUAAUCGUUAUGAACUUAUAUUCACAAGUAGUGAAGGUUGCUAGUCACAAUCACGUUAAGUAAAUUCUUGGCAUAAGUUUCAUGCAAAUCAUAGUAACGAGUGCCUCGUCAAUGCUUAUGUUUUUCAUAGAACUUAAUGAUUCUUGCUUGUAUCUCUAUUAUGCAAUUCAUGUAGGGAACUUGUAGGGAAUGUUUUGGGUUGUCGUAUGCAAUCAUCCAAUCCAAUAACUUGUGGAAAAACUGAGGGUUAAUUAGUGCAAUUCACGGUUAAUUUGGGGCGUUGAGUAUUCAUAGCUUAUCGAAAAGCAACUGGAAAUCGUUUUGUAUGAAAGUGUGACAUGUGUGGAGAAGAACCUCCUAGCUAGCCUUCCAUCCAUAAGUUUCAUUCAAAUUCAUUUUUACAAUCUGUUUUGAUUCACUUAAAUUUGUCUAAGAAUUUGUUUACUUUGUUCUUGUCUUAAUUUAAUUAUUUUCGUCCAAAAUCAACCCCAUCUUAUUUCUUUGAGUCAUAUUAAUUAGAACUUGUCUUAGAUUAUGUUUUUAAGUGUUUUAGUUCAUUAGAAAACCAAAAUUCGUCCAAGUUUGUGUUAGAGUCCCAAAACUGCCCAGAUUGUGUGUUUAAGGUAGUUUUGAGUGUUUAGGGGCUGUUUUGAGUCUUUUGGUUUGUUUUAGUGUUUUAAAGUAUAGUUUUGCAUUCUUUGAGUCUAGUUAGUGUUUUAAACUUUGUUUUUACGUUUUCAAGUCAGUUUCCAAGUGAUUUAGCAAUCCCUCCUAAUCCCCGGCCUAGAACGAUCCCUACUUACAUACUUUACUAUAAUUGAUAAAAAGAGGGUUUAAUUUGUGUGCUUAUAUAUUUCGCAUCAAGUGCUAGUGCGAGAUUAAGUGUGAAAUACACAACCAGAGCAUAAAUAUCCUAAGUGCAGUCAAGCAGGACAAGUACUAAUUAUACAACACCUAAAGGUGAUCCUACAUUAAUGAUGUUCUGUCAGAACCCCGGUCGAAAUCCUAGUGAUCCACCAAGCACUUCUACCUAAAACCUGGAGGGGUGCAAAACAGAAAGUGUGAGUGGGCAAAAAUAAAGCUUUUCAAAAUCAUUUCAUUUCUCAAAAGUUCUAACCCCUCGCCGUAAAACCUGUAUAAUUUCCCAGAAAAUAAUAGUAAUAAUAAGCUGUAUCAGAAAUCAUACUCAAGAUGAAAAUCCAUAGAAGUAUACCUUGCCAAAGUAUCUCAAUGCAAUGCUAUAAGUAAUCUAGGCAAAAUAUAUCAAUGUCAAAUAUCGCAUCAGCUAAAUCCCUCUAACUCAAUAUGCACGGCUGAGUAUAUAGCUCAUAACCAAUCUCAAUCAUAUCAAAUCAAAUCCUGCACAUGAGUCGGAACCACCUAAAGUGGUCUGUAUGACAAGACUAGGUGUAAAGUAAAUAUGCUCUAGUGCUACGAUCACGUGAAGGCUGUGCGAAUGAUCGCAGGUCACCUACGAGCCUGAACCACCUAAAGUGGUAUGUACGACAAGCUUCUGCACCUAACUUGGAUCCAAGGUGAGUAUAUGGUGCAAGAGGUGAACAUCACGUGAAGGACUGUGCCCUAACUCUAGGUGGGAGCACUAACACCGGAGUACCGGUUUAUGAGCUCUCAAAACAUCAUAUUAUAUCUCACAUAACUGAAGUAACCUCAAAUCAUUAAUUUAUAAACUUACUUGGUACUUACUUGUGCGGCUGCAGCACCAAUCAUAAUUAUAUGCAACUACUAAUGCAUAAAUAAAAUAGGCGGAUACUUUGCAUGGCAUUUCAAAACGUAUAAUCAUUCAAAUUCAUUUUCUGGGAAAAAUCUCAUGUAUAUAAGUAUAUACAGAAAACCAAAAGCCCACUCACUGAUAUGUCGAAGGGUCGUAGCCCCCGGGCCUCGAUUAAUGGUGCUCGUCCUCAGGAUAGGUCUCACCUAUACACGAAAUAACUGAAUAAACGUUAUUUAAAGCACAUACACAAAAUUAGGAAAUAACUUCUCAUACAUUGCUCAAAUGGGGUAUUUGAAUAUACCACCAUGAUCUACUCAUCCUCAGGAACAUCCCCAUAUUUUUAGAAAAAAAUUUCAACCUCCCACGCGCCGGCCAAGGCACGGCCAUUCGCGCCCCCAUGCGCGUCUAAACCAAACCCUAACUGAAACUUAACUGCCGUUAGGAAUAUUUUGUUAAAUCUUAAAAUAAGUUAACGGCGUUACCUGAAGCCAUUAGAAUAUUUCGUCAGACUUGACGGAAUAUUCUCAUUCGUCUUCCUUGGUUCGCCGGCCCCGCUGCGAUCAUCGGAAACUGGAAAAUAUAGAAACCUUCAUAUCUUCUUCAUUUUUACACACAAAUCCAUAAAAUUUGUACCAAAAUGAAUCUUAGGACUAGAAGAACAAAACCUUACCCAUUUAAAGCCCUAAAAUCCAUGAGAUUUGGCCGGAGGAACCUCGAUAUUCUGGCCAAACUUGAAACUUGCCAAACUCAACUUCCCGACGUCCAAAACACUUCAUUUUUCUUCUCCGAGCUUCGCGAAGACAUCCUAAGGCUCACUAGCAGCUUAAAAUCUCCUAAAAACUUCAUAUUCACGAUCACAUGAAUAGUGCACAAAAAUCGAGGUUCUUGGGUUCUCGGGUUUUCGAGGGUUUCACGUCCAACCAAAGGUGCAGAUGGGUUCCUGGACUUACAAGGAACACAAAGAUAGCUUCCAAAACCUCGAUCCAUGACUGGAAGUGAAGGUUUGAAGGUUGUUUGUACGGUUGUACGGAAAUGGAAGGAAAUCCGAGAAAGGGAGGAGAGAUAAGGUCAACGGGAGUUUGGAUGUGUGAGUGUGAGUGUGUGGUCCAAUUUUGGGUCACUAAUCACAACCCAAAACCAUCAACUUUAAGUUCCAAAAACUUAGAAACUAAUUAAAUUAGUUUAAAACCCAAACUCAAGCCACAACGCCACAUAACGCUCAAGGGUAAAAUGGUCAAUUCAAACCAUCGAUAAAAUAUUUCGGGACUGGUUGUGACAGCGUGGUCAAGGCCCAAAGUGGACAAUAUCGUGCUACGGCGGAGUCGAGCUUAGGAUGUGGUGGGCGCCCGGGUCGGGAUGUGACAAUUUGGUAUCAGAGCCAAUCCCUGGCCGGAAGUGUGCCGACGAGGACGUCGGGCCCCUAAGGGGGUUGGAUUGUAAAAUCCCACAUCGCCCAGGAGUGAGGAUCCUGUAAGCCUUAUUUGUAUAUUCCCAUCUCUACCUAGCACAAGGCUUUUUUGGAGCUCACUGACUUCAGGUUCCAUUGAAACUCCGAAAUUAAGCGAGUUCGCGCGAGAGCAAUCCCAUGAUGGGUGAACCACUGGGAAGUUCUCGUGUGAGUUCCCAAAAACAAACCGUGAGGGCAUGGUCGGGGCCCAAAGCGGACAAUAUCGUGCUACGACAGAGUUGAGCCCGGGAUGUGGUGGGGGUCCGGGUCGAGAUGUGACAAAUAGUCCAAUUUAUUAAAAUAAGUCCAAUUCCGUAAAUUUAAUUAUUUUAUUAUCAAUAAUUAUCUAUUCAAUGACAAGAUUUAUUAUAAAAAUCAAAUUUCUUCCUAAUUAUCUCUUUGAUUAUUUCUUUUUAUUUUUAAUUUUUGUUAUUUUUUGUUCUUGCUCCUGCUUUAAACCCCAUUUAUAGAUUUUAUUUUUAAUUUUUAUAAUCAACCUAUCUCACAUGUUAAUUAUUUUUAUGUAUAUAUAUGACAGAUUCUUUUUUAUAAUCAACGUGUCACAAAUUAAUGUCUUGCUUGUAGGUAUAUUAUGUUUUUUCCUACCUUUUAGUUAGGUUUCAUAUCUCACUUAUAGGUAUAAUAUAUAUUCAUAUAUUUGUUACUUGAGUUAAGGGAGAAUGUUUUGUAGAUAAUUUAUGUUAGUAUAUUAGUUUUUGUUGUUGUAAGAUAUUAAUUAGAUUUUUUGGAGUUGAAAAAUGCAUAAUAUUAGAAGAUUUUAAUUGAUUUUUAAUAUUUUUUUUAAAUAUAAAAUGAGUAUAAAAGAAAUAAAAACAUGUAAUUAGAUAACUGGAUUCACUCCUAAAAAUCAUCUAUGUUUUUGGACCUAGAUCUAAAAGCCCCUUAAUUCAUUUCUUUUCUUUUAAAUAAUUUUUUUUAAAUAUGUAAAUUAAUUAUUUAAAUAAAAAAUAUAAAAAGGCCAUUUGUCACACGCGUAUGCGUGUGGCAAGAGUCUAGUAUAUAUAUAAAAUGAGAAAAAUAAAAAAGUGAAACAUUCAAAAUACCCUCAUUUAAAAUAAAAAGCAAAACACAAAAUCUAUAGGGCUAUCCUAAUAUAAUACGGUUAAAUGGUAAUACACAAAUAUAUAGGGUUAAAAUUGUCAUACAAAAAAUAAAACAUUGAGAGAUGUUUAGAUGCGGACAAUAUAUCUGCACAUAUCAUAAAUGAGAAUUUACAACCAUCAAACACAAGGCACCAACACUUUGAAAUUAAUUGAGACCCUUGGAUUAUCCAUCACAUAAAUAAUGAACUACAUCCUUUCUUUCUACCAAAGCGCCUUUCUCCAUUGGAAUUUCAAAAGGAAACGAAGGACAUAAUCUCCUCCACGUUUUCAGCAUUAACUGCACAUUCUCUGCAGUUACAUGGAGAAGCAAUAACACUCAGUUUUAAACUGCUAUUUUCGAUUUCCAAUCUCCCACAUAUUCACAUGAAACUCAUUCCAAUCAGUAUCAGAGUUUCAGUUUCAGUUUCAGUUUCAGUAUCAAAGUUUCACAUGAAACUCACGUUUUCAGAAAUAACACUCAGUUUUAAACCGCUAUCUGUUACUACUUGCUGGGGUUGUGGCUCAAGAUUGAGAGGCCUAAUUAUGUUAUUUUAUAAUUAUCUUAUUGUUAUGUGCUUCAGCCUGCAUGCCAUUGUGUUUGUGAUUGUGCCCCCACUCACAGUGAAAGCCAGGCGGGAUAAUAUGGCCGGAUGAUCGGCAUGAAAUCGACUCUCACCCUUAAAGCAUCUACUCAGAUGCUUAUGCAGGUCUAGGAGUUUCGAUUGGCUUUAAACUUUCGAGAGCUGAAAUUCUUCUAUCCAAUGAAUCAUGGAAGCAUUUUGGUCAAUUUUCUACAUAAAUUCCACCUUUUAAAACCGGUUUCAUUGUUUUGUGAUUAUACAGAAGUAAAAAAUAAAAUAUAUAUUUGCACCUAAGAUGUGAAAAGUAUGGGGUUUAUGUAGAAAAGUGUGGGGUGUAUGUAGAAAAUGUAGGGUGUAUAUAGAAAUGUAGGAUGUAUGUAAAAAAUGUGGUGUGUAUUAAGUAUGUUGGGUGUUAAUAAAACAAGCCAAUUUUUAUUCUUUGUUCUUAAAUUUAAUUUGAUGGCAAUUUAAAGCGUUGUUUUGUUUGCUAUCAUUUAGACAUAAAGUUAUACUUUUUAGUGGCCUUUGAUAUGUAAGAGAUUGAUCAAGAACAUCAUGUUUAGCUUCACUUUGUUUAUGCACUUUUCUCUUUUCAAGUUUUGAGUCUUAAAACAUCUCAGUUCAAAGACAAGUUAUUUUGAGUUCUCCAUCCCAUGAAAAUACAAAUUUGGAAGGAUCAAGAAAAGGUUAAAUUUUAUUUGCAUAUAAAAUAAAAAGAGUGCAUGCAUUCAGCAUCCACGUUGGGAGCCAAGAAGGGGAUUGAGUUCAUAUGGGGAUUGAGUUCAAAUGAUUAACAAACACGAUUAUCCAUAGCAUAGAUUAUUGACCCCUUGAACUGUACUUUUUGGUGGUUUGGCAUACAAAUUUGGGAGGACCAAGAAAAGAAUAGAGACUGGAUAGUAGGUCAUUUCAUCUUAUUUAUUUGUUAAUUUUAUACUCAAAACAACAUAUGAACAAGUCUAAGUCUUUUCCAUGAUCAUGGUGGAAUUGUGUACGUCCUAAUAAUAAUAGUUUAUCGUACUGGAAUUUGGCUGUUUAGCUUGGUAGCUAAUUGUGAUCUCCAUGCUAAUUGUUUGUGGGUUGUUAGAAAACACUAAAGAGAGUGAGACAAUUUUAUUUGAUAUUGGAUUGGUUAAAAGAAGAAGACAACGUGUUUUUUCUCAAUAAAAAUGCAAGUUUCAUUAAACGUGGAGCGACCAACCAAGUUUAGUGAGUUUAUAUGUAACCUAAAACUAUAGUGUCACUAUUAAUGUCUAUACCAAAUGGAUAACAAUGGUAAAUAACUAACGCAACACAUCUUUAGAGACGCGUAGCGCCCGUGAUUGAAAAAAGGCCUCUCACAUGUGCAUGAGUGCAUUGCAUUCAACCCCAUUCUUACCUUCCUUCCAGAAUUCUCCUUUACCAAGUCUGGAUGAUAGAAACACUAUACAAUUCAUUCAAUAGAUAAUUGUCUUAGUGAUAUCAUAGGUGACAUAGAUAAUCGUUAUGUAGUCAAACAUUAUACGAUUCAUUCGAUAGAUAAUUGUCUUAGUGAUAUCACAGGUGCAACAGAUGAUCGUCAUGUAUUCAAACACUAUAUGAUUCAUUCAGUAGAUAAUUGUCACCAAUUAUAAGGUGUUAUUUCAACCUCAAAGUCAUAAUUACACCUGAUUUUUUUUCAGAGAAAAAUCAUCGAUUUAAAUAUUCCACCACAUUGGGGAAAUACAGAAACGAACACUUUGAGUGCCCCUCCGAAAUGAGAACUGAAGGACAUGAGAAAGAAUAGAGAAAAUGAACAUCAUGAGGGUACAAGAGUCAUGCACAUGUUUAGAAACUGGUAUAUAGAUUGAGUAGGAGAAGGAAUACGCCGCAUAAAGGCGAUCUUUGGCGACAUCAAAAUAGAAAUUUGGCAGGUCAACAACAACAAACCGCUGUAUUACCCGAGAAUAAGAAGAAAGCUAAUUAGAUACUUGCAUGAAGAAGUUCUCCAGCAAAUAAAAUCGACAGAAACAUAACUAACUAAAUAAAAUCGACAGGCUUAAGAAAAUGUUCACCUGAAAUAUCUUAAAGAACUGAUAGUUUUCAUAGCACUCUUUACUGUUCUUCACAAAGUUUUCAAGCUGAAGCAGUGCGUACUGAUCAAUCAUGGGAAGAUUGUGGUAUGAUAUAGCAUUAUCCGCUUGCCAACAAGAUGUAGAUAGAAAGUGAAAACAACAGACCAAGAGAUAAAACUGCCUGAAACAGCAUUGUCACUUGCAGCAUAAACUUACAAAAAGAAGCAUUAAACAGGUUUUAUUUAAUUAUGACUUGUGUGCAUGUGCGCCAAUCUGUGUAUGCGGGAAUAAAAAGAAGUAUUUAUCCAGCGAGAUGUAGUAAAGAUGGGAGUCUUAAGAUAACUAAACACGUAGAAUUUUUUUAUUGCGUGAGACAUCUGAAUUCAUAAGCACUGAUUGUGAAUGCUGAACAUACAUUCCAAUCAUGAAGAUUUCCCAGAAGGUAUCUCAAUGUUCCUCACAUUUUCCUAUAGAUAUCUGACAUUUGAUGGAGAAAUUGAGGGCCGAUUGUUACAUCGCCUGUAUAAUCUACACUAGAAACCAAGAGACGCAGGACAUCAGGUCCAUAGCCAUCCUGCCAGCAGAAAAAAAAAAAAAAAAAAAAAAAAAACAAGACUUAAGCAUCCAGAUACUGUUGAAGAUUGAUUCAGGUGAUAAUUCAGUACGUUUAAAUUUACUUUACAUCCAUGGAUCUACUACGUUACCAAAAGAUUUGCUCAUUUUCAAACCUUUCUCAUCCAAUACAAAUCCAUGUGUCAUGACACUGGAAUAUGGAGCCUUUCCCGUACCAAAGAAAAGUAACAGUUUCAUGUCGUGUCACUCUUUCAAACAAAUACUUCUCUGUAAAAUGAAAUCAGCCUCCGUGGCUUAAAUCCAUGCAGAAGAAUGAACAUCUGGACAUAAACAAGUAUAUACUGGCAUUGCUGAAACUAUUUAAAUUACAUACCCUUGCACUUUUGAGUAUUGCUUCCUAGCUGACUAAAAGUAGUACAGUGAGAAUGCAAACCAGACUUAGAUUGGUUGCUAUCUUCUUGUUAUUAGCAAGUAAAUAGAUAAUAUUCUUGUAUAGCAGCACAAGGUAGAGCUGAAAAGGUUAAACAAUAACUGUAUGAAUACCUGAAUCAAACCACACAUCCACUGUAUCAGUCUCCUUUUCAUAUUCAGAUGCUUUAUCAUGAUAUUUAUCAGGGAGACGAUCCUUCACCUUCAUGUACCACCACGCGUCACUAACCUUUUCGGAUAUUAUCGCUGCAAAAAUAGAUGACUGAAGGAAUCAAAUUUUAAUCUAUUAAAUACACCAUUCAUCUUUAAAAUAAUUAAAAUUGGGCUAGUCAGUAGAGCAGUCUUUGUAUAAAUGGAUAUUGAUUGAUUGAACUAUCUAGCUAUCUUCAUAUAUGUACUAAAAGCACACAAAUACACACCUGUGUUUGCAGACAUGCAAUUGCAAAAGUGAAAAUAUCCCCAACUGAUGCUCAAAAUUAAAGCAAAUAUCAACUUCUAUAAGAUCUUAAUUACACACUAAUAUUUGGAAAUACGUAGACAGAAAGAGGAAGUGUGUAUCUAACUGGCUCUUACACUUGAUAUGCUCAAUAGUCUCUUCAUUCAUCAAGAGCUUCCUUUGACUCCACAGGAUAAAAGACUGGAAUUAGAACACUCCACGUUCCCUGCCGUGAUAUACACCAAUCAGAGCGGCUAGAAGUCAAUGCACAUGUUCUGUUUUCCGCCUGAACAAAAUGUAAAUCCAGACCUAUUGCAUGGCCAAUUGCAUGACCAAUUGCAUCCAUAACAGCCCCGCGAAACCCUUCUACUGAAUCAAACCAUUGCUCAGUUGCCCUAAAUAUUGUGGGCUUUUUUGGUCUCCAAUCAUAUGGAUACUUCUGUUCUGCAUAACAGCGGGAAGAGCUUGUCUCUGACUCAGCUUGCUAAAACCCGAAUGAAAAAAAUAUAAAAAAGUUCCCUUAGUAUCCGCUGAAGGGAAAGAAAGAAACUUACGGUAGCAUUCUUCCAUGAUAAUUGAUAAAUGUUCAUCCAAGUAUUUCACAACAGCAAUAUUACCAUCCGCAAGUACAUCAAGCCCACAAAACUUUCCAGCUUCUUCAGUGAACUUUCCAUCAUCAUUUACUGGAGAAAGCAUGGGUAGUCGGUACUUCUGGCUGGUGACAUAAUCCUCCAGACCAUGUCCAGGAGCUGUAUGGACCAGUCCCGUUCCUGAUUCCUUUGUAAUAUGAUCUCCUCCAAUGACAACUGGGCAUCCCUUAUUCAAAACUGGAUGAACAUAUCUGUAAUGAAAAAGUAGAAAUCACACCUCAGUCAAUAGUUUUCAGUUUCAUCUGGGAUUGAAAAAGGGAGGUAAUUAUGUUAAAUAAGUACAUCUUCUCAAUAGAUAUCUUUUUAAAUCCGUAACCUGCAGUUCUCAAGAUCUGACCCGACACCCUUUUCUUAACAACAAGCGCUUCACACCCAUUUUACUUCUAACACUGGCACAAGAUCUGAAGCAACAAAAAGGCUAGGCUUAUAUUUCUUCCUUCAAAAAAUUUCCAGGCCUUCCCUUUUGAUUUCCAUCAGAUAAAGAAUCUUCUGAGAGUGACUGUACUUCAACGAUGGCAUAUAAAGUUAUAUUACAAGUGAGAUGAAGCGAAGAUUUUAACGGUACAUUCUCUUCAAAGUUAAUUCAUCAAAUUUUCCAACUCAAGCUAAUGUUUAAUUACAAACAGUUGAUACCGUUCCCAAACACAAGGCAUAAAACAGAUUAAGAACAGAGAUGACUGACUAAAUACCAACUUAAGAUCAAGAAGUUUCUUCUACAAAUCUAGGGCACAGAAAAUUUUAGCAAAAAUAACUACAGGCAGCUUCAGUAAACAGCUUAUUAGUAAAUAAUGGAGAUGAAUAUAAGCGUAAAGCUUUUCUUUUUGUGGUACUUUCCUGAUGAGUUUAGACAAAUCUUGGAAAUAUUCAUUUAAUAAGCGACCUGAAGUUGGAGAGGCACUCACCAAUUUGAAAAUGGUGUAUACACUUCUCGAAACAUGCCCCUCAGGAUACUGCAUAUAAAAGUUUCUGUCAAGUUAACAGGAACUAUACGGAUACAAUGUAAGAAAGCAAAAUGAGAUAAUACAUGAAAAUUGACAUUGUUUUACAAAGGCAUCACAAUAAAAGUGACAUCAUUUUUCUUGAAAUGAUUGAAAUGAUGCCCAAGUUCACUCAGGAAAAUAAACCUAAUGUAUUCAAAACUGGAUUUCUACUUGGCGAUAACAAAUUUUGUCAAAAGAAGUUGAGCAGAAGAAAUGAAACAGAACAAUUCAGAACUGUGGAAGGGAAUCUAAAUUUAUUUGUUAAUAGUAAGUUGCAACUUGUUCACAGUUGGUUAUUACCAUCAUUGUGCUUCGGUUUUGGUUAUCGAAUUUUGAUUACAAGUUAAGAGCAUUUAUAGAGUUGUCUUUGCACAAUGUAAAAUAGAAAGAAAAAAUAUGCCAGUUUCCAGAUCUUGAAAAAUCAGUUCUGUCAGCUCUCACUUUGAAUUUCACUUGCAAUAAACAAGAGAGACUGCAUACAUUUCGUAAUUUUUAUUUGUUCUAUCUGAAUCCUGUACCGAAUUAAAGAAAAAAGACACUCAAAACUCCGACCAUAGAGAAUGCCGUCGUAAGUCUCUGUGUCACUGACUUUAAUACUCAUCACAAAUUUGAAAAGGAGCCCAUUCCAACAACUGAAAACUGGGUUCCCUUUCCCAGAAACCAUGGGAGAACUGUAGGAAGAAGACGAAGCUUGAAAUCUCAAACAGAAAGCAGAAAAACUUCCAAGUGUUUCUAGUCUUUCAAAACAUUUUCUCGGGAACCAAACAGAAAGUGAACACUCCACUGUGAGCUCAAAAUAAGUGCUGGUGACUGCGUGUAUAUCCAAUACAGAUAUAUUCCGCGAGUGUGUGUGCGUAUACCCGGGCGCGGGGAGGGAGACGGACAUCAUUUACGAGUGUCAUGUUGUUGGAGUGGAAAAAUUCAGAUCCUUUAAAUCCUCCAACUAGUAAAUCUUGUAAUCACAUCGAGAAGCGGGGGGACCUGUAAGGAAACACUCUGAUGAUGCUCAAGUCAGUCUUUGUUCAAAAUACUUGUACAAUAUAGAAUGAUCUCAUACAUCUCUCUCUUUCUCUCCAUGCUGAUGGGAUUAUUGCCCUUUUAUAGGCAUUCAAGUCUUGGGCUUCAAGUUCCACUCUCCUUCUAUGUCUUCAUGUUCCAUGGAGUGGGUAUUAUGUUGCUUGAUUGUAGCUCCACUCCUCAUGUUUGGUGUUCUAGUGGCUUAUUUAGUGGAGGAGUCAUUUUUGGCUCGCACAUUGCCCCCUUUUUUCUCUGCAAACACAUCGUUGAGGAAUUGUAGAGGAAAAAUGUUUCUUUGCAAAAAUUCAUUCGACUUGAGAUUUCAUCAUUAGUUUGGCCUUCGGCUACGAUCAUAUGGUCUUCGACCAUGAGUUUGGCCUUCGGCCACGAUCAUGUUGGUCUUCGACCAUGAAUUUUGGGUCUUCGACCUUCGGUCUUGAGCCUUCGGCUCUUAUUCGGUCUAGGUCUUCAACCCACGGUCUCAUGAUCUUCGAUCACCAAUUUAUAUAGUAAUAGUAUGCCCUCAGAGUGAUUAAAAUUCGAACAACAUCAAUAGUACUAAUGAGCAUGUGUAAGAUAGAAACUCUUAUCUGUUGGGCAACUUCAUGGUUGUCAAAUUAAAUGGAUUUCCUUUGCUUACAACCCUUGAGUGCUUGCCGAAUAAGUGCCUUUUCAAUAUGCAACCAAAUGAUGUGCAAUAUAAGCAUUUCCACUUCCCUUCCAUAUUCUCACAAAUUGGAACAAUUCACUACCAAAACAACUCCAACAAUCCUAAUUAGCCUUGUCAAUAUGAGGCCACGACAUUAAUAGUGAAAUACUCAUAUUAUUCAUUGCCAUAACUGAUAAAGUAAAUGAUAAAUAAAUUGAGAUUCAGUUAGUGAUUCAAUGUUCUCGGCUUCCUUUGCCAAAGAAAAACCAUGAAUUGCACGAAUACGAAACUAAUUAAUAAUGCAAUAGUUCUUAUCUAUCGAAGCAAAUUUAGUGCAUUUAUUCUUCUUUCAAGCUUUGAGUGCUUGCCGAAUAGGUGACUUUUCAUUUUUCUUCGUAGCUUCUGACUCUAUCAUCCUUGUGCAUUAUUUGCAAUAUUACGCCAUGUUUGAUUAGCUUGGACUUCCUUCAAGACUUGCAAUUUAGAUCCCAUCACAAUCUCAUUUCAAACUCACUCCCAUCAUGCUAGACAGGUUCGAUCGCACCUACCAUUUGUAGUAUCACAUAAAUUAUCGCAAUGAAAAAGCAUAAAAAUACCGUACUUUCAUGUAAUUUCUAAAAUUGUAAAAGAGAUGGUCUAAGAAUUCUUAUCGAUUUGGAGGGUUUAACUUUGCCCCAAUUUUGGUUUGACCAGGGCAACUAAAGUGAGUGGCUCAGCAUUGACACAUUUUGGAGUUUCUCUGAUCCAAAUGGUCUCAUCUAUCGGUGCAGUUUGUUGAAGUUUUAGGGUUACCUAGCCGUUAGGGUUGGGUUUCCUGGUUUGUAGGUUUAUUUCAAGUAGUGGAUAAUAAUCCCUAACUUUGAGGGAUAUGCUUGUUUAGUUUGUUUCCAUCACCAGUCAUGUACCACGUAAUUAGGGUUAUGUAAACGUGGGUUGUUAUGAUUUCCUUUCCAGUUUGUUUGGCAUGGCUAUUUAAUGCCAUUGUAUGCUCUUGAAUUCAAUAAGAAAUAUUCUCCCAGUUCUUGUGUGCUUGAUCAAAUAUACAUUUCUGUCAAACGUUCAUUCUUGAUUUUAACAUCUGGUAUCAAAGCCCCAUCAUGGGGCCUGAUCAAAGCUUGAAAAGAUCGGAGCUAGAACAACGACAUGGCAGCAGAGAGUAGUUUCGUUCAACUUGCGAUACCAAAGUUUGAUGGGCAUUAUGAUCACUGAAGUAUGCUCAUGGAAAAUUUCUUACGUUCCAAGGAGUAUUGGAGCUUCGUGGAGACCAGGAUCCCUACAGCAGCAGAAGAAGUUGAUCCCAUUGAUUCACAAAAGAAGACGAUUGAAGAUAAAAAGUUGAAGGAUUUGAAGGCAAACAACUACAUGUUUCAGGCUAUUAACCGCUCUAUCCUAGAUACAAUUUUGAAGAAAGAAACAGCGAAGGACAUUUUGGAUUCAUUGAAGCAGAAGUACUAGGGAACUGCGCAAGUCAAGCGUGCACAGUUGCAAGCUCUUCGCAAAGAGUUUGAGGUGCUUCAUAUGAAGGUAGGCGAAUUUGUGAAUGAUUAUUUUGCAAAGACCCUCACCAUAGCCAACAAGAUGAGGGUUCAUGGAGAGAAAAUGGGGGAUAUGGUGGUUAUUGAGAAAAUUCUGAGAUCCAAAAUAUGACUAUGUUGUAUGUUCUAUUGAGGAGUUUAACGAUCUGGAUGCCCUAUCCAUUGAUGAGAUGCAAAGUAGCUUGUUGGUUCAUAAACAACGGAUGAGUAGGCACACCGUGGAUGAGCAAGCACUGAAGGCUACCUAUGACCCUUAAUCAGGGGGUAGAGGAGGCGGACGUGGUGCAUUUCGAGGAAAAGGUCGAGUAAGGGGUAGGUGUGGCCUUGAUAGGUUACCAUUGAAUGCUACAAGUGUCACGAACUUGGUCAUUUUCACUGGGAGUGCACCAAGAAAGACAAAGAUGGAAAAGUCAAUUACGUAGAAACCAGUGAAGAGAUGUUGCUGAUGGCAUAUGUGGAUGUCCAGGAAACUGGCAGAUAAGAACUUUGGUUUCUCAACUCAAGUUGCAGCAACCAUAUGAGUGGGAAAAAAGAGUUGUUCUCAGAGUUAGAUGAAAGCUUUAGAGAACACGUGAAUAUGGGAAACAACUCAAGCCUUGCUGUGUUGGGGAAAGGGAACAUUCGAAUGGAAGUGAAUGAUCUCAUGCAAGUGAUUACUAGAGUAUUCUAUGUGCCGAAAUUGAAGAACAACUUACUGAGCAUUGGUCAGCUACAAGAGAAGGGCCUUGCCAUCCUCAUGCAACAUGGAAAAUGCUCAAUUUAUCAUUCUGGGAGGGGUUUGGUCAUGGAAACAGAAAUGUCUUCCAACAGAAUGUUUAUCAUUCUUGCUCGCUCACUGUUAAAAGAACAACAUUGCUUCAACUCGACUAUUGAAGAUCAAUCUCAACUUUGGCACCGUAGGUAUGGUCACUUAAGUUGGAAUGGUCUCAAGGUACUUCAACAGAAAAAGAUUGUGCAAGGAUUACCACAGUUCAAGGCCCCUGCAAAGGUGUGUGAGAGCUGUUGGUCGGAAAACAACAAAGAGAUCCAUUUCCAAAAGCAAGCACAUAAAGAGCUUCUCAGAUUCUUCAACUGGUACAUGUUGAUAUAUGUGGCCCAAUUAACCCUACUUCAAACAGCAAGAAAAGGUAUAUGAUUACCUUUAUUGAUGAUUUUAGUUGAAAGACAUGGGUGUAUUUUUGGUUGAAAAAUCAGAAGCUUUUGAUACUUUCAAAAGCUAUAAGGCUAAAAUUGAAAAAGAAACUUGAGCAUGCAUAAGGAGGCUUAGUACGGAUCAAGGGGGCGAAUUUACAUCACGUGAGUUCACAAACUUUUGCAAUGAAAAUGGGAUACAAAGGCAAUUAACCGUUGCAUACACUCCCCAACAAAAUGGGGUCGCAGAGAGGAAGAACCGAACCAUCAUGAAUAUGGUUCGAAGCAUGCUUUCAGAGAAGAAGGUUCCAAAGACAUUAUGGCCAGAAGCAGUGAACUGGACGAUUCAUGUUUUAAACAAGAGCCCAACACUUGCAAUGAAGAAUAUGACUCCAAAAGAAGCUUGGAGUGGCUAUAAAUCAUCAGUGAACCAUUUCAGGGUUUUUGGGUGCAUCUCUCAUGUUCAUGUUCCUAAUAACAAUAGAGUUAAGCUUGAUGACAAAAGCUCAAAGUGCAUCUUGCUUGGAGUAAGUGAGGAAUUGAUAGGAGCAUAUUUAUGCGACUUAGUAUGUUUGUUUUCGUGCAUUUAUGUUCUUAGUUCUUAGUUAUGUUAGUAGUUUAAGCCAUUUUUGUGUGUUUGUAGGUUCUUUGGGCCAAGGAUGCAAGAAUAUGCAUUUUGGAGCACUUUGGAGCAUUUUUGGGCCAAGAUUGGAUGGUGCAAACAUGGAGACAUGAGGAUGGACGAAUUUGAUGAUUCAAAGGGCUAGAAAUCUGCAUGUGUGUGUGCAAAGUGUUGGCCUACAACUUCAAACAUCAUAGCUGCCAUGUGAUGGCAGAAAAUGUGUUUAUUGCUAGCUAAAUGGAUGAAGAACAUGCAUGUGCAAGUAUAAACACCACAUGGGCAGCAAGAAGGAAAGAAAACAGCAAAACACACACCACAUGGGCAGCAAGGAAUCAGAAAUUAAAGAAUGGAAGAGUGGGAAGUGAUGAGGACAACACACACACACACACACGGCAAUGGAAUGGAGUUGGCAGAUUUCUACAACAUUGGUAGUGAAUGGACAGCAAGGAAUGGCAGAAAUUGGACCACUAUGAGGUGGAUUUCUGGUUGGUCUUCCACUUAUAACUUUGGGUGGCUUUGGAAUGAUUGUUUCUAGGUGGAAAGAGCACAAAAACAGCACACACACAUGCAAAAUGGAGCUGGCAGCUUCACAUCCUUCCAUUGCCGUGGUUGUCAUGUCCAUUGCCUUGCAAUUCUUUUCAUUUCCAACCUCUAUAUAAGCACCAUUCAGCCUUCAAGGAAAAGCACAGCCAUUCAUACACAUUUCCAUUAGUUCCAAGGCUUGCAAAGAAGGAGGAGUGCUUGGAGUUGUGCUAGCCAUUCCAUUGGAGUUGUUGGAGCAUUCUAGGUGUCUUCUACUUUGUUUCUCUAUGUUUAAUAUCAAUUGUUUUUGUUUAAUUGCAAGUAUGAGGAACUAAACCCUUACUUAGCUAGGGUGAAGUUCGAAGCCAUGAACAUGUUUGAGAUAUGAAUUGAUUUCUUCCAAUUGUGAUUUAAUAAGUUGUGAAUGCAAUUCAAUUAACUACUUUCUUCAAAACUAAUUCUUGUAUGUUGAUUAAGGAUGCAUACUUAGUUUUCAUGCAUGAAUUUGAUGCUAGGAUAUAAAUGAGUUUCACCUAAUCGUUACAAGUUUAUAUUCAUUGGUAGUGAAGGUUGCUAGUCACAAUCGCGUUAAUUGAAUUCUUGGCAAACGUAUCAUGCAUUCAUAGUUACGAAUGCCUCGUUAACACUUAUGAUUUUCAUAGAACGUAAUGAUCUUUGAUUGUAUCUCUAUUAUGCAUUCAUGUAGACGACUUUUGGAGAAUAAUUUGGAUUGUCGUAUGCAUUCAUCCAAUUCAAUAGAGAAUAAUUUGGAUUGUCGUAUGCAUUCAUCCAAUUCAAUAAAUCAAGGAAAAUCUGAGGAUUAAUUCGUGCAUCACGGUUAAUCUGGGGUGUUGAGUUUCAUAAUCUAUUGAAAAGCAAUUGGAAAUCAAUUCAUGUACAAGUGUGUCAUGUGUGAAGAAUGGAUCUCUAGCUAAUCCAUAAACCAUCUAUUUAGUUUUACUUUUUGUUGUUAUCUCAAUCUCAUCCAAACCAAUACCUCCCAUUUACUUUCUUGUAUCGAAGUGUGUUUAAGUUUGUUUAGUUUGUGCCUUAAAGUAUUUUGAACUCUUUGAGUCUAGUUUAGUGUUUUAAAGCCUACUUUUGUGUUUUUAAGUUUCUUCUUAUGUCCUUGAGUCUUGUUUAAUAUUUUUAAAUUAAUUUAGAAUAGAUUAGCAAUCCCUCCUAAUCCCCGGCCUAGAACGAUACCCUACUUACAUCUAUACUACAAUUGUCAAAAAGAGGGUUUAAUUUGUGUGUCAAGUAAUUCUCGCAUCAUGAAUCAAAGGCAUAUCGACUAUUUGAUCCAGUUUCUCAGAAAGUAAUCGUGAGUCGAGAUGUGAUUUUCGAAGAAGACAAAGGCUAGGAAUGGGACAACAAUCAUCAUAAGGCAGCUAUGGAAUAUCUUGAAUGGAGAGGAAAUAUAUGAGAGAUGGAGAUUCUGACCAAAUUGAUAGCUUAGAUAACUCAUCUAAUGAGUUAACAAAUAAAGACUCUAGCACCGCCAGUGAAGGACAAAUCAAAAGAUAACCCAUAUGGAUGAAGGAUUAUGAGAGCGGGCAAGGACUUUCUGAGGAAGAAGACAUGGCCUACCUAGCCAUGUUUGUUAAUAGUGAUCCAAUUUUGUAUGAAGAAGCCGAAAAGCAUGCAAAAUGGAGAAAAGCAAUGAACUCAGAAAUUGAAGCCAUAGAGAAAAAUGACACAUAGGUGUUAAUUGACUUGCCACGAUGGGGGAAAAUGAUUGGUAAAAUGGAUCUAUAAAACGAAGAUCAACGAGAAGGGUGAAGUGGAUAAAUACAAAGCUCGCUUGGUUGCAAAAAGGUACAGCCAAACCCAUAGAGUUGAUUAUGCUGAGGUGUUUGCUCCAGUUGCUCGCAUGGACACCAUUCGACUUAUGAUCUCACUUGCAGCACAAGAAAACUGGUCCAUUUACCAGUUAGAUGUCAAAUCAACCUUCUUACAUGGAGAACUUAGUGAAGAAGUCUUCGUUGCACAAACUCCUGCAUAUGUACAAAAGGGUCACGAACAAAAGGUAUACAAGUUCAAAAAGGCUCUAUAUGUCCUUAAACAAGCUCCCCAAGCUUGGUAUAGUCGUAUAGAGUCCUACUUUCUCAAGGAAGGAUUUACAAAGUGUCCCUAUGAACACACUUUGUUCAUCAAAGCAACAGAUGGAGGUAAAAUGUUGAUUGUUUAUCUCUAUGUAGAUGAUCUUAUAUUUACUGGAAAUGAUGAGUUAAUGUUCAAAGAGUUUAAGCAUUCUAUGAUGGCUGAGUUUGAUAUGACUGGUCUUGGGAGGAUGAGUUAUUUCAUCGGUAUUGAAGUACUGUAGAGGCCGGAUAGUAUAUUUAUUGGUCAAUGAAAAUAUGCUCAGAAGGUAUUAGAGAGGUUCAACAUGGAUUAGUGAAACCCAGUCCAUAAUCCUAUUGUUUCUGGUUUCAAGCUUGUCAAAGAUGAAGAUGGGGUACGGGUUGAUAGCACUCUCUAUAAACAAAUUGUGGGCAGUCUAAUGUACUUGACUGGCACAUGUCCUGACAUGAUGUUUAUAGUGAGUUUGAUUAGUAGAUACAUGGAGCGUCCAAUUGAAAUUCAUCUACGAGCAGCUAAAAGGGCGUUGAGAUACUUGAAGGGCAUAAUCAAUCUUAGGAUGUUUUACAGAAAGGGAGGAAAUAAGAAGCUUAGUGGGUUUACAGAUAGUGACUAUGCUGGUGAUCAGGAUGUUAGGAAGAGUACUUCAAAGUAGGUUUUGAUGUUAAGCUCAGGGGCAAUGUCAUGGUCUUCGAAGAAACAACCAAUGGUUACUUUGUCUACUACCGAAGCUGAAUUUAUUGCUGCAGCAUCGAGUGCGUGUCAAGCAGUGUGGUUAAGGAGAAUCCUGCAGCAACUUGGUCAUGUUCAAUGUAAGGUUACCACAGUAUACUGUGAUAAUAGCUUAGCAAUUAAGUUUUCAAGGAAUCCUAUGAUGCACGGCCGUAACAAACACAUAGAUAUGAGUUUUCACUUUCUUCGUCAGCUCACCAAAGAUGAAGUUGUGCAGUUGGUUCAGUGCAAUACUCAAAAGCAAGUUACAGAUAUAAUGACUAAACCUCUGAAGCUACGUGACUUAUUGGGUAUUUGUUUAUAUCCAAGUAUAAACUGAUUGCUAAUAAUAGGAAUCAGUUUAAGGAAGGAUGUUAAAGUUUUAGGGUUACCUAGCUGUUAUGGUUGGGUUUCCUGGUUUGUAGGUUUGGUUCAAGUAGUGGAUAAUAAUCCCUAACUUUGAGGGAUACACUUAUUUAGUUUGUUUCCAUCACUAGUCAUGUACCACAUAAUUAGGGUUGUGUAAACAUGGGUUGUUAUGAUUUCCUUUCCAGUUUGUUUGGCAUGGCUAUUUAAUGUCAUUAUAUGCUCUUGAAUUCAAUAAGAAAUAUUCUCCCAGUUCUUGUGUGAUUGAUCAAAUAUACAUUUAUGUCAAACGUUCAUUCUUGGUUUUAACACAGUCGUGGUUGUCAACAGCGGUGCAAAUGCUUGUGGCCGGUAUUAUCUUUGCAGUCAAGUAGUGUGCAUUAUAAUCAUCAUGCAUGAUUCUUUUUUCCCUUCUCCUGUCACCAUUGUAGUUGGUAGAAACCAUUCCAGUGACAAACAUAUUCCCCAAAUACACACGUUUUGUGUUGAUCAUGUCCAGUCGCUUCAUCCUAAGAAAAGUGUGUAAAGCUGGUUGGUGCAACAUUGAACUCUAAAUCAUUGCCUUAUGCUAGGACUUUUUUGUUCAUGUGAUACACGAUGUGCCCAAAUUCUCGGCUAGUCUUAUGUCCAGCAGCCAUCAUGCAUUACUGAUCUUUCCUUCUUCCCACAUUGUUGAAGGUCCUUGCCCUCAUAAUCCUUGCCACUUUUAUUAUCAAUUUGAGAAAUCAUAAAGGAGGGCAGCAAGUCUUUAUUUUUUGGGAUUUUAAUCCAUGCCCCCAUUGUAGCUUAGACUGGUUUUUUGUACGUUUUCCACAGACAGCGCCAACUGUUGGAGCGGAAAAAUUCAGAUCCUUUAAAUCCUCCAACUAGUAAAUCUUGUAAUCACAUCGAGAAGCCAAACAUCAUCUUCGGUUGCCAUCAAUGAGAGUGAGGGGACCUACAAGGAAACACUCCAACGCUCAAGUCAGUCUUUGUUUAAGAUGCUUGUACAAUAUAGAAUGAUCUCGUACAUCUCUCUCUCUUUCUCUCCAUGCUGAUGGGAUUAUUACCCUUUUAUAGGCAUUCAAGUCUUGGGCUCCAAGUUCCACUCUCCUUUUAUGUCUCCAUGUUCCAUGGAGUGGGUAUUAUGUUGCUUGAUUGUAGCUCCACUCCUCAUGUUUCUUGUACGAGUGGCUUAUUUAGUGGAGGAGUUUGGCUCCCACACAUGCUUGCACCAUUUUAAAACUACCAAACUCGCAUAUUGCAAGAUUUCAAAACUCCAGACAACUCAUUAAGUUUUUAUUAUUACCCACACAACUAAGAGAAAACAACAAAACAGAAAACAAUACUCAAUUUACUUAGCAAGAUCCUUCUAUUGAUGGCUGGUAUUAACUUUAUAGAAAUACUGGAAGCUACAGGAUCUGAAAAUCAAUGUUGUGGAGCCAAAACCAAAAAUAUACAAGGCGACACAUGGACUUUUUUUUCUUCAAGAAAGACAAGAAUGAAAUCAUUAAAUGAGAAUGGCACACAAAUAUUCCCACGUCCAUCUUAGCAUCCCUAGAAGUGCAAGUAGCUGACUAGACUGAUUAAAGCUCCCAUGCUUGUGGCAUGAAAAAGACAAAGGCAUCAAAGAUAGGAUUAAUUAUUAAAUCAUACCUUUAAUACAUUCCCAAUUGAAGGUCAUCUCCAUCAAGUAAGGAAACCUUAUAACAAUCAAUCAGGGGUAUUCCCAUCAUCAUCCCAAGAUACUAUUGUCUAAUAAAUAUAUUGGGAAUAUUAUUUCCUGGUGCAUCCUAUGGAUGGCAAACCUUCGCCAAUAGGAUGCCGUCAUGUGUAGGGCACAAUCCUAACCCCAUGGCCGCCACCUCUUUCUAUAAAUACAUCCAUCUCUUCAAAAUUUCGGUAAGCUUUUUACUACUCAUAAAAACCCUAAACACUCACUCUUUUCAAAGUCACUGACUUAGACAUUGGAGAUCUAUUGCCCAAUCCCCCACCUCGUGGGCACGUAAGGCUUGGUUCUUUGCUCAAAGGUGUUUAUUGUUUUGUAGGUAUUAUUUCAUCAAAAUUGAAGACGGCAGAAAUUUGCUACGACAAAUGUCGUUAUACUAUCUAUCACAAUAUAAUGUAAAGAUAUGAGUCAAAUGGUGAAAACAAUGGAGGUGGAUUGUCUGCCCUCCCAUUUCCAUACUUUUCCCAUCCCCUCCUGUUUUGUGUGGUCAUGGUUAAGCCACGUCAACAUUUUAUAUUCCUAUUACUUUUUGUUUUAUUAUUUUUGUAAAAAAAAUCAAUAUAAAAUGUUGAUGUGGCUUAACCGUGACCACAUAAACAAUAGGGGAUGAGAAGAGUAUGGAAAUGGGAGGGCAGACAAUCCACCUCCAAAAACAAUUUUUCACGAUUGGAAUUGAAAUGACUCUGACAAAAAGGCUUGGGGAAUAUAUAUAUAGAUGUAAACAACCUUCCUAGAACCUUUAUGUUAUAUUCAAUUUGUCAUGUCCUAAAAGAAUUAAUUAAUUAUAUUAUUUCUUUAUUUUUUUUUCUUUUUAAACGGGGGACAACUACAGGUGAACCACGGUUAUCCACCACUUGCGGGCUCGGAAUAAGCUAGUUGGGAAUUGCACCUUAUCCAUGCCACUCCCAACCCUGAUAUUCUAUGACGACCCAUCCCGAAUUUAUAUUUAUUUAUCCUCGAUAACGUGGGAAUGACUAUUUUGCCCUUGAUCGUUGGGUUGUGAUAGUAUUAAUGGAUUAAGAAAAUGGGAAAAAGGGCUAAAAGAAUGGACCAAUUAUCUAAUUUCCUAAGUUUUGGGAUCCAAUUGAAAUUGUAGGGUUGUUAGGACGAAGUUUGAAUAGCCCAAUUAGAACUUAUGGAUAUUAGGUGGGUGCCCAAUCCAGAUCAACACAUACACACACUCACACGUGCAACCUUUCUUGUACUCUCUCUCUUGUUCUCGAACCCUCUCCCUUUCGAUACGCCGGAAACCAGCCCAAAUCCCUUCAAACCAUUGCAGAUCGAGCUAGUGGUAGUUACCUUCGAGUUUCUUGCAAGCUCAUAAGUCUAACUAUACCAUUAGUUUGACGUGAGGACUUCGAGAACCUGAGAACCUAUGAACUCCAACAAGGUGCCCUGUUGCUCGAGCUUGAUCGUGAGUGUUUCAUAGGGUUCCAAGGUAUGAGAGAGUCUUAAAACGACUUUACGAAGUUGUUAGAGGAAUUUUGGAAGGUUUUGGACGUCGGGACAAUCGAGUUCAUCGAGUUGCAGACUUUGCCGGUUUCCACGAAAUUAUUUCGGCUAAAUUCUGUUGGUUUUAGGACUCCAAAGUGGUAAGAUCAUGUUCUCCUAGUUGAGAACUUCAUUUUGGUACAAAUUUCAUGAAUUUUGGUGUUGAAAUGGAAGAGAUAUUGAAGUUUUUCAGUUUUCAAGUUUCCAGUGAGUGCAGCAGUGACCGGCGCAGGACUCCGGCGAACCAAGGAAAAAGAAGGGGAAUAUUUUGUCAACUUUGAAGGAAUAUGCUAACGGAGUUAGGUAAAUUAAACGGUAUAUUCCAUUAUUUAACGGAAUAUUCCCUAACGGCGUUAGGGAAUCCAGGCACAAGCACGUGUCUGCGCGUGGGAACUUAGAAAUUUUUUCUAAAAAUAUGGGGAUGUUCGUGGUGUUGAGUAGGCCAUGAUGGUAUAUUCAAACACCUUAAUUGAGUAACGUAUGAGAAGUUAUUUCCUAGUUUUGAUUAUGUGCUUAAAAUAACGUUAAAAUAGUUGUUUCACAUAUAGGUGAGACGUUUCAUGAGGAAGAGCACAGUCAGGCGAGGCUCGGGGGUUAUGACCCUUCCAGUAUAUAUAUAUAUGCUUGGUAUUUUUCCCAUAAAACUUAUUUAAAAGGUUUGAUGCUUUGAAAUGCCAUGUCAAAUGUUUAUUAUUUAGAAUAUGCAUUUAGUAGUUGCAUAUGUUAUUGUUGACACUGCGGACACUCAGGUAAGUUCCAGGUGAGUUUAUAGAUUGUGAAUGUGAAUUGCAUGGUUAUAAUUACAUUUGAUUCAUUUAGAGCUCAUAAACCUGCACCUCGGUGUUAGUGCUCCCGCCCAUGGCCAGGGCACAGUCCUUCACAUGAUGUUCACCUCCCGCACCAUACACUCACCUUGGAUCCAAGUUAGGUGCACAGUUUUGUUGUACAGACCACUCUAAGGGGUGGUUUGGGAAUGAGGUGCUUAAAAAAAAAGUACCCAUGAAAAAAAGCUGUGAGGGUUUUAGGUGUUUGGUAAACUAAAAAAAGGCUUAUUUUGGAAGCUGCUGUGAGAAUAAGCUGAAAUCAAAGGAAAAAGCGGAAGUUGCUAUUUGCAGCUUUGGAAAACUAGCUUUUUUCAAAGCACACGAAGCUACAGUGCUCCUUUAAUGAAAAGACCCAUUAUCAGAUUGCUUUUUUUUCCAAAAGCACUUUUACAAAAAAGUUUACCAAACACUUUACUGAUUUAUUUCAUAGCCGCUUAUUCUCACAGCACAGCCGCUUAUUCUCACAGCAGCUUUUUUUCAAAGCACAGCAAUACCAAACCAGCCCUAAGUGGUUCCGACUCGUAGAUGACCCACGAUUAUUCGCACAGUCUUCAUGUGAUUGUAGCACUUGAGCGUAUUUAUUUACACACAGUCCUGUCAUACAAACCACUGUAGGUGGUUCUGACUCGUGUGCAGGCAUACUUGAUGAGCUAUAGGUUCAGCCGUACAGGCCACAAUAGGUGGAUCUGGCUGACAUGUUUCUUUCAUUGAUUUAUUUCACCUGGUUUACUUAUUUCAUUAUGCUGAGACAUUUGACAUGGUAUAUAUAUGUGGAUUUUGGUAUUUUGAGUAUGGUUUUGUUAUAUGUAUGUAUUCUAUUUUUUGGGAAAUUAUACCGGUUUUACGGCGAGGGGUAACUACCUUUGAUGAUUGAAAUGGUUUUGAAAAGCUUUGUUUUUACUCACUCACACUUUCUGUUUUGUGCCCUUCCAGGUUUUAGGUAGGAGUGCUUAUUGGUGGCUUAUGAGGAAUUGAUGGCGGUUCUAACAAAUUAUCACUAAUGUAAGACCAUCUCUGGUAUUGUAUAGUUAGUACUUGUCCUGCUGGACUGCCCUUAGGCUAUCUACGCUCUGAUUAUGUGUAAUCACACCUAAAUUUUGUUAUUUGCACUUAUAUUUGUGUAGUGUAAACUAGUCAGCUUGGAUUUUAUUUACUCACAUUUUUAUAUCCUUAUCACUUCCGUAUUGUGCACAUGGUUACGUCACCCUCAUGUGAUGGUCAACACGCCUUGAUUUGUUGGAAAUGUGCCCUAAAACCAAUCAUAUGAUGAUACUUUAUGGACAUUUCACAUGUUAAACUAAUCUAGUUUAAUAUCAAGGGCAAAGAUUAUUGUUUUAAGCCGUCUCAUAUAAAUGUUAUAUGCUUAAACGAUAAGUCCAAGGAAUAUGUAAUUAGGAGAAUGCAAUUUAAAGAAGUUAGAUUCAUAAGACCAAUCUCUUUCGUAUAAAUAUCCUAAACGUUCCUGAUCAUAGGAUUGUCAAUUGGGCAUUGACAGUUCGUUAAGAUCAGUAUGUGUUAUGUCUUCUCUUAGUGAGAGUGACUGGUCUCGAGUCAUUGGUGUGACUGACACCAAGACAAGUACGUAGGUGCUCAAUAAGAAAUGAGUUCACUGAACACGAUCAACGAAGAGUUCUCAUACUCAUGUCACAUGAGAACUCAUGGUUGGGAUAAUGUAAAGUAGUCAUUUGACCUGAGGCAUCAUAGUUGUCUUGUGGUUAAGUCCUUGAUCUUUGAUUAUGUCAAAGUCACUCCAUUCGAGGGUGUCCACGGCAUCGUUGGGGUUAAGCCACUUAGCCAUGGAGGCAAGUGAAUGCGCAACAAGGGAUCUCUAACCUUCAAAUCGUUUGAGGGAGAAUACUCUAUGAUAUGAUUAAGAAUCUUUGGCCAAAGUAUGAAUGAGAUUUAGGAAGUCGUUCCAAAUCACAUUCAAGGUAAUCAUAUAAGUACAUGAAUCACAUUGGAUAGUAGACAUGAAUAAACUAUCAAACCAAACAAUGUGGUCAAGAGUAUUGUAUUAGAGAAAGACCGUAUUGCAUUGUAAUCCUAAACUGAAUAGGUUCUCCACCUCUUCUGAUUAGCUUGGGUAACCAUGAUAUGCUGCUAGGUGUCACUCUUGGUUUGUGGAAGCCCUAAACGUGUAUAAACACUAAAGGGAGAAUUGAAAGUAAGUUUCAAUUCACAAUCGAUUUGAAAGAGUUUUAAUCGCUCACUGCCUCGGUAAAAGGAACCUAAUGGAUCGUACACCGUGUAAGGUAGAGAUUGAAGAAACAACGGAGAUGAGUAAGAAUAAUUAAAUGGUUUAAUUAUUUAUGGCAAGGAUUAAUUAAUAUGUUAAUUAAUCAAACGAAUAAGUUCGUUAAAGACCUCGGGAUAGUUUUGGACCUUAAGGCCCAAUGGGCUUCGAAUGUCAAGUCCAUUGACUUAAGUUGUAUGACAACUUAAUGAAUAAUGAUUCACAAAGGCUCAAAUAGUCCAAUGAAUCCCUAUGGCCGGCCAAUUAGAGAUGGAGUGGGUUUUGGACUUAUUUACAAGUUUGCCACUCCAAUGAAUUAAGGUAUAAAUAUGACUUUAUAGCCAAAAUUCAUUUAGGGUUUCUUUUUGGGAAAGGAUGAGAACACAAAGCUCUCAUUUUCUUUCUAAAGAGGCCGGCCACCCUAGAGGAGAUUAGCUAGCAAUCCAACUUCCUCUAGGUCACUCAUUUCUACUUAAAUCUAACCUUGGUGUGGAGACUUAGAGGUUCUCUAUUUUGAGAACUUGGAGAAACAUAUUCUUCCAUCCAAAUCCAUAGAUCUAAGAAGCAAGGAAUGAAGGCCCUCUCUUUGGGUGAUUAGCCUUUGCUUAUGCAAAGAGGAAUCUACAAAGGUAUAAAUCUCAACUCACUUUGUUUUGAGUUGAGUCUUGGUUCACCAAUCUACUAGGCUUUGAAUUUCAUGGUUAAUGUUUUGUUUUAAGUGCAUACAAGCAUGAUUCCGCCUUUUAAUUGUUAAUUGCAUGCUAUAGAUGUUGCUUAAAUGAACAUGUUUUCACAAAAUUAUCCUUCACGAUUUAGAUCGGGGUGUGUCAUAUUCUCCUAACACCAGGGUAGGCUUGUGCUGGCCGACACCCGAAUGUGACGAAGCCAUACUAAUAUGCAUGAGAACGAAUGAAUAUAAAUAAGACUUAUAAAUUCAAAUAUAAUUAAUAUUCAAAUGAGGAACAUGUUCAGAGCAUACACUAAUCUAGAACACUAAAAAGAAAUAAUAUAAAAUUGAAUGAACAAAGGAAUGGGUCCUACACCGAGAGGACUCGAAGAUGCCGAUGCGGAGUGCCUUGUUGUCGGGAUUGUACUCCUCGAUUCUAAGUCCUGAGGGGGCUCAAAACAAAACAUGAGUAGACCAAGUUGAUCUAUAAGUAGUACUAACAUAGUUAUUCAACAACGUACUAACCCCCAAAGUUUAUGAAAACUCAUAUAGCAUAAUAAGUAAUAGGUUUUCCGAAAACCCUAGCAUGCCAUAAAACUUCAUAAAACAUAUAUCAUAUAUAGUGUGCUUAGUAGUGGUAUCAUCUCCCGCCCGAAGGCAUAUAGAACUCUUCUGAUCGAAGCCAUAUAAAUAUCUUCCGCCCGUAGGCACUACAACCCACGGUCAAAGCCAAUAUAAUUAUCUUCGCUAGUAGGCACUACAACCCCCCCCCCCCGACCGAAGCUAAUAUAAGUAUCAUCGCCCGUAGGCAGAACAGUGACCAUUAGAUAAGCACAAAACCAUUGAACAUAAUAUUUUUGAACAUAAGUACAUACAUCUCAACGGAGCUCAAUAGCUCAAACAUCAUAUCUUAGAACAUCUUCAUAGUAUAUAGUCAUCAAUAUAUACUACAAAGAACGUAAAAAUCGAUAAAGUAUGAUAUUCCAAAAUAUUCUCAGUAAAGCAUGAUAUCCCAUAAACGUUUCAUAAAAUAUAACUAUUAAAUCAUGCUUUCAUGUAUGCAUUUAUAAUAGUAAAAUAUGCAUUUUAGCAUGGGUCCACUCACAGAUAAUUCACUGUCGAAGAGCCAUGCAAACUAGCGAAGACGGAAACGCCAUAAUAAAUGUACCUAAGCACUUAAAAGGUCCAAUUAAUAAAACUCUAUUCAAAUGAUUGAAUUUCGGCAAACGAACAUCAUAAAAAAAUUCAGGACGUCAAGAAAACAUAAGAGGGGACCUUGGGUGCCCCCACAUGCCGCCACACGCCAUUUUGGGUCACUGGAAAAGUUGUCGGCGUUGCCGUGGACGGUGGAGGCAUGUGUGCUCCACGCGCUAGCCAAGACAUGCCCUCAGGCGCUCCCACAUGCAAGCCCACACAUCGACCCACGGUGGCCAAUGACCUAAUCCUACUGGGUUAGGCUAGAUCCAGGUUGGAUCUUAUUCUAGUUUAUGGGUUGGUUCCACAUGGGUUGGGCUAAGGGUUUUAGGCCAAGGGUUCCAUGGGUCUGGGCUACAAGGUUGAGCCUAGGCCUGGGUUCAGUGGGUCACCCAAAUGGGUUUGGGUCGAGGGGUUUUUUUUUUUUUUGUCAAAGGGUUGAGGGUUCAAUGGGCCAAAGGCCUGGGUUAUAUUGGGUUUGAGCUUAACAACUGGGAUAGGUUCAUUUGGGUUAGGCCAAGCAAUAACUAGGUUUCCGGGUGUGGGUCAGUUUGACCUGGUUUUGACGAGGGAGAAGGCCGGAGCCUCCCGAGCUCUGAUCGAUUCCGAUUCCGAUUCUCAACCAUACUUGGCGACUAAACCAAGGAAAUGAAGCUACGAGUGAGGAGAAGUGAAACAUACCAUUUUGAGGCCUAACCGUGGCCGGGAAGUGGUCAGGAAAUCCAAGUGGAGCCGCAGUCCAUCACCGGAAGAAAUCAUUAGGUUCUCUAUGCUUCACAGAGGAGAGGGAGAAAUAGAGAGGUAUGCGAUAGGGAGAGAGAUCCGAGAGAGUGAGGGAGCUCGGGGAGAAGGAAAGAAAAGGGAGAGAUGAAGUGGGGGUACCACGUGGCAGGCAAAGAAAAAGGGAGGGUCGGGGACCAAAAAGAAAGGUAGGCCUGCCCAGCUAACCAUUUAAGGCCCUAAAGUAACAGCCCAAAAUAUCUUUCACCCGUGAAAUUUCCAAAAUGCCCUCGUUCCAAAAUUCAUAAAUAAAAAUCAAGUUAGGUUGUUACAAUCCAUGGUCACAAUCAAGAAGAUUCACAGUUUACAAAGUAUCGAAUGCAAAAUCUUCUGUUUUUUCUUUAAGGAGCUGUUAUUCGCACUUUUCCAUUGGGCCACUUGUCAUAGUUAUUAUAUUACUUCUUUAUUAGUUAAUUAACUUAUUUCAUUACAAUUAUUGUGUAAAUGACAUUGUUCUAAAAAUCGUCGCGUAGCGCCACCUAGGUCAUGCCUAAGUGCUAGGCAGCUGACCACCAUCCCGAUUAAUCCCUAGCCGAGGGUGCCUAGACUUCUUUAGAAGGACACCUAGCCUGCCUAGGCAACCGACUUGCCCGCCUAAACUCGCCUAGGCACCCGCCUAAGUUGUGAAUGUCACUCAUUUAAUGUCAUUUUAUUUUGUACUUUAUGUGUCCUUAUACAAUUAUGUACUUUUUUAAGUAUAUAUAGACACUUAUUUAUAUGAUAUAAAUAGAUUUAUUUAAAUUCACCUAGUCCAUCUAGGCCCCCACCUAGCUGUCUAGGCGCUAGGCCCCAGCUCACCGCCCAACUAACGCCUAAUGUCUUUUAGAACCUUGGUAAAUUGGUACAUCAAUGUUAUGGCCACAACUCACACGUAAUUAAACUUUUUUUUUUUUUUGGAGAACCUCAGCAGUACGAGAGAAUUCUAUUAAUAUGGAAAAACAAGUUGCACGUAGUUAUGGGACACAUGAACCUUACCUCUCAUAAAGCAAGAAAACAAAAAUACACAAAAAGAUGGGGAUAUAAACCUUAUUCUUGUUGAAAAAGAAAAUACAAGAAAAAAAAAGGGGGACACCUUCUUGAAAAGAGAAAAUUUAAGAAAAACAUAGGGACAUAAACCUACCCAUCUAGAAAAGGAAAGUACAAGUAAGAGGGAGACCAUGGACCAAUCCCUUCUAAAAUAAAGCCUAAAACGUUAACUACAAAAUAAGCUUUUUUUUUUUUUUUUUUUUUUAAUGAACAAAGACUAAUAUUAAAAUGAGAAACCACGGGUACAACCAGCACCAGCCAAAUCAAAUUUUAUGGCUAGGCCUACAAAAUAAGCUACGAAAUAAAAAAGAAAACCCAAAGGAUUAGAUAAUAAAGAAAAUCACACGUCAAGAAGGGGAGAUAGACCUGUAAGCUGGCAUUCCCAAGAAAUCUGAAUGUAGAAAAGGUAAUCUCUAUAAGAUGAGUUACACGUAAAAUAAGAGAAGACAAGAAAAACCCUAAAUUGGCUUGACACGCCUCAAUUCCAAUGUCGAGAGCAGGAUGGCCAUGUGCUGGCUGACACCCGAGGGUGAUGCAAACCAUUUAAUGAAUGCAUAUGCCAAGAACAUGUGAAACAUGGAUAUAAAUUUCGCGCAAACUACAUAAUGUAAUAUUCAAAUACAAACCUUACCAAAAUAAUAUAAUAAUAUUCAGUUGUUAAUAAAAUGAUAGUGAUAAUGCAUGACAUGUUACAAGCGGAAGGUGUGAUAGAAAGUGCUAUUACAAGUGAUGUCGAAAGCAGAGAGGAUGACAUGAUAUCAUUGGUAGGGGAAUGCCUCGUAACUCAGAUCAUAUGCCUCGUUCCUAUGUCCUGAGGGGGCGCAAAACAAACAUGAGUGGACCAAGUUGGUAUAUACAUAGUACUAACAUAAUUAUUCAACAACGUACUAACCCCCAAAGUUUAUGAAAACUCAUAUAGCAAAAUAAAUAGUAGGUUUUCCGAAAACCCUAGCAUGCCAAACCUUUAUAAAACAUAUAUCGUAUAUAGUGUGCUAAAUAGUGGUAUCUGUAUCGCCCAAAAAUAUAUAGAACUCUUCAUUCGCCCGAAAGCAUAUAGAACACUUCAUUCGCCCGUAGGCUCUUACAGCACCCACCCGAAGGCAUAUAAUGACCACUAGAUAAGCACAAAAAUCAUUGAAUAUAAUCUUUCCAAAAUACAUAUGCAUAUAUAUCAUCGGAGCUCAAUAGCUUAAACAUCAUAUCAUAAAACAUAUUCGUAGUAUAUAGACAUCAAUCAUAUAUACUACGAAGAACGUAAAGUCGAUAAAACAUGAAUAUCAUAAAGCGUAAAUCCUAUUUACUCAUAAACGUUUUUUUUAUGCACAAAAUCAGUGAGGACCUUGGUACAACAAAAAGUGUUAAGUUUGUGACCUUCGCUAGAUUGCUCCGGUCAUUAGUGUGGAUAAGUAUGUAAAUGAAUAGAGAUAGGGAAGCAAGCACAAGAUGUACGUGGUUCACCCAUAUUGGCUACGUCCACGGAGUAGAGGAGUUCUCAUUAAUUGUGAAGGGUUUACACAAGUACAUAGGUUCAAGCUCUCCUUUAGUGAGUACUAGUGAAUGAUUUAGUACAAAUGACAUUAGAAAAUAUUGUGAGAGAAUGAUCUCUAUUUAUAGAAGAGAGUUUCUAGUUUCAUUCUGACAUUGACACGUGUCGUGUUAUGAUUAGCUUCUAAUGUUAACACGUGUCGCGCUAUGAUUGGCUUCUGGUGUCGUGUUGUGAUUGGCCUGUUGGUUGGAAGGAAACUCUUUUAGGUCCUUGAUGGUAUAACGUUGACCGGUGCUCAGUAGUUUCGGGAUUGGUCAAGAAUUUGAGGGUCAAAACAAGUCCAUCAAAUCUAGAAUACGUUCGACCCUGAUGAUAUGGAUACUUUUGUUGUUGACAAAGUAGUGGAUGUAUCGGCACGUGGUCUGUUACACUUGUCUCCACAUGCUUCCUUGUAUCCUUCUCACUUACCUUAUCUGUUCCUCAGGUCGAUGUGGUAUCUUCUUUGGAAGCAUAAGAUGUUGAAGAUGAGUACUUGAGAGCAAUGCCAGGUAAGUAAUCAGGCAAGGGGUUCUAGACAGUCAGUUCCUGACUAGAAGCUUGAUUCCAAGUGUUGACUGAUUGUUCUCUUUCUCCUUGUCUUACAGGUAAGAACAAGGGCAAAGGAAAAGACAGGGGAAAAGCAUGAUAUGGGAUACUCUUGCUUUUGACCCUGAUGAUAUGAGAUACUUUUGCUCUGGUGUGGCUGGUUUGCAUAGGUAUUAUUGUGGGGGAAAAGAUGAGUAUUUCGAGAGGCUUCGUUGGGAGUGCCCUCUCAGAUAUGAGGAAGGGUUGAGCAUUUUUGCAGGUCUGCCUGUCCGUGGAGGAUGGAGGUCGACAUAUAUAGGAGUCUCCCUAACAACAAGUAGUAAUGCUAUUCCUUUACCCUUCUUAGUCAUAGCAAUGUAGUGGGACCUGCAAGCUUCACGUGUUUUAACUUUGUCAGAGAACUUUGAAAAAGUGGUCUUUGGUAUCUGGAGAGCUUAUGUUGCGUGUGAAGAUUGCAGACAAGCUUUAUCCAAGGAAAUCUGGCUCUUGAAGUUCUGAGAGCGGUGCCUCUUCGGUUUUCAAACAAGUAAUCCUAUCAGGGAUCUGGCUCUCGAGAUUCGGAGAACAUUACCUCUUCUAUUUUUGAGAAAGCAAUCCUGUUGAGAGUUUGGCUCAUGAGAUUCGGAGAGCGAUGUCUCUUCGAUUUUUGAGAAAGUAAUCCUGUUGGGAGUCUGGCUCUCGAGAUUCAGAAGGCGGUGCCUCUUUGAUUUUUAAGCAAGUAAUCAUGUUGGGAGUUUGGCUGUCGAGAAUCGGAGAGCAGUGCCUUUUCGAUUUUUGAGCAAGCAAUCUUGUUGGGAGUGUUUUCUCGAAUGUGAGUAAAGGUUGGGCAUUUUUGCCAUUCUGCCUCACCACGGAGCACGGAGGUUGACGCACAUAGGGACUUUCCAAUUAUUAAGCAAUGGUGUUGUUCCUUUACCCUUAUGGGUAAUAAUAGUAGGGUAGCUGGACCUUCAAAAUUUAUGUGUCUAAACUUUGUCAAAGAUCUUUGGCAAAGUUAUAUGUGGUACUCGAGGAGCUAAUGUUGCGUGUGGAAAGUGGUGCCUCUUCGAAAUUCGGAGAGUGAUGCCUCUUCGAUUUUUGAACCAACGGCCAUGUUGCCCUUUCUUUUAUAAGGGCACCAAUUGUGUGUAAGAAGUACAUUCAGAGAGUUAUUGCUUGUAGGAAUUUUCCCCUUAUUUUUGUACUUCAGAGAUUUAUUGGACCUCAUUUUUGAAAAUGUUUGGCCCAUUCGACCGUCAUUUUGACUUGAACUUUGGUGAAGAGGCAACUAUGUCUCCUCAAGACAACAUAUGGCGUCCAUCCUUGUAUCCCCUACUGGUCCUCUUACCGUUAGAGACUCUGUGAUGAAGAAUGAUAUGACCGCUGUGGUGGUGGCUAGGAACCUUCUCACUCCCAAAGAUAACAGACUACUUUCCAAACGGUUUAAUGAGUUGGCUGUUAAGCAUUCCCUGGCUUUCAGUGUUCAGUGUGCAGGUUCUGUGUCUAAUAUGGCUCAACGCCUAUUUGUUCGAACUUGCCAAGUUGAAUUAUUAGCGGCUGAAGUGAUAAGUCUCAAAUAGGAGAUUAGAAGGCUCAAGCAUGAGAAUAAACUAUGCUAGAAACAUGAAGAGGAAGCUUAACCAGAUGCAGGAAUCUGAUGGUCAAAUUUUACCUGAUCAUAAGAGGUUUGUGGGUUUGUUCCAAAGGCAUUUAUUACCCUCGUCUUCUAAGGCUGUACUGUGUAAUGAAGCUCCAAAUGAUCAACCUCCAAUGCCUCCUCCUUCUGGGGUUCUGUCCAGUAUUGAGGCUCCGAAUGAUCACCCUCCGGUACCUUCUCUUUCUGGGGCUCUACCGACUGCUGAGACUUUUCCUAAGCAACCUUUGUGAAGGCUCCCUCUUGUUUGUUUAUUUCAACGUAUUGUGUUAAAUACACCAAAGCCUUCUUCACUAAGUUCUUUGAAUUUUUUCUUUUGUUAAAGCUUGUAUGUUAAAGCUUUGUGAGUGAAGCAUGUAGGUUGAGGUAGUGUUCCCUUAAUUUCCUGAGUGAGGAAAACUUCUCAGUUAGAGACUUGAAAAAUCCAAGUCACUGAAUGGUCGUGAGACUUUUGAGUAUCAAGGUGCAGUAGCAUAUGGUAGGAGUCCCCCAAGUCUCUGGUCGAGGGAGUUCACGAAGGAGGUGUCUUGCUAGUAGCCAAGCUUCUAAAGUAACAAAACUUCACCAUUUUCCUUUCUAAGUGGUAGCUCAAAACUCCUCCUUCAUAUAUAUUUGUUAUGAAAGUUGUUAGGCCCAAAAAAGAGGAGGCCUAGGCAAAUAUUUGUUUUUUUCCGAUUUUUUUUUUCUUUUCGAAUUUUUGAAUUUUUGAAUUUUUGAAUUUUCGAAUAUCUGAAUUUCCAAAUAUAUAUAUAUAUAUAUAUUAAGCUUUGUAGGUGAAGCUUUGAGGUUGAAGCUUUGUUAGGUACUAUGAAUUGAUUUUGCUUCACACUAUCUUGAUCAAGAGUGUGUGAAGCUUUUGUGUUGAAGCUUUGUAGGUGAAGCUUUUGUGGGUGUUAAAGCUUUGUAGGUGAAGCUUUUGUGGGUGAAGCUUUUGUAGGUGAAGCUUUUGUGGGUGAAGCUUUUGUAGGUGAAGCCUUUGUGGGUCAAGCUUUUGUGGGUCAAGCUUUUGUGGGUGAAGAUUUUGUAGGUGAAGCUUUUGAAGGAUUAUUUUGUGAAAACAUUUUCAUUUAAGCAACAUCAAUAAGCAUGCAAAUAACAAUUAAAGGCGGAAUCAUGCUUGCAUGCACUUAAAAACAAAACAUUAACCAUGAAAUUCAAAGCCUAGUAGAUUGGUGAACCAAGACUCAACUCAAAUCAAAGUGAGUUGAGAAAUAUACCUUUGUAGAUUCCUCUUUGCAUAAGCAAAGGCUAAUCACCCAAAGAGAGGGCCUUCAUUCCUUGCAUAUUAAAUCUAUGGAUUUGGAUGGAAGAAUAGGAUUCUCCAAGUUCCCAAAAUAGAGAACCUCUAAGUAUCUUCACCAAGGUUAGAUUGAAGAAGAAAUGAGUGACCUUGGAGUAGUGGGAUUGCAAGAUGCACCCCCCAAGGUGGCCGGCCUCUUUAGAGAGAAAUGGAGAGACAAGUUCUCACCAAUUUUCUCCAAAACAAAACCUUAAUGAAUUUUGGCUAUAAAGUCAUAUUUAUACCUUUAUUCAUUUGAGUGGCAAACUUGUAAAUAAGUCCAAGUUCACUACCCUAAACAAUAUGGCCGGCCAUUAGGAUAUUUUGGACUAAUUGGGCCUUUGUGAAUCAUUAUUCAUUAAGUUGUCAUACAACUUAAGUUAAUGGGCUUGACGUUCGAAGCCCAUUGGGCCUUAAGGUCCAAAACUAUCCCGAGGUCUUUAACGAACUUAUUUGUUUGAUUAAUUAACAUAUUAAUUAAUCCUUGCCAUAAAUAAAUGAUUAAACCAUUUAAUCAUUCUUACUCAUCUCCAUUGUUUCUUCAAUCUCCACCUUACACGGUGUGCGAUCCAUUAGGUUCCUUUUAGCGAGGCAGUGGGCGAUUAAAACCAUUUUACAUCGAUUGUGAAUUGAAACUUACUUUCAAUUCUCCCUUUAGUGAUUACACACAUUUAGGGCUUCCACAAACCAUGAGUGACACCUUGCAGCAUAUCAUGGUUACCCAAGCUAAUCAGAAAGAGUAGAGAAAAACCUAUUCAGUUUGGGAUUACAAAUGCAAUACGGUCUUUCUCUAAUCUAAUACUCCUGACCACAUUGUUUGGUUUGAUAGUUUAUUUAUUCAUGUCUACUAUCCAAUAUGAUUCGUGUGCUUAUAUGAUUUCCUUGAAUGUGAUUCGGAACGCAUUCCCAAAUCUCAUUCAUACUCUAGCCAGAGAUUCUAAAUCAUAUCAUAGAGUAUUCUCCCUCAAACAGUUUGAAGGUUAGAGAUCCCUUGUUGCGCAUUCACUUGCCUCCAUGGCUAAGUGGCUUAACCCCAACGAUGCCGUGGACACUCCAAUGGAAUGACGUUUGACAUAAUCAAAGAUCAAGGACUUAACCACAAGACAACUAUGAUGCCUUAGGUCAAAGGACUACUUUGCAUUAUCCCAACCAUGAGUUCUCAUGUGACAUGAAUAUGAGAACUCUUCGUUGAUCGCGUUCAGUGAACUCAUUCUCUAUUGAGCACCUACGUACUUGUCUUGAUGUCACACACACCAAUGACUCGAGACUAGUCACUCUCCCUGAGAGAAAACACAGUACGUACCGAUCUUAACGGACUGUCAAUGCCCAAUUGACAAUCCUAUGAUCAGGAACAUUUAGGAUGUGUCUACGAAAGAAUGGUCUCAUGAAUCUAACUUCAUUAGAUUGCAUUCUCUCAAUCACAUAUUCCUUGGACUUUAUCGUUUAAGCAUAUAACAUUUAUAUGAGACGGCUCAAACAAUAAUCUUUGCCCUUUAUAUUAAACUAGAUUAGUUUAACAUGUGAAAUGUCCGUAAAGUAUCAUCAUAUGAUUGGCUUUAGGGCACAUUUCCAACAGCUUUUGUGGGUCAAUCUUUUGUGGGUUAAGCUUUUGUAGGUCAAGCUUUUGUGGGUCAAGCUUUUGUGGGUGAAGUUUUUAUGGGUGAAGCUUUUGUAGGUGAAGAUUUUGUAGGUGAAGCUUUUAUGGGUCAAGCUUUUGUAGGUGAAGCUUUUGUGGAUGAAGCUUUUGUGGGUUAAGCUUUUGUGUUGAAGUUUUUGUAGCUGAAGCUUUGGAGUUGAAGCUUUGUAGGUGAAGCUUUGGAGUUGAAGCUUUUGUUGGGUACCAUGAAUUGAUUUUGCUUCACACUAUCUUGAUCAAGAUAGUGUGUAGCUUUUGAGAAUUUGUAGUUGUCCUCCAUUGAUGAAGCUUUUGUUGGUGAAGCUUUUGUGUUGAAGCUUUGUAGGUGAAGCUUUGGAGUUGAAGCUUUGUAGGUGAAGCUUUGAAGUUGAAGCUUUGUACGUGAAGCUUUGGAGUUGAAGCUUUUGUUGGGUACCAUGAAUUGAUUUUGCUUCACACUAUCAUGAUCAAGAUAGUGUGAAGCUUUUGAGAAUUUGUAGUUGUCCUCCAUUGAUGAAGCUCUUGUUGGUGAAUCUUUUGUGGUGAAGUUUUGUUGGGUACCAUGAAUUAGCUUUGCUUCACACUAUCUUGAUCAAGAUAGUAUGAAGCUUUUGAGAAUUUGUAGUUAUCCUCCAUUGAUGAAGUUUUGUUGAAUUUCCCAAUUUCCUUUUCUUUUUUUCUUUUUUUUGGGAAAAUUAGAAAAUUAGAACAUAUACAAAUUUUGCUUCCACACUGUUAAGCAAGAGAUUGUGAUGCAAGCCACACCUUGUAGUAGUCAAAGGUUUGGAUGAACCAUAUAAAUUGAAUUUGCUUCGAACAGUCUUGAUCAAGAGUGUGUGAAGCUUUCUACGAGUUGUAGUUGCCCUUCAUUGAUGAAGCUUUUGUUGGCACCAUAAAUUGGUUUUGCUUCACACAGUCUUGAUCAAGAGUGUGUGAAGCUUUCUAUGAGUUGUAGUGUUUGAAUUGUUACAAGGGAAAAAUGUCUGAAACAAAUGCAAGAGAGCUAAAUAGCUUGAUUUUCGUAUGUCAUGCACUAAAGUUGUUGUUGGCUUGCAAUAAGACUUUGUUGGUGACUAUAACUCUUGUUGGGCAUAAGUGUUCCCCUAGUGGAGUUGUAAAACUUGAGGGUUUUUUAUUAUUUGUGAGUGCUAGGAGUUCACAUGUACAAGUUGUACCACUCGUUUUCUAGUUGGUGGAAUGAAUGGUGAGUUGCUUUCAUCACUUGGCUGGUAAUACGAAUGUGAGUUCCUACAUCACCUUUCAUCACAUUUGAUCACCUAGUUGGUGGCACGAAGAUGAGUUCCUUCUUCACCUGGUUGGUGGCAUGAGUGGCACGUUGCCAAAUGAUAUUAGAGUACGAGUUCACCUGGUUUGUGGCAUGAAGUAGAGUACGGGUUGUACAUUUCAUCACCUGGUUUGUGACAUGAAGAUGAGUUCCUUCUUCACCUGGUUGGUGGCGUGAAUGGCAAGUUGCCAAAUGAUAUUAGAGUAUGGGUUGUAAAUUUCAUCACCUAGUUGGUGGCAUGAAGGAUAGUAUGGGUUGUACAUUUCAUCACCUGGUUGGUGGCAUGAAGAUGAGUUCCUUCUUCACCUGGUUGGUGGCAUGAGUGGCAAGUUGCCGAAUGAUAUUAGAGUACAGGUUGUACAUUUCAUCACCUGGUUGGUGGCAUGAAGGAGAGUACGGGCUGUACAUUUCAUCACCUGGUUGGUGGCAUAAAGAUGAGUUCCUUCUUCACCUGGUUGGUGGCAUGAGUGGCAAGUUGCCAAAUGAUAUUAGAGUAUGGGUUGUACAUUUCAUCACCUGGUUGGUGGCAUGAAUGGCAAGUUGCCAAAUGAUAUUAGAGUAUGGGUUGUACAUUUUAUCACCUGGUUGGUGGCAUGAAGAAGAGUACGGGUUGUACAUUUCAUCACCUGGUUUAUGGCAUGAAGAUGAGUUCUUUCUUCACAUUUCAUCAUCUGGUUGGUGAAAAUAAGGGCAAGGUGUCGAGGCACAUUGUAGCAAGUGUCGUAGACACAAAGUAUGUUGAACCCUUUCGAAGCAUAGUUGACUUAUGUAUGGAUGUGUUAGAAUGUAUGAUGUUUAUGUAUGAAUGUGUUGGAAUGUAUGAUGUUUAUGUAUGAAUGUAUUGGAAUGUAUGAUGUUUAUGUUGAUUGAUAUGAGUGAUGCUUAUGAAUGUUUUGCUAUGCAUGAAAGGAUCCAUGCUUUUGAUAUGUGAACCAUGUUGGUUGUAACACUUAGUAUCACAUACUUUGUGUCAAAGUACGCAUGUUGAAGCUCUGAGUUUGAGUAUAAGGGUAGGUCAGUGUAGACCAAGUGUUCCAGUGCUAGGAACGUAAAAAACUUAAAAGAAGUUGUCUGAAUUCCUUCUUCUUUAAAUAUUUGCUGAAUGGCUUGUGUAACAAAAGAUCUCAAGCGGUUGAGAGUCAAAACAUUUGUAAUGUGUAUGCCUUCUUAUAAUAGCAUUUCCUUCAGUACCUAGUCCUCCACUUUGAAAGAGUGAGGCUUGGCCCCAUAGUCAUAAUAGUCGACGGUACGUUCACCCCUGGUUGUCUUGAUACGAACUUUUAUCCCUCUUGUUGUAAUGGACUUGCUAAGAGUAAAAAUCCUUCCUUUUACCAAGAGACAGAUAUGUUUGGUGACUUAGCGAGUAGCUAAAUAAGGCAGGAGAUGAUGCAAUGGGUGUCUGAAUGGCCAAUAUCUCCUCACUUGGUAGAACUUGACUUCCACUUCCCACUUGUUGAUUAGGGUUAACCAUAUGGGGGUUCCCUUGGUAUGUCCUUGCUUCGGCGGAGGCGUGGUUGUAAGCAUGUGCCAUCACCUCAGAGUAAGUCUUCCAAGUGUUGGCAUUGAUCAUGUACUUGAAGAAACAAUCAUGUAGGCCUGCAGUGAAGGCCUUGAGGGCGGUCUUGUCAUCUGCCUCAGCGUAGCAAGAAUACUCAUGGCUAAAGCGAUCGGCAUACUCUCAUAGUGACUCGUCCAGCUCUGGCGAAUAGUGUACAAGUCAUCUGUAGAAUGCAAGCGAUUGGUCUGGAAGAUGUGUUGAGAGACAAACAGUUUCCUCAGUUCCUUAAAUGAGUCUACUGUCUCAGGUGGAAGACGGCAAUACCAGUUUAGAGCUCCGCCAGAGAAGGUGGAGGGGAAGAAAAGACAUCGCUCUUCGUCGGUGUGCAUUCGAUAUGCCAUGGUGGACUCAAAGAGGUUAAGGUGUUCAAUUAGGUCCUCCCUUCCAGUAUAGAGUUGUAAACCAAGCUUUUGUUUUGUCUUCACUUGAAGGGGGUGUCGAGGAUCCUUCUUGUGAAAGAGCCAGGCCUAGGUUGCUUCCAGUCAGGGAUCUCGGCUUGACGUUUGGCCUUCAACUUGUUUACUUCCUCAAAGAGUUGUAGGACAAGAGGGUCCUAAGUGGAGUCAUGUACCACUGGAAUUUUCUUUCGUAAGUCUCCAUCGCCUUUUGGAAGUAGGAAAGUUUGAGCAAGGGCGUGUGGUUUUUUCUUGGACUCGCUGUACUGACUUCUAGGGCAAGUAUGUCGCAAUACCUCAGAGUCUCGUGUACCUUUAUGUUCCUUUGGGACCUGUCGUUCCUUCCCUAGAUUCGCAGUUAGCCUAGGUCGUGGGAGGGGACCGAGUCUUUCAGAAACCCUUGGGUCAUUGAUCUUCGAGCAUAUGUGGAGGGGAUUCUCUUGACGUUGCUUUAGGAAGUCUCGACAGUCAUAAUAAACAGCUUUUAAUUUUUCCAACCCUUCUACAUGGAGGUGUCUUCCUCCACUUCUUCUGCUUCAGGUCGAAGCAUCUGGGUUGAGAGAAGUCUCAUGUUGAUCAAUGUUUUGAUGAUUAGGUCGCUCCUCAUCAGGGAUACCCAUGUCGAAGGGAAAUGACCUUCCGAGUUGGGGGGCACCCAGAUGAUGGUUGAUGUCGAGCUCGCAUGUUUGAGUACGCCUAGUUUCAUGGAGCGUCUCAAAGAGCUUCUCAUACUGCUCCUGGAGGACCUCAUUCUUCAUUGCUAUCUUGUUGUUCUGAGCUUCUAGCUCAUCGACUUUAGCUUGAAGAGCAAUCCUCUUUCCUGUCUUCUUUCGUUGCUUCGUACUAGGUGCAAGAAGGGUUUCAUUCUGUGUGUUGUGGCUUCCUUCGCUUCCCAUGUUGGAGAGGGAUGCCUGGUCAGAAGAGAGUGUACGAAUGGUGGAAACCAGGUUGGUAAAGCUGAAGAGAGUGGGAAUAAGUGUCGUUCCCACAGACAACGCCAAAUGUUGAUGCACAAAAUUAGUAAGGACUUUGGUACAACAGAAAGUGUUAAGUUUGUGACCUUCGCUAGAUUGCUCCGUUCAUUAGUGUGGAUAAGUAUGUAAAUGAAUAGAGAUAGGGAAGCAAACACAAGAUGUACAUGGUUCACCCAGAUUGGCUACGUCUAUGGAGUAGAGGAGUUCUCAUUAAUUGUGAAGGGUUUACAAAAGUACAUAGGUUCAAGCUUUCCUUUAGUGAGUACUAGUGAAUGAUAUACUACAAAUGACAUUAGGAAAUAUUGUGAGAGAAUGAUCUCUAUUUAUAGAAGAGAGUUUCUAGUUUCAUUCUGACAUUGACACAUGUCGUGUUGUGAUUGGCUUCUGAUGUUGACACAUGUCACGUUAUGAUUGGCUUCUGAUGCUGACACGUGUUGCGUUGUGACUGGCCUCCUGGUGGAGGGAAACUCUUCUGGGUCCUUGACGGUAUAACAUUUCUUAAAACGUAACCAUUAAAUCAUGCUUUUCAUGUAUGCAUUCCUAACAGUAAAAUAUGCAUUUUAGAAAUGGUCCACUCACAUAUACUCCGUCAUCAAAGAGCCGUGCAAAAUAGGAGGGACGUAAACAUCACUAGUAAUUGUAACUAAGGACAUAAAUGGUCCAAUUAAUAAAACUCUACCAUAAUGAUUGAAUUUCGGAAAAUGGACGUCAUAAACAGAUUCAGGACGUCGAAAAACAUAAAUGGGCAUCUCGGGUACCCCCACGCGCCCUCACGCAUCACCACGGGGUGGUGGCCCGAAAUGCCACGCAUCGAUUUGGGUCGCCCGAAAAGUCGCCAGCACCGCUGUGGACUACAGCGGAGCACAGUGCCUCUGGUGGAGGCGCGCUUCAUGUGCCGGCCAAGACAGGCGCCCAUGCACCGAUUGGGAUCUGGGCUCCAACUGGGUCUGGGCCUAUUCUUCGAGGCUGGGGCCUGAGCUUUGGGGAUUUGGGCUGGGCUGGACAAUUGGCUCGGGUAAUAACUUAGGCUUGGAUCAGGCUUUAGGGUUAUUAGGUCGGGUUUAACCCAUUUUUUUGCCAAGGUUUGGUCAGUUUCUGGGCACAACUUCAAACGCGUAUAACUUCCCCGAUAUUCAACCAAAUCAAGUGAUUCAAAAAUCAAAUUGUAGUACUCAAUGAGAUGAAGAGAAUGGUACCUUGUAUAAUGGUUAACUCGCCAUGGUUUGGCCGAAAAGUACCUCGAAAGUGGCGGUGCUCGUUGAAAAAUUAGGAAAAGCUACUCCGAGCUAUUUUAUGCAUUUAACACGUAUGUACAACUUCAAACAAGCUUCGAUCUACUCUAAAACACAUAAAGUGUUUCUACAAGCCUAACAAUGUUGGAAAAUCAUGAAACACAUUGGGGAAGACAAUAAAUAAUGACAACGUUGCUAGAAGGUUCCUCCACUUGGCACUGGGUUUUCGAAGCUUCUCUGUCCACGUGGUGGUGGUUUCUAAAGAGUCAAGUAAAGUUAGUUAGAUGUUUGUUAUAAUGUUUGUUAUAAUUCUUAUGUAAAUUGAUAUAGUAGUCAAGGGUAUAAAUGUAAUUGGCGCAUUGCCUACAUAUACUGCAACACCAGUGUAAUCUUAUGAUCAUUUCAAUAGAAUUAAAGCAUAUUCAGAAAUUGUGUGUACUUAGAUUUCUACAUGGUACCAUUGCCAACCACCUCAUGGCCUCUCCGAUCCUGCUGUAUUCUUCAUCUCCGAUCUUCCGCUCUUUUCUGAUCUUUUUCUUUGGUGUGUUGAUUGAGCAAUUGUGUUCUCAGAUUUGGAUUUUCGACUUGUUAAUCUUGAAUUUUGAUGGCGUCUUCAUCCGAUUCUUCUUCUCUAAUUGAGUCGGUGCCUCCUCCAAACCAGAAUAUCAGCAGUAUGGUUCCGAUCAAACUUCGGCGGUCCAAUUACUUGCCAUGGCGAGCGUUAUUUGCAUCGAUUCUUCGUUGUUACAAGCUUCUUGGUAUUAUUGAUGGCAUUGAGCCAUGCCCAUCACCCUUUCUUCCUGAUAGCUUGCUAAAUCCAACCUUCAAGCACUAGUAUGAUAAGGAUCAAAAUCUGCUCAUCUGGUUCAACUCAACUCUCUCUGAGGAAGUUAUUCCAUUCACUAUUGGUGUCUCAUCUGCUUGUGUUCUCUGGCUUAAACUUGAGCAGCGAUUUGGUGGUGUCUCGGAUGCUUAUAUUCAUCAAUUGCGGUCCCGGCUUCAAAACAUUCAUAAAGGUUCUCAGUCAAUGUCUGAUUAUCUUCAGCAAAUCAAGGAGAUCUUUGAUUCCCUUACUGCUGCUAGAGCCUCUAUCAUUGAUCGCGAUCUCAUUGCAGUAACUCUUGUUGGUCUUCUUAAUGAAUUUGAAUCAUUCACUGAUUCCAUACUACUUCGCCUUUCGUCUACUUCCUUGGAUGAAUUACAUGGCUUAUUGCUUACUAAAGAACUAUUCAUGUCACGUCGCAAGAAGACUUCCUCAUCUUAGCCUUUUCAGGCGUUCUCUGUACAAGACCAACUGCCACUCCUUCUCACACUACCAUAAGCUCUUGCUACUCAGAAUCAUGGAACUCAACCACUUCAGAAUUCUUUCUGGUAUAAUUCUAACCGAGGAAAACAUAAUCGUGGUUUUCGGGGUUCAAAUCAUGGCAAUCAUAACUCUGGUUACAAUCGUGGCACUCAUUAUUCUGGAUUCAAUCGUACUGCAUCCUCUUCUGGUUACAAAUCUCCAUGUCAAAUUUGUGGAUCUUACAGUCAUGAAGCUAUUGACUGUUUCGAUCGAAUGAAUCUAGAGAUCUCAGGCAAGGUUCAUCCAGCUAAACUUGCUGCCAUGUGUGCUCAUUACACUACUAAGCCUUCCCAUUCUUGGCUCAUUAACUCGGGUGCUACCUCUCACAUCACCAAUGAUAUCUCCAAUAUCCAAUCUCCUACUCCCUACAAUGGUGAAGACAAGGUAUACAUUGGAGAUGGUAAAGGUCUGUUUAUAGAUGAUGUUGGCACAUCUGUUUGCAUACUCCCGCUCAAUCUUUUAAAAUGCAAAAUGUUCUUCAUGUGCCUCAAAUGCAGCAUAGUCUACUUUCUGCCUAUCAAUUUAUCAAAGAUAAUGAUUGUUCAUUAACUCUUGAUAUUCAUGGAUCCUCUAUCAAGGAUCGUUUUACAAGGAGGACGCUUUUGCGGGGACAAGUUAAAGAUGGUUUCUUUCCUCUUCACAGUUCACCUACUCCCUACAAAGCUACUCCUUCCACACAUGUUGCACUUGUAAGUACUUAUGCCAAUGUCAAAAUCUCGCACAGGCAGCUUGGUCAUCCAUCUUCAAUUAUAUUUCGUAAAGUUUUGUCAACACAUAAAGUUGUUGUACAAGGCAAAUCGCCUCUGGACUUCUUCUACAAUGAUUGUGCUCUAGCAAAGAAUCACAAGCUUCCAUUUGGUGUUCCUAGAUCUAUGUCUACUAAAUUGUUGCAUUGUGAUGUUUGGGGACCAUCUCAUGUUGUUUCAGUGAGUGGUUAUAGGUAUUAUUUGCUUAUUGUUGAUGAUUACAGCAAGUAUAGCUGGUAUUUUCCCUUAAAGUCUCAAUCUUAUGUAUUUUUAACAUUUGUGGAGUACAAGUCCUAUGUAGAAAAUACUCUUGGUAAUAAAAUCAAGGUUGUUCGAUCUGAUUCAGGAGGUGAGUUUACUAGUCAUCAAUUUUAGAAUUUUCUUAAACUUCAUGGUAUUUUCCAACAAUUUAGCUACCCUCACACUCCGGAGCAAAAUGGAUGUGUUGAAAGGAAGCAUCGUCACUUGGUUGAAACUGCACAAACACUAUUGGUUGCAUCUAAAGUUCCUUAUGUUUUUUGGGUUGAAGCAUUUUCCAUUGCAGUUUAUUUGAUUAAUCGGCUUCCUCUUGGUGGCGUACUGCAAUCCCCUUGGGAACUUCUUUUUGGUACCCCUCCAUAUUAUUCUCAACUUAAAAAUUUUGGUUGUGGAUGCUUUCCUUAGCUCAAGCCAUACACUUCAUCCAAGUUGGACAGCAAAAGUAAACAGUGUGUCUUUUUAGUCUUCAACACAAUGGGUAUCGUUGUCUUCAUCCAGUUACCCAAAAACCAUACAUAUCAAGGCAUUUGCUAUUUGAUGAAACCAAUUUUCCAUUCAUUCUAUAUCAACUGUUACACCAAGUUCUACUAAUGGUUCUUCAACAGUGAAUCCUAAUGUCAAUUUACACUUUACUAUACCCAUUUCUGCUCAAGCACCUAUUGCUCAUCCUACCACUAGCAAUGUACCUGCUACACAACAUCUUUUUCCUACAUCGUCAGGUUCACAAUCUGUCACUCCAAGGCUGAAAUCUUUAAACCAAAAGCCUACUCAUCUACCAAGCAUCAUUUACCUACAUCUGUUGAUUUUAUCCCUAAUAAUUAUCUUCAGGCUGCCAAACAUGCUCAUUGGAGAUCUGCUAUGAAGGAUGAGUACAAUGCCCUACAGUUAAUAGGUACUUGGUCUUUAGUCCCUUUUAGACCUCAUCAAAAUAUAGUUGGAUGUAAAUGGGUUUUUCGAGUUAAGAAGAAUCUAGAUGGGACUAUUGAUAGAUAUAAAGCCCAGCUUAUGCCCAAAGGCUUUCAUCAGCAAGCUAGUUUGGAUUACAAAGAAAAGUUUAGUCUUGUAGCAAAGCCAGUAACAAUUCGAAUUCUUUUUUCUUUAGCAGUUCAGUACGAUUGGUUUCUCAACCAAUUGGACAUCAGUAAUGCAUUUCUGCAUGGAGAUCUUCAGGAAGAUGUCUAUAUGCACCAACCACCUAGUUUCAAUGAUCCUAACUACCCCAAUCAUGUCUGCAAACUUUGAAAAUCCUUGUAUGGCUUGAAACAAGCCCCUUGGGCUUGGUUUGAUAAAUUAUUUGCAGUUCUUAAGUCUAUGGGAUUUCAUCAAGUACAAUCUAAUGCUUCUCUAUUUGUAAUCAAAGCACCUGUUCUUGUUAUUGUCUUGGUGUAUGUCAAUGACAUACUUGUCACAGGCCCUAAUUCUACAGCUUGUCAACAAUUUAUUCCGAAAUUGGGUCUAUCUUUCCUGUGAAGGAUUCGGGACCCUUGCAUUAUUUCUUGGGUCUUGAGGUUCAAAGAUCUUCUACAGGUCUCUUCUUACAUCAAAGCUACCUUCUAAACUUGCUUCAAAAGACACAUAUGGAAGGUGCUAAACCAUGUCUCACUCCUAUUGGCUCUCUCAAACUUGAUCACAUAGGCCCUUUGUUACAUGAUCCCAAAAAGUAGAGGUAUAUUGUUGGUGCACUACAAUACUUGACUUGGACAGGACCUGAUUUAUCUUUUGUUGUAAAUCAAGUCUGUCAAUUUAUGCAUGCUCCAUGAGAACCACAUUUCCAAGCAGCCAAAAAAAUUCUCUGGUUUCUCAAAGGCACAGUGAGUCAUGGUUUGUGGUUCAAGAAAGGUGUUGUCCAUCUCAGUGCUUACUCUGAUGCUGAUUGGGCUUGAUGUAUAUUUAAUAGAAGAUCUACUAGUGGGUAUUGCAUAUUUCUGGGGUCAAAUCUCAUUAGCUAGAGUGCUAAGAAGCAACCAACGGUUGCUCGGUCCUCCACUGAAGCAGAAUACAGAUCCUUAGCUCACACAACAGUUGAAUUAAGUGUUCAAGGAUAUUGGUCUCCAUCUUCCUCAUAUUCCUCAUCUCUGGUGUGACAAUAUUUCAGCAAUUUCACUUGCUUCUAAUCCAAUUUUUCAUGCUUAAACCAAGCAUGUUGAACUUGAUUACCAGUAUAUCCGAGAGUUGGUGUUAGAUAAUCUUUUCAAGGUCCAAUAUGUGUGCACUCAGGACCAAUUAGCUGAUAUUCAUACUAAAUCUUUGUCUAAAUCCAGGUUAUUAUACUUGCAAUCCAAGCUUUCUCUUGGCAUUAUGGAUGCAUCCAAGUUCAGCUUAAGGGGGUGUAAAGAGUCAAGUAAAGUUAGUUAGAUGUUUGUUAUAAUUCUUGUGUAAAUUGAUAGAGUAGUCAAGGGUAUAAAUGUAGUUGGCGCAUUGCCUAUAUAUAUUGCAACACCAGUGUAAUCUUAUGAUGAUUUCAAUACAAUUGAAGCAUAUUCAGAAACUUGUGUACUUAGAAUUCUACAGUUUGGGGUUGCUUUAUGUGUGUGUGUGUUUCUGAUAGGAGAGAGAGAGGUCGGGGAGUGAAAGGGUUCGGGGGUGAGGGUUAAAGAGAAAAAGAAAAGAGAAGAGAGAGAGAGAGAGAGAGAGAGAGAGAGAGAGAGGAAGUUAUAAUAAUAAAAAGAUAUGAAAAUAUCCCAAAAGGGAAAGGGGGAAUCCGGGUAGGGUGAGGGGAUAAGGGGCCAAAAUUUCAAUAUGGGUCCCCUUUGGUUCAUAGAUUAAGAACGUGAAAGACGCAAAAAAUCUGAAAACAUUCGACGUUCAGACGUAGAAUCUUCAUUAUAAAUCUAAUUUCUAAUCUGUUCAAGCCUACGCGCUCGUGGCGAUAAGUACGUUAAGAAUAAAUUAGUAACAUUAAAACUACAUGUUUCGACGAGGCAGUCAAACAAAGUCAACUCAAGGGUAAAAAGGUAAUUUCAUAAUUCUGGCAAUAUGAAAAUACACUAAAUUUGGGACGGGGUUUCACAUGGCUAAUAUGUCAGCAAUGACAUUCCUUUCUCGAAAUAUAUGAGAGCAAUGAGAAACCAUUUAUUGCAACUAGACGCAAAGUAAGAUAUCACACUAGAACAGUCACUUUCAAGUCAUAAAUUUUGUUAACCCCACACAAGAGCCAACUCCACAUCAAGGGUGACAGCAUGAAGCUUCGCAUAGAAAGAACUAUGAUGCCCCAAACUCAGGGAGAAAGCACCAAGAAAAUAACUCGCAGGAUCUCAAAAAGCCCCACCACUAGCCGCAAGAUAUGGUUACCUUUAGCAAGGCCAUUUGUAUUCAUUUUGGCUCAAGAAAAUAAAGAAAGAUGCCCAAAAAUAAGAACCCUAAAAAAAGCUUUACAAUACUCACCUAAGAUUCCAAAAGGUUAUCACCAUUCUACUCUUCACCAAUAAAAGUAGAGAGACGCUUUACAACUUUUAGUGUACCAAAAAUCACACACUUUUUAAUCAUACUUUGUGAUUAGAUUAACAUCAUCAGCGCCAAAACAGAAUCCCGGUCCAAUAAAUUUCAUUACAAUAAAAUUAGUUGAUGAUAUUUUCGAGACUUAUUCUAAAGCCGUGCGCAUGCCACCUAUUUGCAUUGGUUGACGCAUUUGUCUUCCAUGAACAAAAAGUUGAACUCUACAACAAAUAACAUGGGUGUUUUGUAUUGUAUUGUAUCGAACCCCCAACAUGGUAGCGAUCCAACUAAAGUAUAACUUACAUGUCAUAGUUACAUCUUCAUGCUGUGGUGAAGCUAUAAAGGAUCAAGAGGGGCGACGGCCCUCUCGCCAGAAAUUUAACCCAUAAGUGACUGUCAUCCCCUCGUAUGUUGUCAAAAAAACUGCAACUUGGUGAAGGCAUGCCUGCUAUUGUGUAGCCGCAUGUAGUGUAUUCUUCUAAGAAACCCAAGACCAAAACUUAAUGAACAUUGUCGUUUUGCCUUUGUGGUUUUGGAGAAUAAAAAAUAAUAACAAAAGAACGACCACUUGUCCGAGUGAGUUUUCAGUGUAACAGAUACAUGGAGUGAUAUAUCACGUGUCACUAUAUAAAUGGUGGGAUACGUAUGCUAAAAAGUUAAUAACUUAAAAAAUAAAAUUUCUCAUCACUUACAUAAAAACAAGUAGUGUAUCAUCCGUCUUUUAAUUACAAUAAAAAAUUUCUCCACUCGCCGCCCAUUAACUCUCACGCAUUUGAUACUGUAUCCAAUCCCCACUCCAGUGCCCUAUCUUCUGCUUUCUUUCUGUCCUAUUCUCUCAUUGAUUGAAGUGCAACAACUCUCAGCAUCCAUUUUCCUUUUUUGUCGCCAUUGCCAACCCCCUCAAAUGUAAACCUAAUUUUUUGAAAUUAAAUUAUUAGUUCCAAGAAUUUAAUAUAAAAUUUUGCUCAAUUAAAAUAGAAUUAUAGCGUAAUAUGAAUAUUAAUUAUUGAUAUGAACCAUGUGAUUAUUGUAGUAUCCCACAUCGACGACGUGAGGGCUGUCCUUGGGCCUUAUAUGUAUUCGCUCGCAGGUACUCUUCAGAGACGCGUUUUGGAGCUGCGGCUUGCAAAAACAAAUCCGUGAGUGGGGUCGGACCGGUGCGCCGGGUUCCACCACAAAGCGGACAAUAUCUCUGCGGAGGAAGGCGUGGUCUACUGUUUUUGGUAUCAGAGCCAGACUCACGGCCGUUCGGUGUGCCGACGAGGACGUCGGUCUCCCUAAGGGGGGUGGAUUGUAGUAUCCCACAUCGACGACGUGAGGGCUGUCCUUGGGCCUUAUAUGUAUUCGCUCGCAGGUACUCUUCAGAGACGCGUUUUGGAGCUGCGGCUUGCAAAAAACAAAUCCGUGAGUGGGGUCGGACCGGUGCGCCGGGUUCCACCACAAAGCGGACAAUAUCUCUGCGGAGGAAGGCGUGGUCUACUGUUUGGUAUCAGAGCCAGACUCACGGCCGUUCGGUGUGCCGACGAGGACGUCGGUCUCCCUAAGGGGGGUGGAUUGUAGUAUCCCACAUCGACGACGUGAGGGCUGUCCUUGGGCCUUAUAUGUAUUCGCUCGCAGGUACUCUUCAGAGACGCGUUUUGGAGCUGCGGCUUGCAAAAACAAAUCCGUGAGUGGGGUCGGACCGGUGCGCCGGGUUCCACCACAAAGCGGACAAUAUCUCUGCGGAGGAAGGCGUGGUCUACUGUUUGGUAUCAGAGCCAGACUCACGGCCGUUCGGUGUGUGUGCCGACGAGGACGUCGGUCUCCCUAAGGGGGGUGGAUUGUAGUAUCCCACAUCGACGACGUGAGGGCUGUCCUUGGGCCUUAUAUGUAUUCGCUCGCAGGUACUCUUCAGAGACGCGUUUUGGAGCUGCGGCUUGCAAAAACAAAUCCGUGAGUGGGGUCGGACCGGUGCGCCGGGUUCCACCACAAAGCGGACAAUAUCUCUGCGGAGGAAGGCGUGGUCUACUGUUUUGGUAUCAGAGCCAGACUCACGGCCGUUCGGUGUGCCGACGAGGACGUCGGUCUCCCUAAGGGGGGUGGAUUGUAGUAUCCCACAUCGACGACGUGAGGGCUGUCCUUGGGCCUUAUAUGUAUUCGCUCGCAGGUACUCUGUCAGAGACGCGUUUUGGAGCUGCGGCUUGCAAAAACAAAUCCGUGAGUGGGGUCGGACCGGUGCGCCGGGUUCCACCACAAAGCGGACAAUAUCUCUGCGGAGGAAGGCGUGGUCUACUGUUGAUUGUAGUAUCCCACAUCGACGACGUGAGGGCUGUCCUUGGGCCUUCCUCCGCAGAGAUAUUGUCCGCUUUGUGGUGGAACCCGGCGCACCGGUCCGACCCCACUCACGGAUUUGUUUUUGCAAGCCGCAGCUCCAAAACGCGUCUCUGAAGAGUACCUGCGAGCGAAUACAUAUAAGGCCCAAGGACAGCCCUCACGUCGUCGAUGUGGGAUACUACAAUCCACCCCCCUUAGGGAGACCGACGUCCUCGUCGGCACACCGAACGGCCGUGAGUCUGGCUCUGAUACCAAACAGUAGACCACGCCUUCCUCCGCAGAGAUAUUGUCCGCUUUGUGGUGGAACCCGGCGCACCGGUCCGACCCCACUCACGGAUUUGUUUUUGCAAGCCGCAGCUCCAAAACGCGUCUCUGAAGAGUACCUGCGAGCGAAUACAUAUAAGGCCCAAGGACAGCCCUCACGUCGUCGAUGUGGGAUACUUUUUUCCGGCGCACCGGUCCGACCCCACUCACGGAUUUGUUUUUGCAAGCCGCAGCUCCAAAACGCGUCUCUGAAGAGUACCUGCGAGCGAAUACAUAUAAGGCCCAAGGACAGCCCUCACGUCGUCGAUGUGGGAUACUACAAUCCACCCCCCUUAGGGAGACCGACGUCCUCGUCGGCACACCGAACGGCCGUGAGUCUGGCUCUGAUACCAAACAGUAGACCACGCCUUCCUCCGCAGAGAUAUUGUCCGCUUUGUGGUGGAACCCGGCGCACCGGUCCGACCCCACUCACGGAUUUGUUUUUUGCAAGCCGCAGCUCCAAAACGCGUCUCUGAAGAGUACCUGCGAGCGAAUACAUAUAAGGCCCAAGGACAGCCCUCACGUCGUCGAUGUGGGAUACUACAAUCCACCCCCUUAGGGAGACCGACGUCCUCGUCGGCACACCGAACGGCCGUGAGUCUGGCUCUGAUACCAAACAGUAGACCACGCCUUCCUCCGCAGAGAUAUUGUCCGCUUUGUGGUGGAACCCGGCGCACCGGUCCGACCCCACUCACGGAUUUGUUUUUGCAAGCCGCAGCUCCAAAACGCGUCUCUGAAGAGUACCUGCGAGCGAAUACAUAUAAGGCCCAAGGACAGCCCUCACGUCGUCGUCGAUGUGGGAUACUACAAUCCACCCCCCUUAGGGAGACCGACGUCCUCGUCGGCACACCGAACGGCCGUGAGUCUGGCUCUGAUACCAAACAGUAGACCACGCCUUCCUCCGCAGAGAUAUUGUCCGCUUUGUGGUGGAACCCGGCGCACCGGUCCGACCCCACUCACGGAUUUGUUUUUGCAAGCCGCAGCUCCAAAACGCGUCUCUGAAGAGUACCUGCGAGCGAAUACAUAUAAGGCCCAAGGACAGCCCUCACGUCGUCGAUGUGGGAUACUACAAUCCACCCCCCUUAGGGAGACCGACGUCCUCGUCGGCACACCGAACGGCCGUGAGUCUGGCUCUGAUACCAAACAGUAGACCACGCCUUCCUCCGCAGAGAUAUUGUCCGCUUUGUGGUGGAACCCGGCGCACCGGUCCGACCCCACUCACGGAUUUGAACAGUAGACCACGCCUUCCUCCGCAGAGAUAUUGUCCGCUUUGUGGUGGAACCCGGCGCACCGGUCCGACCCCACUCACGGAUUUGUUUUUGCAAGCCGCAGCUCCAAAACGCGUCUCUGAAGAGUACCUGCGAGCGAAUACAUAUAAGGCCCAAGGACAGCCCUCACGUCGUCGAUGUGGGAUACUACAAUCCACCCCCUUAGGGAGACCGACGUCCUCGUCGGCACACCGAACGGCCGUGAGUCUGGCUCUGAUACCAAACAGUAGACCACGCCUUCCUCCGCAGAGAUAUUGUCCGCUUUGUGGUGGAACCCGGCGCACCGGUCCGACCCCACUCACGGAUUUGUUUUUGCAAGCCGCAGCUCCAAAACGCGUCUCUACAGAGUACCUGCGAGCGAAUACAUAUAAGGCCCAAGGACAGCCCUCACGUCGUCGAUGUGGGAUACUACAAUCCACCCCCCUUAGGGAGACCGACGUCCUCGUCGGCACACCGAACGGCCGUGAGUCUGGCUCUGAUACCAAACAGUAGACCACGCCUUCCUCCGCAGAGAUAUUGUCCGCUUUGUGGUGGUGGAACCCGGCGCACCGGUCCGACCCCACUCACGGAUUUGUUUUUGCAAGCCGCAGCUCCAAAACGCGUCUCUACAGAGUACCUGCGAGCGAAUAUACAUAUAAGGCCCAAGGACAGCCCUCACGUCGUCGAUGUGGGAUACUACAAUCCACCCCCCUUAGGGAGACCGACGUCCUCGUCGGCACACCGAACGGCCGUGAGUCUGGCUCUGAUACCAAACAGUAGACCACGCCUUCCUCCGCAGAGAUAUUGUCCGCUUUGUGGUGGAACCCGGCGCACCGGUCCGACCCCACUCACGGAUUUGUUUUUGCAAGCCGCAGCUCCAAAACGCGUCUCUGAAGAGUACCUGCGAGCGAAUACAUAUAAGGCCCAAGGACAGCCCUCACGUCGUCGAUGUGGGAUACUACAAUCCACCCCCCUUAGGGAGACCGACGUCCUCGUCGGCACACCGAACGGCCGUGAGUCUGGCUCUGAUACCAAACAGUAGACCACGCCUUCCUCCGCAGAGAUAUUGUCCGCUUUGUGGUGGAAACCCGGCGCACCGGUCCGACCCCACCCCACUCACGGAUUUGUUUUUGCAAGCCGCAGCUCCAAAACGCGUCUCUGAAGAGUACCUGCGAGCGAAUACAUAUAAGGCCCAAGGACAGCCCUCACGUCGUCGAUGUGGGAUACUACAAUCCACCCCCCUUAGGGAGACCGACGUCCUCGUCGGCACACCGAACGAACGGCCGUGAGUCUGGCUCUGAUACCAAACAGUAGACCACGCCUUCCUCCGCAGAGAUAUUGUCCGCUUUGUGGUGGAACCCGGCGCACCGGUCCGACCCCACUCACGGAUUUGUUUUUGCAAGCCGCAGCUCCAAAACGCGUCUCUGAAGAGUACCUGCGAGCGAAUACAUAUAAGGCCCAAGGACAGCCCUCACGUCGUCGAUGUGGGAUACUACAAUCCACCCCCCUUAGGGAGACCGACGUCCUCGUCGGCACACCGAACGGCCGUGAGUCUGGCUCUGAUACCAAACAGUAGACCACGCCUUCCUCCGCAGAGAUAUUGUCCGCUUUGUGGUGGAACCCGGCGCACCGGUCCGACCCCACUCACGGAUUUGUUUUUGCAAGCCGCAGCUCCAAAACGCGUCUCUGAAGAGUACCUGCGAGCGAAUACAUAUAAGGCCCAAGGACAGCCCUCACGUCGUCGAUGUGGGAUACUACAAUCCACCCCCCUUAGGGAGACCGACGUCCUCGUCGGCACACCGAACGGCCGUGAGUCUGGCUCUGAUACCAAACAGUAGACCACGCCUUCCUCCGCAGAGAUAUUGUGUCCGCUUUGUGGUGGAACCCCGGCGCACCGGUCCGACCCCACUCACGGAUUUGUUUUUGCAAGCCGCAGCUCCAAAACGCGUCUCUGAAGAGUACCUGCGAGCGAAUACAUAUAAGGCCCAAGGACAGCCCUCACGUCGUCGAUGUGGGAUACUACAAUUAUUGAUGAGUAGAAUUUUUUAUUACUGAAAAAUUGAAUUCUUGAUUAUUGAUUAAUUAAAUUAUUGAUUAUUGAAUAAUCUAUACCUAUAUAAUUAUUGAUCCUGGUCAAUUGAAUUGAAAUUUGGUUUAUUGAAUAAUUUAUAUAGUUAUUGGUACUGAUUAAUUGAGUUGUUAGUUUAAUUAGUUAUUAGUCAUAUAGUAUACUCUCUCUAGGAUUAAGAGUCUAAGACUUAAUGGAAUGAUACUAUAAAAACCAUUGCUUAAAUCUCCCUUCAAAUAUUAUGGGUAGUCUACCUUCGAAUAUUCUAGGUAGUCCUUCAAGUAUUGAUACAUUACAGACAUUCCUAAUAUUGUCUAAUAUCUAUACAAAUUUGGUUGUCUACAUUUUUUUUAACCUUGCACUCUUUUAAAUUCGUCCGUCCCUCAAACAAUUCCUAACUUCGAUACUGUCGUCAUGUAAUACUUUUUGCUAAUGAAACAAAGGUAAUGAAAAGCUUAAAAAAUGAAGCCCAUUUCUUUGAAAUCCCACUAUAGUAAUGCCAAUAAAAAUAGAAAAUGGGAGAUAGAAAGUAAUAAGAAAAUGACUUGUAAAUGUAAAGCUAUAAGGUAUCAUACCCUGGAGAUUAUGAAAUAGCAAAAAAGUAAAAGUGACCGACAUACGAGGGAAAAACUUUUGUUUAACAUUUCCGGAAGGAUCACCUAUAAAUUUUUGAAUGAAAGUCAAGGUAGAGUCUUGUUCAGCUCUAUCCAUGCCACUGUUGGCUUCAAU
rnacentral:lncRNA from 1 species